rnacentral:lncRNA from 1 species
UGCAGAAAACCAAGGAUAUGACAUUUUGGACACUCUUGUUCGUGCGUGUUUAUUAGAAGAGGUGGAAGAUGAUGAAGUAAAAAUGCAUGACGUUAUUCGUGAUAUGGCUAUAUGGAUAACUUGUGAAAUUGAGAAGGAGAAGAGAAACUUUUUGGUUCGUGCAGGUGCUGGAUUAAAAGAUGCACCGGGUGUUAAAGGAUGGGAAAAUGUGAGAAGAUUGUCAUUGAUGCAAAACCAAAUUGAAACUCUGGCAGAGGUUCCCACAUGCCCUCAUCUCCAUACUCUAUUUCUUGACUUUAAUAGGGGGUUGGAUAUGAUCGCGGAUGGCUUCUUUCAAUUUAUGCCUUCUCUCAAAGUUUUGAAGAUGUCAAACUGUUCGAAUUUGAAAUUACCUGUUGGGAUGUCAGAGUUGGGUUCAUCACUAGAACUUCUUGAUAUUUCAGAAAACAGCACAAGAGAGUUACCGGAAGAGUUAAAGAAGUUGGUAAAUCUGAAAUGUUUGAAUUUGAGGUGGACAGAGCAUUUAAAUAAAAUUCCACGGCAACUAAUAUCAAAUUCUUCAAGGUUACGUGUGUUGAGAAUGUUCGCUACUGGCCGGUUCAAUUUUCAUGAAGCACCAGAAGACAGCGUUUUAUUUGGUGGGGGUGAAGUUUUGAUACAGGAAUUGCUCGGUUUGAAAUAUUUAGAGGUAUUGGAGUUGACCUUGGGAAGUUAUCAUGCUCUCCAAAUUCUUUUGAGCUCAAAUAAGUUAAAAAGUUGUAUUCGAUCUCUUUACCUCGAGUUGACCGGAGAUACAACGUCAAUUAUUGAUGCUACGGCUUUCGCAGAUCUAAACCACCUCAAUGAAUUACGGAUUGAUAAUGGUAUUGAGUUGGAAGAGUUGAAGAUUGAUUAUACGGAGAUAGUACGAAAAAGGCGGGAACCUUUUGUUUUCCGCAGCCUUCAACGUGUUACCAUAGCGGAGUGCCAUAAAUUGAAAGAUGUGACAUUCCUCGUUUUUGCUCCAAACCUCAAGUCUCUUCGGCUAUUCUAUUGCGGUGCUAUGGAAGAAAUAAUCAGCGUCGGAAAAUUUGCUGAGACUCCUGAGAUGAUGGGACAUAUAAGCCCUUUUGAAAAUCUCCAAAUGCUUGAUUUACAAGGUUUGCCACAUUUGAAGAGCAUCUUCUGGAAGCCAUUGCCUUUCACUCAUCUGAAAGAAAUGGAGGUACUUAGGUGCGAUCGGCUUGAAAAGCUUCCACUCGAUUCCAACAGUGCAAAGGAGCGCAAAUUUGUUAUUCGUGGAGAAGAAGACUGGUGGAACCGACUUCAAUGGGAGGAUGAAGCCACUCAAAUUGCUUUUCGUUCCUGUUUUAAAAGUGAUGCUUUAUUUAUAUCUUAUUCGUGAAAAGUGAUUUAAUUUCCUGCCAAAAGACGAACGAGAAGAACAAUAGAGUCAAACUAAUGCUCACAUAAAUUUCCCGUAAGAAUAUAUAAUUAGAUUGGAAUGCACACCUCUAGAUUGAACAGAAUUAAAGCUGAGAAAAUAUUGAGUAUAGUAGCCCUCUUUACAGAAAAUGACGUGAAAGUUAAUUUAGAAAGAUAUAUUCUUGAUUAAUCCAUUUUCUGAAGUUUUUAUUUUGUAUGGUCAAUUAUACCUUCAUACUAAAAAUUUCUGAAGUUAUAAAUUAGUGCAACUUGACAAUUUUUACUGAUGAUAUCUUCUAUUUUUCCCUUUUUUUUUUUUUCACUUUCAUAGACUGGCAGCGGAUCCUGCGGCACCAAUUUGAGAGAAUAUACUGACACUACUUCGAACAGCAAGCAGAAGAAGUAAUAUGUCUACGGCAAAGGCAAUGGAGUCCUCAUUUUGGCUCGAGAUGCAGUAAUCAUCGAAGAGAGUUUCCUUGUGAAACUGGGCAACACAUUGAAUCCCUUCACCACUGAGAAGGUUGUGGAGGAAGUAAGCUUUCUCUCCAGUGAGGAAGAGGUGGCAUAUACCUUCCCCAUUUUGUUGAGGGCAGGUAGGAAUCUUUUUUCUAAGAGAUUUACUUCGUUCUCUGUAAGAAAUGCUUUGAACUUCAUCCCUCUGUCUCUAUCCUCACUUAUCAGGAAAUAAGUUGAAAGCACUAUGAAGAGAGAGAGAGAGAGAGAGAGAGAGAGAGAGAGAGAGAAUUAAGAUAUAUAGACAAGAAAAAUAUUUGACGUUGAUCUUACAAACUAAUACUUCAAGCAGUAUCCUAGAAAGCUAAAAACUGCAAGAUGGCUUGAAAUUUGAAAAGAGCACAUGCUUUUCCUCCUUAACUUGAGAAAAUGUUUAAUAUAGUGCACCUUACAGAAGCAUUUAAGCAAUUAGAACUUUGCACAAAAACAUCAAGAAGACUAAACAAGUCAGAUGCAGUGUAUUUGUCCAAGCACAAAUUGCAUUUUUUCCUCAACUUUAAUAUUUAUUGAUGAGAAUCAAUACAGGUCCCUCAUUUGUUAUAGAAAGCUUUCUUUCUUGUAGUCUCACCAGUUAAUUCAGAGGUCUAUAAUCAUCUUGCAAAGUUAAGGGCAUUUCUUUUGAUCUAAAGUCUUUGCAUCACCACCUCAUCACACGCCAAGCCAAUAUUCCAUUUACCUCUACAACAAAAAGUUUUAAUUAAACAAUCCUAAUGCACGCAGCCAAAUAAAAUGCAGUAAGAAUAUUCAACUUAAAAAUCUGAAAGCCAACUUGGUGAAUUGCCUCCUUAGGUGAAGUUCCAUGCUUUACUAUAGUUGACAGAACUCAGCAAAAGCUUCCAUACAACAGAUUUUGAAAAUGAUGAUGCCAACAGAUACUCAUUCAAUGCAUUGAAACUCCAAAGGUUCAUUGUUCAUAGAAGUUUACAGAGUUUUGGUCAUCAAAUAGCUCAGACCUAAUCCCAAACAAAAAAUGAGUGAAAAUUAGAUCACGAGCAGCUAAUUGUAAAUUCUAACUUAACUCUUCAUCUCCUUUGUAAACAAGAAACAAAAUGGAGACACGCAAAAUGAAUAUGGAGAAAAUUUGAACUCAAAUGAAAUGAGGGCAUGAAAGCAAACAAAUGGCAUGCACCAAAAAACCAAGCCUCAAUCAAAAACUAAUUAACCAUUAAGAAAAAAAUUGGUCAGAGAAUGAACUCCAAAUUCAGGAGUCAAGCAAGAAGCUUUCAUUAUUAUCAAAGUCAAUUAUCUUUGUUAGUAUGCGAGUGUGACGACUAUAGGUUGUUCUUUUUCUAAUGUCAUAUGAUUCCAAUUUUAGGUACAGGGCAUCUCUCUCUCUCUCUCUCAUCGCUAAGUGGAUAUUUUUCUCUUUUGUCAUAUACUUUAGUUAUUCUUCAAUUUACUAACUAAAAUGAAGGCCGCUUUAUUAAGAAGUUAUAUCCAGUUAUAUAAUUUGUUGUAUUUAAUAUAUGUUUGGGCUCAUAAUUUUUUUUAAAAAUAUAUAUUUCAUUCUCCAUAAUUUUUUCCCAUCAUAGCUACGAAACGUCUUAGUUUCGACUAAAAUCCUAAAAUUGGUCCUUAAUUGAAUAUGCAUUGCAAUUUGCAAAUGUAAUAUUGUGAAUGGGACACUGGAGAUACCAAAAUGGUCAAAUGCGAAAUAAGUUAGGAUUGUACGAUGUAGUUUGUAUUCAUAUUCAAUGCCUUUUUUUUCAAAAAACAAAUUGAAAUGCCAUUACUAAACGAUUCUUGAUGAUGGGAGCCACCGUGCCAGCUUUGUCGCUGAUUUGGUAUUAUUCUUAACUUGCAGAUAGUUGUGGAUAUGAUAUGCAAAAAGGUAAGGACUAUAUCUUCUUGAUGGAGGCCUCUGAUUUUUUCCCUUCUAUGUAAUUUAGUAAAUCGCAUUUUCCCUUGUGAUUGAUAUAUCAUACCAAAGUCAAGUCUUAAAUACUGCUGUCAUAUGUUAAGGUUCAACUUCCAUUUUGAUUAACGUCCAUUUGCUGCUGCUUCCAAAAGUGAGAAUGAGAUACUUUGGUUAAUUUCAGUAGUUGAACCCAAUAGAGUACUUUAUUUAGAUCUUCAUGGUUCAAAGGCCUGAAAAAACUUGCCGGUAUUUGCAAAAUGACAUUCUGUGCUUUUAUUUAGGCUUAUUAUUUAAGUGAUAAAAACUCCCGUAACCUGCUGUCAAGAAAAUUUCAGAUUGUUAAAAGACAACAUUUUGUUUCAGCCAAAAAUGUUUGUUUCGAUUAAAGACUUGAACCAUUUUCAUUUAACCUUGAUUGUGAUGCUUUACAUUAUGCAUGUUCCUCUCAAUCAAUAAAAGUUGAGGUCAUGAUUUUAUAUUUCUAUUUUGUAACUUGAAAUAAUUGGUCUGCCUGUUUCUGUAGCUUGAUAACAUGAAUUUUUCCUUCUGAAGUUAAUUUGAUCAAUAAAGUAAUUCUUCGGAGAUGAUAUGCCCAUUCUAUAGUCAUUUUCUUAGGUAACAUGUUUUUUCUUCACUCUUCAGAGCAUGUCUAAACUAAUUGAUCGCUCAGCGGAGACUUUGGGUGAGAAGACAAAAUUUCUUGGUAAAUCCUCUAAAAAGGUAUGCAUAAUUCCCGAGUAUUAAAUAAUCAUUGGUCAUAAUUUUUGUACACAACUCUUUUUUUGGAGAUCGUUAAAAGUGGUUGAUGAUCUAUUUUGUAAUAUCAUAGAGGGAUCAUGAAUUCCUGUUCUUUUCUGUGGCUAGGCAACACUUUCGGGCCAAGCUAAGGAAAUCUAUUUUAGGUAAUGUGAAAACCAGUUGUAGGAUGUAAUAGUUUAUUAUGCCCUGACAAUAACUUUUUGUAUAAUUGUCAGUUUAAUGAAUACAAGAGGAACUCUGUUGGCAAAUUCAUCCAUGAUAGAUGCUAAAAGUAUUUAUGCAUACCAGUUGCCUUAACUAAUUUUUCUCAACACUGGUAUUGAACAGGAAAAUGAAUAUGCAAUUUGUAUAUUGUGCCAUUGUGGAGAAUUUGGAUAUUCUUAUUUAAGUAACAAGGAGAGUAUUUGCCUCAUCUUUAAACAAUGAAUCUUUGAGAAAUGAGGAGUGGGUGAUUGGCAGUGUCUUCAUGUAAAUGUUCAUUUAUUUGUAUUUUGAACUAUUAUGAGAAUCUUUGUAUGCCAAAUUAGUAAUACAAAUGUUCAGAUGAUUUUUCCUGUUGAUCAUGCGUGUGUAUCUGCACACAACCAUUGUGUCCCACUUUAUUCUGAUGCACAAAUAUCUGUAGUUUAGAAGAAAAGAAAUAAUAAUCAUAUAUUAUUGCUUGGUUCAUGAUUAUUAAACGAUUAUGGCUUUAGAAAAUCCACAAAUCCUUUGUGUUCAUAUAUGAAUGUGCGAAGUUUGCUAUCUCUUAGAUUACCUUCUUCCAAGAUAACAAGUUCAUAUAUUUUUUUUAAUCCUUUUUCAUCACAGUUGAAUUUCAAGUGUAAGUUUUGUUAUUAAUAGCUGGUUUCCUGUUAUUAUGAUUUCAUAAACAGUGAGAGGAUAUGUGCUCUACUUUUGGAGGGCCUCCACAUGAAAGAAAAUUGCAACAAUUGAAUUCUUCCGGAGGGUAUGGUAUUUAAUUUAUUUUCUCAGCUUGUUGUAAGACUAAUAUAUUUCCUUCAGUACCCAAAAGGACAGAAAUGAAUUACGGAAGGAAGUUUUUGCUGCUUUAUUUAGUGCUGCUGAGAAAUCUGAUGGAUUUCCUGAAAUUACGGUGAAGACGGAGUGGAGGUCCAACGCAUUAGGAAAGGUGGUGAGUGAACCGCCGGAGGAAUUAGUACCAGAAUACAAGGCUAAUGUGGUGCACUUGCAGCAAGAUGACCAGACCUGUAUGUGCUCUUAUAUUAACUAUAUUGGUUGGAUUUGUGAGUGUGUACAUUUUUGUGUGUAUACUCACAUUUGUAUUUAUGCAUAUUAACGUGUGUAGGAUUCUUGAUUUCUGCCACUUACUGGAGAACUAGUGGAAAGCUUUAUACUGAUAUAUGUGCUAUAACUAAUGGAAACUACAAUAUGAAUAUUUUCUCUCACCUGGAGAACUGUGUAACAGAUAUAAUUUGUGGCUCUGGAAUACUGAAGAUUCUGCAAUAACUAAUGGAAAAUAUGAUAUGAAUAUUUUUUCUCACCUGGAGAACUUUGUAACAGAUACAUUUUGUGGCUCUGGAAUGUCUAAAGAAUGCUUCAGUUUAGAUCAAAUAUCUUUUAGUUAGAAAAGAUAAAAUUCUCUGAAUCUGAAAGACUGAAACAUUUUGCAUAUUUUGUGAAAGGGAAGUAUCUGUAGAUACUAGCUCAUGCAUUGAGGUAAUAUCAAUGUUAAAGAAAAACAGCAAUAAUUUAUUAUACAGAAUUAGGUUCACUUGCUUUAAAUGCUGGUCUGAUCAACCAUAACAACCUGUAAUGGUCCUGCAGAAAUAUAUAUACGGGGAGAAACUAGCUAAAUUUUCCUUUCACUUAUGGGUUUGGUCUUUUUUUCCCCUAUUUUUCAGCUUUCCUUCUCCUGAAGUAUGUUAACAAUUGCAGAUAAUGACGAAGAGGACCGCUUCCAGGCUCUUUGUAGAGCUGUGAUGGAAUAUAGGGGCACAAUGAAAGAAUAUUGUAAGGUUGUAUGUACUUUCUCUCUUGUCAUUUAUGUUUUCUCACACAUUUUGUUUAUGCCCUGAACAUGCAGCUUUGUAUGUGUCAAUUGCCUUUUACGUUUUAAAAGCCAUAAAGUAAGAAUACAGUUCCUUGUCAGGCUAUUGAUGCGUUCGCUCAGAAGGGUCAUGUUCAAGCAGGAAAACUUCUAGAACAGGUAAGGUUUCCAUCUACAGCCAUCCAUUGACAGCAGAUAUAUUUUCAUUAAGCAGACACUGUUAGCAUUCAAGAUGCUGGCAGAUUCACUUGAUUCUUAUUAGUUUGUUUAGUGGCAAGGCAUAUAACCUGUAUUUCAAAGCCAAGUUGUGCUAUUGAUUAUGUUAACUUUAUUGUUAACAUAAAGUGAUAUGGAGGACAUAAUCAAUGUAGGAAAAUUAGGUGAAGAGAUGAUGUCAAAUCUUGAACCUCUUACAAAGCUCCAAGUUCUUUACUUGAAGAAGCUGCCAAAUUUGAAGAGCGUCUACUGGAAGGCAUUUCCAUUCCCAGAUGUAUGCAGAAUUUUUGUAUUAAUGCCCAGUUCUUAAGAACCUGCCACUGGAUUUUCAAGGGGUGGGCCAAGGUAAAAUUCUUAUCAAGGGAAAGGAAGAUUGGUGGAAAGAACUUCAAUGGGAGGAUCAAGCAACUCAGAAUGCAUUGCUUCCAUUUUUCAAAUCAACUGACAAGUGAUUGAAGGGGGCAUCAUCAACAUCAUCAACAGAGAUGGAGAGAUUCUGGAGCAGAUCAGCAGGGUUUGUAUAUGAUCUUUGGUGGUUGCUUUCUUUUGUGAUUUUUUUUUUCUUCCUGUCAUUUUAUCAUUUCUUUGUCUCUUUUUUUAUUGCUGAUGUUAGUGUAUGCUUACUGUUGCUUGACAAAGUUCGCUUGCUUCUUGUUUAUUAAAUUUUUUAUCGUCACAAAAUAUUACUUGUUCUAUUUGAGAGUGAUGUGAAUCAAUUUUCAAUUAUAUAUUUUGUGGUCAAUGUGAAUUCAAUUUCAUUUGUCUCCUGCAAUUAUGAGAAAACUGCAGAGUCAUAAUAUGGAAAAGUACACCAGCAAAAACUUUGUAAAAGCUUCGGAGUGAAACAGGGAAUUCACUUACUACUAAGAACAAUUGAUGGCGAGUUAUUCCAUUCAUUUUAUGUCCAUCUAUCUAUUUAAUUAUUAAAGAUAAAUGGUCCAUUUAUAAAUUUCAGAUUGUCUCUCUCUGAAAAUAACAAUAUUUAAAAUAUCUCUUAAAUUAUUAUAAAUUUUAAUACACUCUCGAUUUAAAAUGGAACAUGCUGAUGAAAUUGUUUUCUUCUUAAUAAAAUUGAAAUAAAUUGUGUUUGCAGUAGUUUGAAAUAUUUUAAAGAUUAUUAUUUUAUAAGGGAGUAAUAUGAAAUGAAAUUUACUUUUCAUGCGUGAAAUGUUGAAAAAGGACAAAGCAAGUGUCCCUGCUUUUAUUUUUAUUUUAAAGUGGAGUCAUCUCACAUACUUUAGCUCUAUCAUUACAAUUUUUCAGGUUACAUUUUUAUUAUUUAUUUAUUUUCUUUUUUACACAUGCAUGUGGGUUACUUUUCCGUAAGCUCCUCAAUAUAUAUUGAACCCAGCGAAGAAUGUUAUGGAAGAGCAAAUUAAUGAUAUUUCUGAUAGAGUCUAUUUGAUUAUGUAGCCUGAAUGGAUGUCUUGUUGAAAGAUAUCUCAGUGCAUUAGUUCAUCCUUGUCUGUCAAUGUGUUUUUAAUGGUUUUUCCAAUUGUUUAUUAUUAUAGAUUGAUUGUAAAUUGAUAUGAAAAUUUGAUAUGAAUUUAAUGUUGAAAUGUUUUCUCUUUAGUGGAAUGAAUUUAAAAGUGCAAAAGAUUAUUGCACACAGAGAAAUAAACAUAUAUGCUUUAUAACUUUAGCAAUCGAUUCUUUUACAGCUGGAAACAGAGAUGAUGAUUAUCAUAAGGAUGAAGAAAAGUAGUGCGUUAGACGAUUAGACUCUCUUAUUAAAGGCAAGUAUAAAGUAGUGAAGAAUCCAAUAUCUCUAUUGUCUAGUCUUUUGUUUAAUUCUUCUUUUAUUAUUUUUCAGAAUAAUUUUUGGUGAUUACAAUCGGGUUAUUAUUCAGAGUUAUUGUUAUCUUCUGGGGCAGUUUCUGUUCAUCGAAUUCAUUAAUUAAAAUUUUAGAACUCUUAUCAGAAGAAUAUUUUUCGGUUAUCUUUUUUAUGUUCUAAUUCCAAUUGUAAGAAGUAGCCAUUUUAGAAUUUGGGUCUUGAAUCGAAUUUCAAUGCAUGAAUUAAUAUUAAAAAAAAAAAAUUCACUACUCGCAGUUUAGGUUACAAAUUACUUUUUGGAAAGUUGACUUUGGAAUGUUUGCAAAGAAAGAGACUAACAUAUUUCCAAUUACACUAAAUCUCUAUUAUGAUAAUGUUAAGACUAAAUUAAUUUAAAUAAUUUUUAUUUGAAAAUUAUAUCAAACGCAGUCUAAUUUUAUUAAUUUUAAGAAAUAAUAAUUAUAAAAAUUAUUGUUCUGACUUAAUUAAUACAAGUGAUAUAAAAGUUAAGUGUGCACUAAAUCUGUUUUAAUUUUUUCCAGUAUAACUAACAGAGGUCAUUACUAGAAUUAUAUUACUAGUCUAUUAGAUAGAAAAAAUUACUUAUAUUGUUUUAUAUUUAUUAAAAAAUUUAAAGCCAAUUUUUUUAAUUACUAUUUAAAGAAUAUUAUAAUUUGAAAAAUUUUAAUAUCUUUAUUAAAAAUUUAGAAAUUUACAGUCCUCUAAAUAUUUAAGGCGUAACUGUCAUUUUCUCAAGAAGCUUUAUUUAAUAUUAUUGAUUUAAAUAAUAUCUUAUUAAAAAUGUACUGAGGAGAAAUUUUGGUGGGUAUUUUAGUCUUUUCAGCAAUCAUCAUGAUUAACCUUUGGUUGGCCUUGAAACGUCGGUCAGAAAAGUUUUAAAAUGCUUAAUUGUUUUUCACUGUUAACGUUAGUGGCCUUGAAAUUGCUUAUAUUUUAUUAAAAAUUAAUGCUAACAAGAAAAAACUAGAUCGUAUUCCACCCCCAAAGCAAAAGUGAUAAAACAACCGGCUGUAUUCUUUUAUUAAACUACAAAUUAAAAUGGAUUUCUUUAAUUAAAGUGGAUAUCAUUUAAUUAAUGUUUGAACAUUAAAGUUCUGAUAUAUAACCACUAUGCCGACCACCUAAUUGCUGCUAUUUAAUUUCGUUCCAGUUCUCUCUCUCUCUCUUUUUCUUUUUUUUUUGGGCCAAGCAAUAAAUAGUAAAAAUUCAAUAAAAGCAAUAUUAAUGCUGCAAGUGAGUCAUGUUAUUUAUUGUCAAUUAGGAAAUGUGAACCUAAUUUGAUUGCAUCCCUUUAAUCAUUUAAUAAUUAUGUAAGCACCAUCCCUUUAAUUAUUUAAUAACUAGAAAAUAGAACACUGCGUUUCACGCGGCUUUGAAAAAAGAAUUUAGUAUUAUCUUUUUUUCUUACUUUACACUUGAUGAAACUGAUAAAAAAUAUGAAUUGAUUUUUUUUAAAGAUGAGGCAGCCUUAUAAAAAAUAAAAAAAGCUAUUAGCCAGCAAUACAAAUAAAGAAGGAAUGCAAGAUAAAGAAUAAAAUGAGAGAAUAUAUUAUAGAGUGAUCUUAUUCAUUCUAAUUGUGUGUGUACAAAACAAAAAGAUGAGCUCUCCUUUUAUAACUACAUAAUUACUUCAUGAAAUUAAUGAAAAAUUAUGAAUCAUAAUUUCUUGUGAGAUAGUGGGAGUUAUUGGGAAGCUAAAAGUUGCUAAUGGGAGAUAGUGGGGAGACUAAGAGAUAUAUAUUAUGAACAUCUACAUUUAUUUUAAUAAAUUCAUAACACUCCCCCUUAAAUGUUCAUUACAAAGAAUAUGCCUCAUUAAAAUCUUUACAUAAUUGUUAUUGUGUAAUAACAAUCAAAUUAAUUAUAAGAAGAUGAAAAGCCAAAUCUAACAGAAAAUUUCUCUAUUUAUUAGAUAAUAGAGAAUAUAGCAAGAUGAGAAAUGGUAAUGCCACAUCAUCUCCUCACGUCCCAACUUUAUAUAUAUAUAUAUAGAUAAUAUAUAUUAUUCCUGUCCUACAUUCACAUAUUUAAUUGUCCUUUUGAAAAUAUUCAUGAGUUAGGCCAAGUAAAGUCAAAGAAAUUGGGAAAAAGGAACAAAAGGACAAACCUAAAUUAAUUGAACCUAAUUCAUGAAAAUGCACACUUUUGUGUUGCGGACGGCGGACCCUAAAGCUUCGUUGUUUGCAGCUGCAAUUAAUUCUUUUCCUUCAAAAGUUAGAGGCUCGUGUUUACAGUGGGUCCCGAAUCGGACGUACCUAAUAAAUCUUUUAAAAAAAUUUGCCGUAUAAAGGACAGAGGUCAUUACUGAAAUUUCUCUUCCACGGGCAAUUACAGCAGCUUCAGUUAAUCAAACUCAAAUCAAUUUUCUUUCUUAACAAAAUAUUCCAAAGAUGUGUAGCAUUUUUCAGAUCACAUGCGAUGGUGCUUUUUUCAAUCGUUGCUUGGAUUGCUUUCUUGGAAAAGCAGCAUACAUACGUAACCUCCAAGAUAAUCUUGUAGCCUUGGACACUGAAUUGGGAAAUCUGAUCGCUAAAAAGAACGAUGUGAUGAGGAGGGUUGUCGAUGCUGAACGGCAACAAAUGAGAAGGCUGGACGGAGUGCAAGUGUGGGUUUCGAGGCUCGAUGCUGUUAAAACUGAAGCCGAUGAACUUAUCACAGACGGCUCUCGAGAAAUUGAAAAAUUAUGUGUUGGAGGCUACUGUUCCAAGAACUGCAGGUCAAGCUACAAAUUCGGAAAACAAGUGGCAAGAAAGCUACGAGAUGUGGAGACUUUAAUCGCCGAGGGAGUUUUUGAGUCGGUGGCUGAGAGAGCUCCGGAACCUGUGGCAGAUAAAAGACCCACUGAGCCAACAAUAGUAGGCUUGCAAUCACAGCUUGAACAAGUUUGGAGAUGUCUUCUUGUAGAAGAAUCAGCGGGAAUCAUUGGCCUAUAUGGUAUGGGCGGUGUUGGUAAAACCACACUGUUGACCCAUAUCAACAAUAAAUUUCUUGAGAGUCCCACCAACUUUGAUUGUGUGAUUUGGGUCGUAGUUUCAAAAGACCUGCGACUUGAAAAAAUUCAAGAAGAUAUUGGGAAGAAGAUAGGUCUGUUUGAUGGUUCGUGGAAGAAUAAAAGUGUUGAGGAGAAAGCCGUAGACAUCUUGCGGAGAUUAGGAGAGAAGAGGUUUGUAUUGUUGUUAGAUGAUUUAUGGGAGCGGGUUGAUUUAACAGAAGUGGGCGUUCCACUUCCCAGCCCACAAAAAUACUACAUCAAAGUCGUAUUCACGACCCGUUUCAUUGAUGUGUGUGGUAGCAUGGAAAGUCACAGGAAGUUUAAAGUGGCAUGCUUAUCAGAAGAGGAUGCUUGGGAGCUGUUUCGAGGAAAAGUAAGGCAAGAAACUCUUGAGAGUCAUCAUGAUAUCGUUGAGCUAGCCCAAACUGUGGCCAGAGAGUGUGGCGGUUUGCCACUCGCGCUUAAAACUAUAGGUCGAUCUAUGGCCUACAGAAAGACAGCUAAGGAGUGGAGACAUGCAAUUGAAAUGUUAAGGAGAUCAGCUUCAGAGUUUGCAGGUUUGGGAGAAAAGGUGUAUCGUCUUUUAAAGUUUAGCUAUGAUAGUUUGCAGAAUGAUACGAUUAGAUCUUGUUUCUUAUAUUGUUGUUUGUAUCCUGAAGAUUAUGGCAUUCUUAAAUGGGAUUUGAUUGAUUGUUGGAUUGGUGAGGGAUUCUUAGAGGAAUCUGACAGGUUUAGUGCAGAAAACCAAGGAUACUACAUUGUGGGCACUCUUGUUCAUGCAUGUUUAUUAGAAGAGGUGGAAGAUGAUAAAGUAAAAAUGCAUGACGUUGUUCGUGAUAUGGCUAUAUGGAUAACCGGUGAAAUUGAGAAGGAGAAGCGAAACUUUUUGGUUUGUGCAGGUGCUGGAUUAAAAGAGGCACCGGAUGUUGAAGUAUGGGAAAAUGUGAGAAGAUUGUCAUUGAUGCAAAACCAAAUUGAAACUCUGUCAGAGGUUCCCACAUGCCCUCAUCUUCUCACUUUAUUUCUUGACUUUAAUAGGGAGUUGAAGACUAUUGCGGAUGGCUUCUUCCGAUGUAUGCCUUCUCUCAAAGUUUUGAAGAUGUCAAACUCUGGAAAGCCUUGGAAAGGUUUGGAAUUAAAUUUGGGGAUGCCAAAGUUGGGUUCACUACAGCUUCUUGAUAUUUCACACACCUGCAUACAAGAUUUACCGCAAGAAUUAAAGUUGUUGGUAAAUCUGAAAUGUUUGAAUUUGAGGCGGACAAUUUGGUUAAAUAAAAUUUCAUGGCAACUAAUAUCAAAUUUUUCAAGGUUACGUGUGUUGAGAAUGUUCGCUACUGGCUGGUUCAAUUUUCAUGAAGCACCAGAAGACAGCGUUUUAUUUGGUGGGGGUGAAGUUUUGAUACAGGAAUUGCUCGGUUUGAAAUAUUUAGAGGUAUUGGAGUUGACCUUGGGAAGUUAUCAUGCUCUCCAAAUUCUUUUCAGCUCAAAUAAGCUAAAAAGUUGUAUUCGAUCUCUUUACCUCCAGUUGACCGGAGAUACAGCGUUAAUUAUUGAUGCUACGGCUUUCGCAGAUCUAAAACACCUCAAUGAAUUACGCAUUGAGUCGGCUACAAAGCUGAAAGAAUUGACGGCUGAUUAUACAGAGAUAGUUCGAAAAAGGCGGGAACCUUUUGUUUUCCGCAGCCUUCACCAUGUUACUAUACAAAGCUGCCAGAAGUUGAAAGAUUCGACAUUCCUCGUUUUUGCUCCAAACCUCAAGUCUCUUUCGAUAGUCAAAUGCAAUGCUAUGGAAGAAAUAAUCAGCGUCGGAAAAUUUGCUGAGACUCCUGAGAUGAUGGGACAUAUAAGUCCUUUUGAAAAUCUCCAAAUGAUUGAUUUACUAGGUUUGCCACAUUUGAAGAGCAUCUUCUGGAAGCCAUUGCCUUUCACUCAUCUGAAAGAAAUAUCUGUGCGUUAUUGCCCUAAUCUUAAAAAGCUUCCACUCGAUUCCAACAGUGCAAAGGAGCGUAAAUUUGUUAUUCGUGGAGAAGAAGACUGGUGGAACCCACUUCAAUGGGAGGAUGAAGCCACUCAAAUUGCUUUUCGUUCCUGUUUCCAACCCUUGUUCCUGAACAGUGGUCGCAAAAUUUGAUUUCUGGUGAGUGCGUUUGUCUUUUAAAAAGAAUAAUUUAAAAGAAAUUUAUUCUUGUCGGUUUCUUCACUGUUUUUAUUUCAGUUUCUCUCUCUCUCUCUCUCUCUCUCUCUUUUUGUCUUCUGCAAAUCACAAUUACAUUUUUAUUCUUGUCGUUUUCUUCACUGUUUUUAUUUCAGUUUCUCUCUCUCUCUCUCUCUCUCUUUUUGUCUUCUGCAAAUCACAAUCAAAUGUUGAAUUAAUGGAAUUAAUGCUUCAUAAAUUUGCCGGCACUGCCAUUACUUUUUUUUGGGGGAUCGAAUUGAUACUUUAUUUAUAUCUUCUUAGCGAUUUAAUUUCCUGUCAAAAGACGAACGAGAAGAACAUAUGACUUAAACCAAUGCUCGCAUAAACUUGCUGUAAAAAGAUAUAAUCUCACUGAAAUGCACACGCCUAGAAUGAAUAGAAUUAAAACAGGGAAAAUAUUAAGUAUAUUAGCCCUCUUUACUGAAAAUCAAAUGACAGUAAAUUUUUUGAAGUUUUGAUUUUCUAUGGUCAAUUCCACCUUUUGCAAUUUCUUCUGUUCUAACAAAAACCAAUUUCUUUGUUCAAGUAUUUUCGUUUGGAUAUUAAUAAUUCUCCACCGAAAGAGUGAACUCUUGCUCAAAGGGAUCUCUAAUAAUACAUAACAUGAUUAUUUUCGUUUGAAUAAUUGAUUUCUUGAUUGAAUUGUCGUGUAAUUGAUUUAUGGGGGAUGACACAUCAACAUACUUGAAAAUACACUAAUCUCAGCAUCAUCGGUUAAUAACUUUUAGAUUUAUGGGUAAUCAAUAGUUAAGAUUAGUUGUCAUUAAUACUAAAUAAUUUUUACUUUUUUUGUCUCUUCUAGAGGAUCUUCUAGAAAAAUGCAUCCACAAUUAAAUUUAAUACUUUACAUAAUAAACAAAGCCUAAAUGUUAAAUUUAAGAAACUGCAUUGUAUUUCAGUUGAAGUUGACUUUAAUAUUUAGGGUAGAAAAACAAUUAAUUUUAUUUUUUGAAAUGUCCAUAUUCAGAGCACAUUUCAAAAAGACUCAAUAAUUUCUCAUAAAUUUCAAUUAAAAAUAUUCAAUUUGUUGUUUCAGUUCUUUUAUUUUUUAUUUUUUCCGACAUGAAAGCGACUUAAUGUUACUAAAUUGGGUGGUCUUUGGAUUUUCAUGACCCAAUAAUUGGAACAAAACAAUUUUCUCAAGCGCUCUCCCGCAACAUUUUAUAAUUGAAGCCGCUGCCCCGCCCGUGGUUUCAAACUUUUUUCUUUCUCCUUGUUUAAAUUAAUGGGAGCAGCCUCCGUCCUUGACUAGUUGACUGCUUGUCUUCUUUUUUUUAUUAAUUAAUUAAUUCAGCCGCCCCCCUUUCUUGUCCCAAUAUCUUCUACUUUCGGUUUCCUUUUAUUAUCUCUUUAUUUUUAAAAAAUGCUUAUAAUAAUAAUAAAAUAUAAAAUAUAAAAAUAAAAAUAUAAUUUAUCAGAAAAUUAAGAUAAAGAAAUAUUAUAAGCACAUCAAUCAACAAGUGAAAAAAAAACAAUUUUAAUUUACAUUAAAUAUAAACUUUCAGUGUUAAUCAACUUUUCUAAAUAACUAAAUUAAAAAAUUAAUUGAUUUAAUUGUGGUGUAAUUGAUUUGUAGGGGAUGAAUCAGCAGCAUCAUCGGUUAACGCUUUCAGAUUUAUAGUUAAUCAAUAGUUGAGAGUUGUUAUCACUAACGCCGUGUAUUUUUUAAUGUUUUUUCUCUCUCCUACAGCAUCUUCUAGGAAAGUGCAUCCGUUGCUAAAAUUUAGUAUCGUAAAUAAUAAACCAAGAAUAAAUAUUAAAUCUAAGAAACUGUAUUGCAUUUAAUAUUUAAGGGAGAAAAAUAAUUAUAGUGUCUUUAUUAAUCAGUAAAAAAAAAAAUUAGAAUCAUAAUAAAUUGUAUUGUUAUUGAUGUAUUUAUUUUAUUUUAUACUCAAAAUAAAUUAUUUUAAAUUAUUAAAAUAAUUUAAAAUUAGUAUUUUAUUUUAUACUCAAAAUAAAUAAUUUAAAAUUUUCAUUUCUUGUUUAUUUCGCAAGUUGUUAUUGCCUAAUGCUAUGUCAACUCGAACAUUAGCAUUUUUUUUUUUGGUCCUCUUUUAACGCAAAAUUAGUGUAGGUUAAGUAACAUAAUCAAUAUUAGGACAAUUUGAAAUCCCUAUGGGUGCGUUUGGUACACUGUAUUGUAUUAUACUGUAUUGCAUUAUUUUAAUGCUGAUGUAUUGUAUUAUGUUGUAUUGCAUUAGCACUGUAUUAUAACAAUGCUAUACAAUAUUUGGUGUUACAUUGUACUGUAUUAGAUUUUAAUUAUAUUAUAUUUAGUGUUACAAUUGUUGUAACAUAAACACGACCAAAAUAAAUUGUACUAAAUAAUCUAAGUAAGAGUUCUGUAGUAUAUGUAAUAAUACUAUUUAUAUUAUUAUUAUUAAUAAUUCUAAAUUAAUAUUAUUUAAUUUUAUUCAUAUUUAAAUAUGUAUUAUUAGUUUAUUAAAUUAUUUAAAAUAAUUAAUUUAUAUAUAUUAAUUAUUGUAACUUAAUUAAAUAAUGUAAUGCUAUAUUAUAUUUUUAUAUACUAUUUAAGUAUUUAUUAUUAAUUAUAUUUAAUUAUAAAUUUAUUAAUAAAUUAUAAUAUAAAAAUAAAAAAUAAAAAUUAAUAUUGUAUAAUAUUAUAUUAAAUUAAAGUUUUAUUUUUAUUACUAUUAUUAUAAAGUAAAAAAAAAAAAAAGGGAAGCUACUGACUUUUGAAACACAAAAGUCAGUAAUACAACCUAAUCACGAGGGGGGGCGCGGGUUUUGAUAAUGCGGCAAAAGCUGCAUUGUAAUGCUGCUCAAUGCAAUCCAUUUGAUCACCAAACACAGGUAUAUUUUAACUAAUGCUGGGCCCACAAAAUAAUACAAUGCAAUUCCGCAUGCCAAACAUACCCUAUGGGUGCGUUUGGUACACUGUAUUGUAUUAUACUGUAUUGUAUUAUUUUAAUGCUGGUGUAUUGUAUUAUGCUGUAUUGCGUUAGCAUUGUAUUAUAAUAAUGUUGUACAAUGUUUGGUGUUACACUGUACUGUAUUAAUUUUUAAUUAAACUAUAUUUGGUGUUAUAUUGUAUUGUAUUAAUUUUUAUAAUUAAUUAAAUUAAAUAAUUAAAAAAUAAUAUUUAUUAAUACUUAGAAAAAUAAUAAAUAUAGAAAUCUUAAUUGUAGAAAUUUAACAAAUUUUUUAGUAAAUAUUAAAAAUUAAUGAUUAAAUUUCUAAAAUUUGUAUUAUAAUUAUGAUAAAAUAAAUUUAUAAAAUUUAAUAUUAUAUGUAAAUAAUAAAUUUAGAUUAUAAUUAAUAUUAUAAUUGUUAAUAUAAAUUAAUAAAUUAUUAUUCAAUAAUAUUCAAUUAUAUUUUAAUUUACAAUAUAUUAUUAUUUUUACAUUUUAAUAUAUUAAUAAAUUUAUAAUUUAACAUAAAUAAUUAUAAAUUUAAAUAAUAUUAAUUUUAAAAUUAAUAUUAAUGUAAAUAAUAUUAUAAUAUUAAUAUAUUAUUUUUAUAUGAAUCAUUAAUAAAUAAAAUAAUAUUAUCAUAUAAUUUAUUUUUAUAUUUUAUUCAUUAUAUUAAUAUUUAAUAAUAAAAUAAUUUAUUUUUAUAAUAUUUUAAUAAAAUAAAUUUGCCUCAAUUGAGGCAUUAACUGUUGCCUCAAUUGAGGCAAAAAGCUUCCGCAUCCCUCGGGUUUGCGUAAUGCGGCCCCAUGCCUCAUUAUGCUGCAUUAUAAUGCAGCAUAAUGAGGUGUCAAAUUUUGCCAAACAUGUUCUUGGUAAUAAACUAAUGUGAAUAGUAGUAUAAUACCACAUAAUCUCAUGCACCAAACACGCCCUAUGUGUAUUAUUCACGGUAUCUAUGAGGGCUUAUCCUUUUGCUAGAACAAACUCUAGCAAAUUGUCAAAUGUGCUUAUCCUUUCCCUUGACGACUCAUUUUAAAAUUGUCACUCAUUUUAAAAUUGUCUUUCAAUGCACAAACACAGACAUAACCGCCGACAUCGAGCACCAAGUUUGGAAUUUAAUUGAUAAGCAUACAUUUGAUAAAUUAAUGAAAAGUUUGGAGAGUAGUUUUGAUCACCCUUGAUUAGGACGGUAUUACAAAAAAGAUCAAAAAGAAAACAUCGUCUCUCUUCACAAAAAUAAAUAUUUUCCGUUAGAAUUUAAUACAAUAAUAUUUUUUUUGAUUAAAAUUUAAUUAAAUACACAAAUAAAUUAUAUAUUUUUUAAAAAAAUUUACACCCAGUCACAAGGCUGGCUAUUAAACUUAAAGGGUGGAAGCUUCGGAGACUAAAGUUGGUAACUUCUCCAAGUGGUCUUAAGUUGACCGGAACUACCCAGACUUUAUGUUUGGUAGCCUAGACCUGAUCGGACCUAGGCCCAAGUUUGGUCUUAAAGUCCACAAUUAAAUUAAAAAAAAAUUAUUUGAUUUGUAAUUGAUUUAUGGGGAAUGAAUCCGCAGCCCUAAAAUUACACCAAUCUUGACAUAAUGACAUCAUCGGUUAAAAACGUUCAGAUUUAUGGUUAAUCAAUGGUUUGAGAUUUGUUAUCAUUAAUGCUAGAUAUUUUUUAACAUUUUUUUCUAUCUCUCUUCUCCUGAAGGAUUUUCUAGGAAAAUGCAUCCACAACAAAAAUUUUAAAUUGUAAACAAUAAACAGAGUAUAAACGUUAAAUCUAAGGAACAUCGCUGCAUUUCAGCUGAAGCGAACUUUAAUAUUUUACGGAGAAAAAUAAUUAAGUCUUUAAUGUGAUUUAUUGAUUAAUAUAUAUGACUAAUUUUUUAAAAGAAGAUGAAGGAUGAAGCUUAAAAAUAUAAAUUAUAGAAUUAAUUUAUCUCUUCAAUAAAUCUAAAGUUUAUUUUUUUUAUUACAUGCUUCUAUUUUAUUUUUAUUCCAUGUUAAUGAAUGGAGAUUUAAAUCCAUUUUGGAUUUAUAAAGAUGUUUAGAUAUUUAAAUCCACGUGUGAUUCCAAACUUGAACCUUUUUUUUUUUUUUUUCUAAUUAAUGCAAACAGCCGCCUCUUUGACUGCUUUUCUUCUUUGUUUAUUAAUUAAUUAAUUCAGCUGCCCACCUUUCUUUUCCUAAUGUUUUCUACUCCCAAAUUUUUUUAAGGACAAGGCUACGUUGCAGACGCUGUACCUAACAGCUGCACCUUCGCCAGCUUAAAAAAGGGUGCAUUUGGUAAGCAACUUUUCUUUCGUGUGCAUAUGUGUCCUGCCACCAUUGGGUGUGUACGUAACAGAUAAUGUACCGUAACAAGCUCCUAUUUUUAAAUUUGUUUAUAAUGAUAAAAUAUAAAAAUUAAGAUUAAAAUGUAAUGUAAUGUAAAAUUAAAGGUGGAAGAGUAUUAAAAUAAGGCUAAACCUAUGUUACGUUUAACGUAACAUACAUUUAAAUAUAUAAAAUAUCAAUGGAAACCCUCAAAUUUUAUGGAAACUAUAUUAAUAAAAUUAAAAGAAAUAUUUUUAAAUCUGAAAGAAGAAAUAAAAGAUAUAAAGCAAGAGAUAGGAAAACUAAAAAUAGAAAUAUCUGUAAAAGAAAAAGGAAAAGAAAAAUUAGAAAUAAAAGAAACAACUCCAACUGAAUCGAAUUCAGACUAAUGGAAGAUGUAUUAGAAACUUUAACUGAAAAAUUCAGUGACAUAAAUCUUAGUGAUUUAGAAGACUUUGAAAAAGAAUAUUAGAUAAAAAUGAAUACUGCUGGAGGACCAGAAAUGAAACCUAAUGUAGCAUAACCAAGUCAUAGAUAUGGUAUAAAUAAAAUGAAAAAUAAACCUUUUUACGAGUAUAUACCUCCUAUUAAAAAUACUCCUUGGAAAAAAGAAUACAAACCAAAUCAAGAUACAUUAACCCCAAUAAAUAAUGCUGGAACAUUUUUAAAUCUAGAUUGUAAGAUAGACAUUCGAAAGGCGUUAGCAGAAUGGGUGUUACAAAUGAAAUUAUUUUUUAUAUUUAACGGGUCAAAGGAUGACUAGAAUGUAGAGACUGAAGAAGAAAAAAUAGAUAUAUUUGUUGAAAUCUUAAUAGCCAGUUUUUCAGGAAAUGUGUUUAAUUGGUGGAGAGGAUUAAGCGAUGAUACACAAAACUUAAUAAAAGAUUCAACCAAAUAGCAUUUAGAAAAAAUAAAGCCUUAGGAAUGGAAAGGAUAACUGAAUACAUAGCUAGUGAAUUUUUAGGAGAAGAUUGGCUAGAAAAAUCGGGCAUAUAUGAAAAUUUAAAAAUUUAUGAUAAAAAGAUCUUAGUGUUUUUAUUAAAAAAUUAAAAUUUACAUGACUAUUUCUUUAAAUAUUUAGGGCAUAUAUGAACCACGGAGGAGAAAAGCUUUAUUUAAUAUUUUAGAAUAGUUUUUGAUCAGUACAAUUGGGUCCUUAUUCAGAAUUAUUGUUCUCUUCCGCAACAGUUUUUGUUUAUCAAAGUCGUCAAUUAAAAUUUUAGAAUUCUUAUCAGAAGAAGUAGUCGUUUUAGAAGUUGGGUCUUGGAUCAAAUUUCUACGAGUGCAUGAAUUAACAAUAAAAAAAUUUCAUUACACACGGUUUAAGCUACAAACUACUAUUUGCACAGUUGACUAUAAAACUUACCUCCAAUUACACUAAACCUCUCUAUUUGGUAACGUUGAGACUAAAUUAAUUUUAUUAGCAUGAAAAGAUGAUAGAAAUAUAAUUAUAAAUAUUAUUGUUGUUAAUCAAUUAGUACAUGUGAUAUAAAGGUUAAAUGUGCACUAUAUUUAAUAAUUAAUUAGUGGAGCAUGUUAAACAAAAUGUUAAUGUAUAUUUAUAUAGUGUUAGGAAUAUGCAAAGUCAAGUCCUCAAUUUGCAUUAUCCUGUAUAGAAUAUUACUCUAAAAAUGUUUUACUAUAAUUGGCUUAGAACAUUUGUAAAGAAAAAUAAUAAUAAAAUAAUAAAUAACAUACACCGUCACAUAGCACCUAGACAAUGAUAGAAAAUUAUUAAAGAGAGUGCAAACAAUUAAUUAGAGAUUUUUAUGAUGACUUUUAAUAUUCAUGAUAAUAACAAAUAAAUACAUGUAUCACUUUUUUAAAAUAUUAAAUUUGACUGCUCCAUUAAUAAAUUAUUAUUGUAAUUCAGACUCUAUCUAUAUAUCCUUGCACUAAGAAUAAUUAAGGUAACGUUUGUUUUUUAACUUAAUGACUUAAAGUGACUUAACUUAAUUAAUUAAGUUAAUUAGAGGUGUUUGUUUUAUAACUUAAUGAGACUUUUUAGAUAAUUUUGACUUAAUAAAAUAAGCUAAUUUUUUUUGGCUUUUUACUUAAUGGAGAAAUCUGAAUUAAGUCAAUUACUUGCUAAUGUCAAAAAUAUCCUUGUUUUAUAAUUUAUUUUUCAUGUCUAUCCCAAAACUCGCCCGUAGAUAUUUACCCCACAUAAAAAUAUCCCUGUUUUUUUCUUUCUUAUAUUAUAUACGAUAAAAUUUGAAAUUUAUAGUAUUUUAUAUAUUAAAAUUCUAAAAUAAUUAUGUAUUCACUUGAAUAUAGUUUUACUUAUAAAUGUUAAAAUAUGAUGGUAUUUAAUAUAUUAUUUAUUUGACAUUCAAAUUUAAUAAGGAUACAAAUGUAAAAGUACAUAUUUUCAGCUUUUUAAAUUGAAAAAAAAUAACUUAAUAUUUAUUUUCUGAGAUUCAGACGAAAAAAUAAACAUAUUAUUCAGAUUCAUACAUUCAGAUCUAUUCAGAAUUCAAACUAAUUCAAGUCUAUUCAAAUUUUAGACAAAAAAAUAAACGCCACCUAAGUCAUAAUAAAAAUUUUCGUAACUACAUCUCGUUUCUUCCUCAUAAUAAUAAUUAGAUUGGUUCGAAUAUUAUAACUAUAUAGAUUUAGUGUAUAGCCACAUCCAAUUUAAAUAUUGACCCAAUUGGGAUGGUCCCCAAAAAAAAAGAUUCGUUAAAGGAUAAUUCUAAUUAUUUUUACUUCUCAAACGUUAGUGGGACGUUUCUAUUAGCGCACUCGUAAGCCAAGUUGUCAAAUAUUUAUACUAAACUACAAUUGCUAACAAGAAAAAUCAAGAUCGUGUUAAGCAAGUGGGUCCCGAAUAGGACGUGCAAAUCUCUCGUAAGUCAAGUUGUCAAAUGUUUAUAUAAAACUAACAAUUACUGACAAGAAAAAUCAAGAUCGUAUUAAAAAUGGGUCCCGAAUAGGAUUAUCUUUUUAAGAAUAUUAUUAUUUUAUUAUUAAAAUUUUAUUAAUAUAACAGUAUUAAAAUUUAUUAAAAAAUAUAUUUUAUUAUUAAAAUUUUAUACCGUUAUCAAUUUAUUAUUAUUUUAUUAAAAAAAUUAAUAUUUAACAAAAAUUGAGAUAAAAAUUAAUUUUUGUUCUCUGUCUUUAUUUAUUUAUUUAUUUUUUUGGGUCUUCUGCAAAUCACAAUCAAAUGUUGAAUUAUAAAUUUGCCGGCAUUGCUUUUUUUUUUUUUUUUGGGCCGGGGGGUGGUGUUGAAUUGAUGCUCUGGGUUUUUGACUUUUGUUGUCAAAUUUUACUCUGUUUUUCCCAAAUUGAUGCUANNNNNNNNNNNNNNNNNNNNNNNNNNNNNNNNNNNNNNNNNNNNNNNNNNNNNNNNNNNNNNNNNNNNNNNNNNNNNNNNNNNNNNNNNNNNNNNNNNNNNNNNNNNNNNNNNNNNNNNNNNNNNNNNNNNNNNNNNNNNNNNNNNNNNNNNNNNNNNNNNNNNNNNNNNNNNNNNNNNNNNNNNNNNNNNNNNNNNNNNNNNNNNNNNNNNNNNNNNNNNNNNNNNNNNNNNNNNNNNNNNNNNNNNNNNNNNNNNNNNNNNNNNNNNNNNNNNNNNNNNNNNNNNNNNNNNNNNNNNNNNNNNNNNNNNNNNNNNNNNNNNNNNNNNNNNNNNNNNNNNNNNNNNNNNNNNNNNNNNNNNNNNNNNNNNNNNNNNNNNNNNNNNNNNNNNNNNNNNNNNNNNNNNNNNNNNNNNNNNNNNNNNNNNNNNNNNNNNNNNNNNNNNNNNNNNNNNNNNNNNNNNNNNNNNNNNNNNNNNNNNNNNNNNNNNNNNNNNNNNNNNNNNNNNNNNNNNNNNNNNNNNNNNNNNNNNNNNNNNNNNNNNNNNNNNNNNNNNNNNNNNNNNNNNNNNNNNNNNNNNNNNNNNNNNNNNNNNNNNNNNNNNNNNNNNNNNNNNNNNNNNNNNNNNNNNNNNNNNNNNNNNNNNNNNNNNNNNNNNNNNNNNNNNNNNNNNNNNNNNNNNNNNNNNNNNNNNNNNNNNNNNNNNNNNNNNNNNNNNNNNNNNNNNNNNNNNNNNNNNNNNNNNNNNNNNNNNNNNNNNNNNNNNNNNNNNNNNNNNNNNNNNNNNNNNNNNNNNNNNNNNNNNNNNNNNNNNNNNNNNNNNNNNNNNNNNNNNNNNNNNNNNNNNNNNNNNNNNNNNNNNNNNNNNNNNNNNNNNNNNNNNNNNNNNNNNNNNNNNNNNNNNNNNNNNNNNNNNNNNNNNNNNNNNNNNNNNNNNNNNNNNNNNNNNNNNNNNNNNNNNNNNNNNNNNNNNNNNNNNNNNNNNNNNNNNNNNNNNNNNNNNNNNNNNNNNNNNNNNNNNNNNNNNNNNNNNNNNNNNNNNNNNNNNNNNNNNNNNNNNNNNNNNNNNNNNNNNNNNNNNNNNNNNNNNNNNNNNNNNNNNNNNNNNNNNNNNNNNNNNNNNNNNNNNNNNNNNNNNNNNNNNNNNNNNNNNNNNNNNNNNNNNNNNNNNNNNNNNNNNNNNNNNNNNNNNNNNNNNNNNNNNNNNNNNNNNNNNNNNNNNNNNNNNNNNNNNNNNNNNNNNNNNNNNNNNNNNNNNNNNNNNNNNNNNNNNNNNNNNNNNNNNNNNNGAAGGGUCUCUAAUCAAUAGCUGGAAGCAAUUGAGAAGGCGGUUGCUACAGUGAAUUCAAAUGUAAAAUGUUUGCUAUUCUUCGAUUUGGUUAAUGAUUUCGUAUGAAUAUUGUUGUUCCGUUGAGUUGCAUGCGAAUUCAAAUGCAAAAUAUUCUUCGAUUUUCAAUUUUGAAAUCAAAUUUUUUUUUCCUUCUCAAGCAUGUUAUGCAGAAACGAUUGUCAUGUUAUGCAGAAACGAUUUUUACUAAAUCAUUUUUAACAAACUAUUGAAAUUAAACCACUGGAAUAAGAAUUGUAAGGAUUUAUCGUAAGCUUACUAAUACGAUAAUUCUGAAACUAUCACCUUUUUUUUUUUAUUUGUUGCAGGGAAACCCAAAUUUUGUAUUUUGUCAAUUUCAUCUGAUAUGGAAUUUAUUUCCUCCCUAAAGAUUUAUCAAACUGCUUCUCUUCCCUGCUUCAAUAUCUUUAUGCAAUUACGAUCUCAUAGGAAAAGAGAGUUUGGGUUGUAUAUCUUAUAGUAUUUAUUUAUUUUUUGUUAAAAGAAAUUUAUUUUAAAAUAGUUUAUAGCAACAGUUUUUAUUUAACAAUAAUGAGGAAGGAUUAUUAUAGGUUCAAAUAGUUGUUAGAACAUUAUAAAAAAGUCCAUUUACUAUCAAAUGUUUUAAAUUGGUGCAACGUGAUAAUUGUCUCAUAUAAUUUUUUAAGGGUAAAAACUCGUUUCAUUCCCAUAUUUUAAGAUUAUUACUCAUUUAGUCUUUAUAUUUUUAAAAAUGUUUCAAAACAUUCAUACCCUUAAAUUAUUAACAUCUCUGCUGUUACUUUUUAUUUUUUUUUGACUUGUUUUUACAAUAUUGCCCUCUUACAAUAAUGUUUCUUUUUAUAAAAUUAAUAAAAAGAAAAAAAAUUAAAUUAUCAAUUUAACCCCAAAAAUAAAAUAAAAAUAAAAAGAAUAAAUAUUAAUUUUUGUGAAAGUUUACAUGUGUCCAAAAUAAAUUUUAUUGUAAAAAUAAUUAAAUUGCCUUUUUUUUGGACAUUAGUAAUAAAAAAAUUAAUAUAUUAAUUCCUCAGCAGUGUGUUACAAAAAAGUAAAAUAUAUUAAUUUUGUUUUUAUUUUAGACAAUGAGAUAGAGAAAAGUACAAGAUAAAGGAAAGGACUUCAAAACUCACUGUUCAUCAUAAUGCCCUUUGCCUUUAAAAAAAAAUCAUUCUAAUAUUUUAUAACACAUAAAAUAUAAUCCUAAGAUAAAUAUAAUAAUACAUAUUUUAAACUAAUCUCGAUAUUUAAAAUAUGUUUUAAUAUUUUAUAAUCUAUCAGACAUAUUUUAUUAUAUUAAUGUAAAAUUUAUAAUAAAUACAAACAUAUUAUUAAAAUAAAUAUAUAAAAAAUAUUUAUUUUUUAUAUGUUUACACUGAGGACUCUCUUUAAUUCAUUUAUUUUCUCUCUCUCCAAACAGGUACUGUCUUCAGUUAGCAAUGCUAUGAUAGUAAUCCAAUUCUCUUCUCCCCCACCUGAGCGAGAUUUGAAUUUGAAUCCCUUGUUUUUCACCCACUCUGUUUUUUUUCACGCAAGAUUUGACAAUUUGAGUUAAAAAAUAUGGUCCAAAACUUGAACACGUAUCUUUUAAUUGUAAUAAAAGUUCUUUAAGCUUUGGAGAUGGCAUAUAUAUGGCUGGAAGUGUCCUUUUCUUUGACCUAGAGGCAGCACCAAGCUAUCCAGCAUCAUCAUUUUUCAAGUGGGUCUUAAAUGCCUAGAAACGUUGGUGUUUCUUGAUUUAAAGAUGACACAUGCUAUAAGUGUGAAUGGUUUGGCUAAGCCUAAAUUUAAAGUCUACUCAAGUCGCAUUCAGGAUCAUGGAAAUUGGAAAGGGAGAGAUGAUAGCAAGAUUUAUAAUAAACAAUUAACUUGGGUCCUCAGUGUACAAAGCAAAUGCCACGCAAGCGAUAGCCGGCCCAGCCCAGAAAACCCAGUGGCGAUCCCAGAGAUGGCCUCCUCUAACGAGUGCUGGGCCCAAAAAUCUUUGCGGGUUGAGCCCAGCUCCGGCAUAGCCCUUUUGAGCAGUAACAGUUGUCGAGACAAAAACCAGAAGACCCAACACUGUUCCAAUGACAAUGCAUACGGUAAACUCUGCCAAGAGCCUUGGCUUGUCUGGAGUCAAAAGCCAUCCACACAGAAGCAAAAAGGAACACAAACGAGCAAAUUAUCUCAAGCCAAAGGGCCUGCCUAGUCCCCAAGCCGAUCUCAACAGGCCCAUCUGGCCCAGGUACGACAACAUUCAGGGUGCAGCCUCCAAGUUGUCAAAUAUUUAUAUUAAACUACAAUUGCUGACUAGAAAAAUCAAGAUCGUAUUACAAGUGGGUCCCGAAUUGGACGUGCCUAAAUCUUUUUAUAAUUUUCCCAGUGUAGCGGACAGAGGUCAUUACUAAAUUUCUCUUCCACACGCCACAGCAGCUUCGGUUAAUCAAACUCAAUCAAUUUUCUUGGCUUCUCCGCUUAUCAAUAUUACAAGGUAUGGGUAGCAUUUUUCAAAUCACAUGCGAUGGUACUAUUUUCAAUCGUUGCUUAGAUUGCUUUCUUGGAAAAGCAGCAUACAUAAGUAACCUCCAAGAUAAUCUUGUUGCCUUGGAGACUGAACUAAGGAAACUAAUCGCAGCAAAGAACGAUGUGAUGACGGCGGUUGUCAAUGCUGAACGGCAACAAAUGAGAAGGCUGGACCAAGUGCAAGUGUGGGUUUCGAGGGCGGAUGCUGUUAAAAAUGAAGCUGAUGAACUUAUCAGAGGCGGCUCUCAAGAAAUUGAAAAAUUAUGUCUUAGAGGGUUCUGUUCCAGGAACUGCACGUCAAGCUACAAGUUCGGAAAACAAGUGGCUAAAAAGCUACGAGCUGUGGAGACUUUAAUCGCCGAAGGAGUUUUUGAGGCGGUGGCUGCCGAGGUGGUGCCUGAGAGAGCUCCAGAGCCUGUAGCAGAUGAAAGACCUACCGAGCGAACAGUAGUAGGCUUGCAAUCACAACUUGAACAAGUCUGGAGAUGUCUUGCAGAAGAAUCAGCGGGAAUCAUUGGCCUAUAUGGUAUGGGCGGUGUUGGUAAAACUACACUAUUGACCUAUAUCAACAAUAAAUUUCUCGAGAGUCCAACCAACUUUGAUUGUGUGAUUUGGGUAGUAGUUUCAAAAGACCUGCGACUUGAAAAACUUCAAGAAAAUAUUGGGAAAAAGAUAGGUUUGGUUGAUGAUUCAUGGAAGAGUAAAAGUGUAGAGGAGAAAGCUCUCGACAUCUUCCGGAGUUUAAGAGAGAAGAGAAUUGUAUUGCUGUUAGAUGAUAUAUGGGAGCGGGUUGAUUUAACAAAAGUGGGCGUUCCACUUCCAGGACCACAAAAUACUACCUCAAAAGUCGUAUUCACAACCCGUUUGAUCGAUGUUUGUGGUAGCAUGGAAGCUGACAGGAAGUUCAAAGUAGCAUGCUUAUCAGAAAAGGAUGCUUGGGAACUGUUUCGAAAAAAAGUUGGGGAAGAAACUCUUGGAAGUCAUCAUGAUAUCGUUGAGCUAGCCCAAACUGUGGCCAAAGAGUGUGGUGGUUUGCCACUCGCACUUAUUACUAUCGGUCGAGCUAUGGCCUACAAAAAGACAGCCGAAGAGUGGAGACACGCAGUUGAAGUUCUAAGAAGAUCAGCUUCGGAAUUUGCAGGUUUGGGAAAAGAGGUGUAUCCUCUUUUAAAGUUUAGCUAUGAUAGUUUGCAGAAUAAGACGAUUAGAUCUUGUUUCUUAUAUUGUUGUUUAUAUCCUGAAGAUUAUGGCAUUCUUAAAUGGGACUUGAUUGACUGUUGGAUUGGUGAGGGAUUCUUAGAGGAAUCUGACAGGUUUGGUGCAGAAAACCAAGGAUACUACAUUGUGGGCACUCUUGUUCAUGCGUGUUUACUAGAAGAGAUAGAAGAUGAUAAAGUAAAAAUGCAUGACGUUGUUCGUGAUAUGGCUCUAUGGAUAGCUUGUGAAAUUGAGAAGGAGAAGAGAAACUUUUUGGUUUGUGCAGGUGCGGGACUAAAGGAGGCACCUGAUGUUAAAAGAUGGGAAAAUGUGAGAAGAUUGUCAUUGAUGCAAAACCAAAUUGAAACUUUGUCAGAGGUUCCUGCAUGCCCUCAUCUCCAUACUCUAUUUCUUGCCUCUAAUAAUAGUUUGCAGAGGAUCACCGAUGGCUUCUUCCAAUUUAUGCCUUCUCUCAAAGUUUUCAAGAUGUCAAACUGCGGGAAUUUAAUUUUGGAAUUACCUUUUGGGAUGUCAAAGUUGGGUUCAUUGGAACUUCUCGAUAUUUCACAUACCUACAUACAAGAGUUACCACAAGAGUUAAAGUUGUUGGUAAAUCUGAAAUGUUUGAAUUUGAGGUGGACAAGCGAGUUAAAUAAAAUUCCACGGCAGCUAAUAUCAAAUUCUUCAAGGUUACGUGUGUUGAGAAUGUUGGGUACUGGCUGGUUCAAUUUUCAUGAAGCAUCAGAAGACAGCGUUUUAUUUGGCGGGGGUGAAGUUUUAGUACGGGAAUUGCUCGGUUUGAAAUAUUUAGAGGUAUUGGAGUUGACCUUGCGAAGUUAUCAUGCUCUCCAAAUUGUUUUGAGCUCAAAUAAGUUAAAAAGUUGUAUUCGAUCUCUUUACCUCCAGUUGACCGGAGAUAGAAAGUCGAUUAUUGAUGCUACGGCUUUCGCAGAUCUAAACCACCUCAAUGAAUGAUUGAUUUUUAAAGGUUUUGAGUUGGAAGAAUUGAAGAUUGAUUAUACAGAGAUAGUACGAAAAAGGCGGGAACCUUUUGUUUUCCGCAGCCUUCACCGUGUUACCAUAGAUUCGUGCCUUAAAUUGAAAGAUUUGACAUUCCUCGUUUUUGCUCCAAACCUCAAGUCUCUUUCGCUAUUCAAUUGCCGUGCUAUGGAAGAAAUAAUCAGCGUUGGAAAAUUUGCUGAGGUUCCUGAGAUGAUGGGACAUAUAAGCCCUUUUGAAAAUCUCCGAAGUCUUCGUUUGUCACAUUUGCCAAAUUUGAAGAGCAUCUACUGGAAGCCAUUGCCUUUCACUCAUCUGAAAGAAAUGGUGGUACAUGGGUGUGAUCAGCUUAAAAAGCUUCCACUCGAUUCCAACAGUGCAAAAGAGCGUAAAUUUGUUAUUCGUGGACAAGCAGACUGGUGGGACCGACUUCAAUGGGAGGAUGAAGCCACUCAAAUUGCUUUUAGUUCCUGUUUCCAACCUUAACUUGAUUUCUGGUUAGUGCUGUUUCCUUAACUUUUACAUAUAUUCUCGUCGUUUGCUUCGUGCAAAAUACUAGGUCUUUUGUUCUCUGUUUUUAUUUCGCCCAUUUUUUUUUUUUUUUUUUGUCUUCUGCAAAUGACAGACAAAUGUUGAACUAAAAGGAAUUAAUGCUUUAUAACUUUGCCGGCAUUGCUUUUUUCUUUUUCUUUUUUGAUUUUUUGGGGCGAGGGGGGAUCGAAUAGAUGCUCUGGUUUUUGACUUUUUGUUGUCAAAUUUUACUCUGUUUUUUUCAAAUUGAUGCUUGAAUAUUUGAAUCAAAUUAAUGCUCACGUAAAUUUGUUCAGUUGCCGUAAAAGGAUAUAAUUACACUGAAAUACACAAACUCUAGAAUGAAUAGAAUUAAACAGAGAAAAUCUUGAGUAUAUUAGCCGUCUUCACAUAAAAUCAUAUGAAAAUUAAAUUUUGAAGUUUUUAUUUUCUAUUUUUAAUCAUACCCUUUAUAAUUUCUUCUGUUCUAACUACAAUAAAAUUUUUGGUUCAAGGAUUUUUAUGAGGGGUAUUAAUAAUAGUCCACCAAAAGAGUGAACAGUUGGAUGCUGCCCUAAGGGUCUCUAAUCAAUAGCUGGAAGCAAUUGAGAAGGCGGUCGUUACUGUGUACAAAGCCAUGCAGUAUUUGCUAUUCAUCUUAGUAAUUAUGAAGCUUUGGUAAAAUUUUCAAACAAAGUUGACAUGUUAUUUUGAGAUUUGGUUCAUGAUUUUGUAUGAAUAUCGUUGUUCCAUUGAGUUGUAUAUGAAUUCAAAUGUAAAAUAUUCUUUGGUUUUCAAUUUUGAAUUCAAUUUCUUUUCUUAAGCAUGUUGUGCAGAAAUGAUUUCUACUAAAUCAUUUUUGAUAAACUACUUAAAUUAAACAACUGCAAUAAGAACUGUUAAGGAUUUAUCGUAAGCAGACUAAUAUGAUAAUUCUGAAACUAUCAUUUUUUUUUUCAAUUUGUUGCAGGGAAAGCCAAAUUUUGUAUUUUUCAGUUUUAUCUGAUAUGGAAUUUAUUUCCUCUACACUAGCUACCUAAAGAUUUAUCAAAUUGCUUCUCUUCCCUGCUUCAAAUUAAUAUCUUUAUGCAACUACAAUCUCAUAGGAAAAGACAGUUUGGGUUGUAUUUAUUAUAGUUUUUUUUUUCGUUAAGAGCAAUUUAUUUUAAAAUCGUUUAGUAGUAACAGUUUUUAUUGAAUAAUAAUGGGGUAGGAUUAUUAUAGGUUCAACUAGUUGUUAGAACAUUAUAAAAAGUCCAUUUACUAUCAAAUGCUUUAAAUUGGUGCAACAUGAUAAUUGUCCCACAUAAUUUUUAAUAAUAUAUAUGGCCCAUAAAUUUAAUAUGAAUAAAUGAGUUUCGAUAGUUAAAUUUGAUACGAUUAUUAAAUAAGUUAUAUCCAUGUCAAUUCGACUUAAAAUCUGGUAAAUUUAGAUUUAGAGUUUAUAACAUGAUAACUUGUUUUAUGACAUGAUUUACUAAUCAAUUAAUAUUAAAUUAUAUUUUAGCCAAUCAGAUAUGUGGUACAUUUGUCAAAUUUUAAAAAUUAUUUAUUUAUAUAUGAAAUAAAUUUGACUAGACUGUGUGUAGGUAAUAGUGCAUAAUUUCUAAAAAAAUGUAAUAAUAACACGUUAAAAUGUUAUUUUUAUGAAGAAAAAUUGAAAUUUUAUUAAAUAGGCGACACAAUAAUAAAUGGGUUGAGAUUAUUUACAUUUUAAGAAUUACUCUGAACAUUAUUUUAUUUUAUAAAUUUUAUAUUACAAAAACACCCAUAGUUUAAUUUACCAUUAAGAACAAUUUUGUGCGAUUAAAUAAAAUACAUUACUCUUUACCCUUUCACUACAUCGACAUAAAUCCUAAUUGUUAUGUUUCUAAUUUCUUUGAUAUGCUUAUUGAAGUCCACAUUAUAAUCAAUUUUAAACUAUUAUACCACUUAAAUACAUUUUAGAAUGAGAAGUUUGGUUUUCUUCAUGGGCUGCCUUGCUGAUGCUGUUAUUGAAACUAUCGAACUUAAUAAUUUUAUGGCCAAAAUGAUAUAUGUUGAACCAGCUUUUACAUCGAAUUCUACCACCAUAAAAAAUCGUACUUGUAACAUCUCAAGGUUCCAAUUUAUCAAAAGUUAAUCAUUCAUAUUUGUUAGUUCCUAACAGUCACAAGAGCGUACAAGCCAAUUUUUGUAGCUCCUUUUUCUGCAGUAGAUUCAAGUAUAUUAUUAUCAAGCAUUUUUGUUACACCCUUAAUUCCUUAUCAUCAUCCCUUCAUUCAGAGCAACUAAACAGAGGUCAAUGUCAUUAUGUUAGAGUUACGAGGAAGAGUACUGCCAAAAAAGUUCUUUGUAUGGGAUUUAAUUUUCUGGGUUUGUAGUGAUGAACAAAUUGAGGGUUGUUUUGGUAUUUUCAAGAGUGUAUUGAGUGAAAAUUAUUUUUAAAAAAUUUAACAAAUGAGUGUAAUGAGUAAAAAAGUGUUUAAAGUAUUUUUUAGAGUACAAAUAGCUCCACCUUAAUAAAUGAGUUCUUGUAAAAAUUGAGAUUAUUGAUAUAAUUAUUAAAUAGGUUGGAUUGAAGUUAGUUUAAUUUUGACAAGAUAAUAAGACGACGCGACACAAAUACAACCAACCAGUCAACCCAAAUUGCAACCUUUUACUAAUAAAAGAUACCUGUUUGAAAAGUAAUUAUAAGCUAUCUUCUUUGUGUUAUUUCUCUAAAAAUUUGCGGCACAAAUAUUAUUUCCAUGGAGAAAAGUACGAAAUACCCGCUUUCACUUCAGCAGAAGCAAAGCAAAGCUAUGAGCCAUCUCUGUAUAAUUGAAACGCCAUUGCUAAACGGUUCUUGAUGAUGGGUGCCACCGUGCCAGCGUUGUCGCUGAUUUGCAUGAUUUAUUAGUUGUUCAGAUGGCGGAUUUUGUACUGUCACUUUCAUUUCAUUCUUGAGAGCCACGUACAAUACUAGGUGGCAUUGAAGUUGCCCCAGUGGUUAGUUUUCUGAUUUUUUUUAAUUCAAAUUUUUAUGUUUUAGAAAAAUGUAAGAAAUAUGUAGAAAUGUUGACAGCUACAAUUUUGAAACUUUGCCUAAAAUUAUUAUCGUUGCUUAUUGUUUCUUAGCUAAAGAGAAAUCCUAGAAACAUGAAAUUAUUAUUCUAUGCUUGUUUUAAUAUUAUACAUUAGCAGGUUAAUUAAAAAUUAGACGUGAAUACAACAAGAGAUAAGUGGAGAGAAUUUGGUAGUCGACCGCAUUUAGAAUUUAAUUUUUCUUUUAGCUGCCGAUCAUUAAAUUUUAUAUUUCAGAAAAUUAUACCUAGAAUAUUUCAAGGAUAUACUACGAAGAUUAUGAAGGUUUGAUUACAUGUCACUAUCAAUUGCCUCAAUCAUUUGUAGUAAAUUAAUUAAUCAUUUUGCUGCAAAUGAUUUCCUAUUAAAAAAUUCAAGUCAGAGCUGAAUUGCACAGUAGUUAGUCGUGCUUGCAAUUCAAAUCAAGUAUUGUAUUUUCUGCCUGAUUUGGUUGAUUCAACUAUGUGCAUUUGCAUAAUGGAGAUGCUUAUGAACGUUGUAGUAUAGAAAUCGAAACGUCUUGUCUUUUGCUAAGCCCAGAAGCAAAGUUCUUUGUAUUAUACUCAUCAGUUUUCUUCGUUCUCUUCGUUGAAAUUUUAUCCAAACAGCGGUUUCUUCGAAUUUUUGCCCUCUCUUACAUUUUUAAAUCUAUCAAAGAACGGUUACCUGAGAAGAUUGCCAUCAGGUAUUUCGAAAUUGAUUUCACUACAAUACCUUAAUCUAUCAGAUUUUAAUCUAUCAGAUGCUCCCGUCACUCAGUUGCCAAAAGUGACAAAAGCCUUAGUAAAUUUUUAGAGUAAAAACUCAUUUAUUCCUUAUAUUUUAAGAUUAGUAUCUAUUUAGUCCUUAUAUUUUGAAAAAUACCUUGAAACAUCACUGCCAUUAAAGUAUUGAUACCCUUACCGUUACUUUUUAUUUAUUUUGGCUUAUUUUUACAAUAUUACCCUUUAAUAAUAAUUUUUUUGUUUAGACAUUAAUAAAAAUAAAAUAAUUAAAUUACCAAUUUAAUCCUAAAAAAUAAAAAUAAAAAUUUAUAUUAAUUUUUAAUUGUAAAAAAUUGUAUGCAAACUACCAAAUGUGCAAACGGUGCUUGCAAAAAAAUUAAUAUAAAUUUUUUAUUUUUAGGGUUAAAUUAGUAAUUUAAUUAUUUUAUUUUUAUUAAUGUCCAAAAAAUUAGUAAUUUAAUUAUUUUCUUUUUAUUAAUGUCCAAAAAUUAUUAUAAAAGGGUAAUAUUAUAAAAGUAAGCUAAAAGAAAUGAAAAGUAACGGUAGGGGUAUCAAUACUUUAACGGUAGGGAUGUUUCGAGGUAUUUUUAAAAAUAUAAAGAGUAAAUGGACACUAAUAUUAAAAUACAGGGACUAAAUAAGUUUUUAUCCUAAAUCUUUAAGUGUUUGAAUUGGAGUACAUAAAUUAUCUCUCUACAAUUCAAAAACAACAGAUUUGUUACUUUUCAACGCUACAGGUUCCGCGAAUAUUCAGUUGUGGUUAUCUUGUUGAAACACCAGAAAAUAGCGUUCUAUUUGGUGGUAAUGAAUUCUUGGUUGGGGAGUUACUUAGUUUAAAACAUUUAAAUGUAUUAAGCAUCGCCUUAAAAGGUUUUUCUACCGUCCAAAAAUUUAUGAGCUCCCAAAAGUUUCAAAGUUGUACAAAAUGUUUGGAGCUUAUAGACAGUGAUGAUUCAAAGUCGUUUGCCAUGGCAGAGUUGAAGCAUCUUGAAAAACUAGGUAUUUCAAAUUGUGGAAAUUUGGAAGAGUUUAAGUUCUGCUGUGUCGAAGUUGGAAAAACUUGAGAAGAUUUUUGUUUGAACAGCCUUCACCAAGUUAAGAGAAAGGCUUGUCAUAAAUUGAGGGAAGUGACAUGGCUUGUGUUUGUACCAAAUCUUAAGGUUAUUCAGAUAGAAAAAUGUAUGGAGAUGGAGGUUGUUGGGAAAGAGACUACCACAAGCAGCUAAAAAUUAAGCGAAUACAAAAUUCUUUCUCUCUUUGUGUGAUUAAAAUAGGAUGUGCACCACAAACAAAUAAGCAGAAAAAUAAACCAAUAAAUGCAAAGCAAAAACCAACCACAAGAGACACCGAUUUUUAAGUAGAAAAUUUAAAUUGGGAAAAAUCACAGGAUAGUAGUCUGAUAUAAACUUCUACUAUAUUAAUGAGAUUACAACACAAAUUCUUCUCCAGAUAAUACUAGAUGCUAACAAUAUUAAAAUUCUCAACAAUCUUAGUUUAUAAUAAUAGAUCUAAAAUCUAUUUCUUCAAUAAGUGAGUAUCUCAAAUAAUAGCUACUGAGAGAAUAAAAUACAGAUCAACACCAGUAGAAAUAUAGAGGGCAAUGUCAGGAACUUACCCUCCAAAUUUAGGACUAAUCAGAGCUAAAAUAACCUUUUGAUUGUUGAAUCAAAGAUUGAAAACCAAAAAAAAAAAAAAUAUCUCUUUCUCUCGCAGUGUCUUCUCACUUUCGCAAAAUGUCUACAGCUCUCGCGAUUCUUUACUUAUUUCCUUAGUUAAUUUCAUCCAAGUCCAAAAUUUUACAAUAAUUACACAUCAAGCAAAUUAUUUUGGACUUUGAACUUUUUGGUCCACUGAAGUGAAAUGGACCUUACAAAUCUCCCCCUCCAUCUCAUCUAAGGGGCACCACCAAGCCCGCUCUCUACUUACAGCUUUCCAGCUUCUCCUUGGGUAAUGACUUUAUCAUCAUAUCUGAUGCAUUCUUCGUUGUGUGAAUUUCUCCAAGCUGCAACUGUUUCUACUCAAGCACGUCUUGUAUCCAAUGAUACUUCAUAUCAAUAUGCUUCGAUUUCAAAUGAUAUGUUGAAUUCUUUGCCAAGUGGAUGACACUUUAACUGUCACAGUACACAACAUAACUAUCUUGAUUAACACCUAGUUCUUGUAGAAAAUUCUUCAUCCACAAGGUUUCUUUGUAACUUUCAGUGAUUGUAAUAUACUCUACUUCUGUAGUAGACAAAGCAACACACUACUAAAGUCUAGACUGCCAUGAAACUGCUCCUCCUACAUAGGUGAGCAAAUAUCUUGAUAGAGACUUUCUAGAAUCAACAUCUCCUGCCAUAUAUGCAUCCGUAUCUACUUGUAAUAUAGGUUUGUCACCACCAAAACAUAAACAUGCCUUGGAAGUGCCUCUGAGAUAUAUGACAAUCUACUUUACUGCUGUCCAGUGUUUUUUACCCAGAUUAGAGGAAAACCAGUUGACUACCAACUGUUGAAGCGUACCUCAAACUACCAACUGUUGAAGCAUAAAAAACUCUUUUUAUCUCUUGCUUCUCUUUCUCACUUAUGGGACAAUGCUUGAAACUAAGCUUGAAAUGACCUGCAAGUGGAAAAUAAACAUAUUUUGCUUUGUCCAUAUUAUAUCUUUUAAGAACUUUUUCAACAUAUGCUUCCUGAGAUAACCAUAAAUUCCCAGUUUUUCUGUCACGAGAAAUCUUCAUGCCAAGAAUUUGUUUCGCCGAUCCCAAGUCCUUCAUUACAAAAGACUUGCUAAGCUCUCUCUUCAAAUUGUCAAUCUUACUAGUAUCCUUGCCAACAAUCAACAUGUCAUCCACAAAAAGUAAAAGAAUAAUAAAAUCAUUAUCACUAAACUUUUUCACAAACAUACAAUGAUCACACAUUGUCUUGCAAAAGCCAUGAUUCUCCAUAAAAGAAUCAAACUUCUUAUACCACUGUCUUGGUGCAUGUUUCAGCCCAUAUAAAGUUUUUUUCAAUUUGUACACAAGUUCUUCUUUACCUUUGACACUGAACUCUUCAGGUUGUUAUAUGUAUAUUUCCUCCUUUAAGUCAUCGUGUAAGAAAGCAGUCUUUACAUUGAAUUGUUCAAUUUCCAAAUCCAAGCUAGCUACUAAUCCCAGAGGUGCUUGCUCAAUUGGUUCUGCUGGACCAUUAUUAUUAUCCUCUCCAGCUCCCCUAUGAUCAUCAUGAACAACAUGUGGAGAAACCGAAGUUGGAAUAAUAAGAAUCUCUGGAGAUGGCUGAGACUUAUCAUUUUUUUUUCAUCACCAACUAUCUAAUUUUUAAGAAACACAACAUCUCUAAUUCUGAUUACUUUUCUUGUCACUGGAUCCCAUAAUCUGUACCCAAAUUCUUCAUGUCCAUAGCUUAAGAAAAUACAUUUCUUGGCUUUAUCAUCAAGUUUUGAUCUCUCAUCUUUAGGGAUAUGAACAUACACUCUGCACUUAAACACCCUCAAGUGUUUAUAAGAAACAUCUUUCCCAAUCCAAACUCUUUUAGGUACAUCGUCAUCUAAUGGAGCUUAAGGAGAAAGAUUAAUCAAAUCAACUACAGUACGCAUAGCCUCCGCUCAGAAGGAUUUAUAAAGCUUGGCAUCAGAAAACAUACAUCUGACUAUCUUUUCAAUUGUUCUGUUCAUUAUUUCUGCAACACCACUCUGCUGAGGGGAUUUUGGUACAGUUUUCUUAAGUUUGAUUCCAUGAGAUCUGCAAUACUGCUCAAAUGGUCCUCUGUACCCACCAUCAUUUUCUGCCCUGACACAUUUCAAUUUUUUUCUUGUCCCUCUCUCAACAUAAGCACGAAAGAAUUUAAACAUAGUAAGCACGAAAGAAUUUAAACAUAUCAAGCACUUAAUCUUUAGAUUUUAAAGCAAAAGUCCAUACUUUUCUAGAACAAUCAUUAAUAAAAGUCAUAAAAUAAAGUGCACCUCCUAUUGAUCUAUUUUGCAUCAUGCAAAUAUCAAUGUGAAUCAAAUCAAGGAUUUGUGACUUUCUAGAUGGAGAAAAGCUUUUAAAAGUUACUUUAUGUGCCUUUCCAGCUAAACACUAAACACAAGUCUUGAGGGACGUACCUACAAAGCUUGGUAGAAAUCCUUUUUUGGCAAGAGUUCCUAACCCUUUCUCACCAAUGUGACCAAGCCUUUUAUGCCAUGUCUCAAUGUCAGAAUUGUUUACAGCCAUAUUCAUAUAUUCUUUCUUGAUUUUGGCUUCUAUUACGUAGAGGGUGUUCAUUUUCUUUCCUUUAGCCAACACUAGAGAGCCUUUGGUGAGCUUUCAUUUUCCUUCACCAAAUUAGUUAGUAUAACUAUCAUCAUCAAUUUUUCUUGUGGAGAUCAAAUUAAGACGAAUAUCUAGUACAUGCAAGCUUUUUUGUGGAGAUCAAAUUAAGGCGAAUAUCUAGUACAUGUCUGACAUCUUUAAGGAGUAGCUUAUAGCCAACACUGGUUUGAAGCAAAUAUCUCCUAUGCCCACAAUCUUGGAUGCCCCCUCAUUUCCCAUCCGAACAUGGUCAUAAUUACCAUUAACAUAGGAUGUGAAGUAAUCAUGAUGUGCAGUUGUUGUGCAAAUUUUAAUGUACUCGCAAGCGCACGAAUCUAUUGUAGUAUAGAUCAAUGGUGACGAGUGUCGAUCCCACGAGGAGGUGGAUUUUAAUUGUGUAUAGAAUUAAUUUUGCAAAUGGUUGAUUGGAUUUGUGGUGGAAAUGAUUUGGAAUAUGCUAAAACUUAAAUUAAAAUGGCGAGAAUAAAUUCUAAAAUUGGAAUUGAAAUUGCGAGAAUAAAGUUGAAGAGAAUUCUAUUGAAAUGACGUACUUGGGUAUCUGGAUCCGUAUCAACAUGCAUCAUGGGCUAAAUAAUGCGUAUUAAUGCCAAUUAAAUCAUGAGGGGGGAAUCCACACCUCAUGAACCACGCUCUAAUCAAUAUGGUGCUAAGGGCUUAUCGUGCCAAAUAAUAAUAACCUUGUACUAGAGAGCCGGUGUAACCAAGGCGGUACUAGACAAGAUUAGUAUUAUUUGUCGACGAGAAGUCAAAACAUCCACAAAAACUAGAGGGGAAGAGAAAAUAAAUUUACCAAAUAAAGCCCAUGACACAUGUUGAGACUUCACCUUCAACCCAAGCUUAAAAGAAAAUUAGCUACUCAUAAUUGAACUAAGGGCAAAAUGGGAAUUUAUUAAAAUACGAAGAAAAUACAAGAUAGAGAGGGAAUUACAGAAAAUGGAUCCCAAAAAUGGAUUCAGAGAUAUCAAAUUAGGGGGGGAGGCCCCCUUUUUAUAGAUACAUGGAGUAAAUCAUGGCAAUCGGAUUAAAAACAGUUUGGACGCUCAGGAUUGCGCCACGUCAUCAGUCAACAGUCCACGGUUUGACCACGCGGAUGAACAGUAAUACGGUUUGACCCAUAUGAACAGUACGCGGUUUGACCCGGAUGAACAGUAACGCGGUUUGGUUGAAAAUAAUCCUGUGUGAUGCAUGCACCGUACGCGAGAUUUUUUGUCCACUGAUAUGCUGCCACGUCACCAUCAACAGUACAUAAGAAUUUUAGUCCAACAGGAUCGUGACACCUCAUCAGUCAAUGCCACAUCAUCGAUCCGUCUAUGUGAGCAGUGCCGUGAACAGUAACAUAUACAGUACCGUAUACGUGAAUAGUACCGUACAUGUGAAUAGUGCUAUUUUUCCUUUUAUGCUCCUCCUAAGGUUUUCGACCGUCCUGAGUUCAAAAGUGAUGUCCGUUUUACCGUCUGAUCUCUCCUUUAUUGUGAAAUCACUAUAAUACCACUAAAAUACAUAAAAUACUUAAUUAAAAUAAAACACAUGUAAUUAAAUCACAAGAAGGUUAAAUACAUAAAAGUAAGGGUUGUUAGUAAGACUUGAAAUGUAAAAUGAUGGUUUUCUCCUUUAUAAAUAUGCAUUUUCUAACACUCAACAGCAGUAACCACGAUGUGCAGUAACAUCAAACGAAGCACCCGAAUCAAUCACCCAAUUACUGGUAUGGCAAGUAAGAUUUAUAGAGCUAUCAUUAUAAGCAAUGCCCAUAUCACCAUUAAUUACGGCUGUAACAUUCUCUUUGUCAUUUUUCUGACCAUCGCCUUUUUCUUUCGCAUGUUCUCUUUUCCACAAUUUACACUACCUUUUUACAUGGCCCAUUUUCUGACAAUGAAAGCACUUAGCUUCUCCUAUGGGACUUAGAUCUUCCUCCAGGGUUAUCAUUAUUCUGAUGACGGAAAUUUCUGCUUCGACUUCUCCCCCGUCUUUUUUGGUUUUCUGAAACAAGUGUAGCUGACUCAGAGGGAACUACUUCAGCAUUCUUUCUUCGAGAUUCUUCAUUCCGCAGUCUAUCUGUAACCAUAUCCAAGUUUAAUUUACCAUUCGGUGCCGAAUUAUUCACUGACACCACUAAUGUCUCCCAACUAUCAGGUAAAGAACUAAGCAACAACAAUGCUUGUAACUCGUCAUCUAGAAUAAUCUUCAUAGUAGUCAACUGAUCAACCAAACCCUGAAACUCACUAGUGUGUUCAGUAAUACUGUGGCCUUUUUUAUAUUUCAAGUUAACAAGCCUUUUCAUUAGAUUGACUUUAUUUUGUGCUGUUGGCUGCUCAUAAAUUAUUUCUAAUUUUCUCCAAAGAACAUCAGCCUUGGAUUCCUUCGCGACAUGAUGGUACACACUCUGAUCAAUCCAUGACCUAAUAGUGCCCACGGCUUUCUGGUUCAAUUGAGCCCAUUUCUUAUCAUCUAUAUCAACAAGUUUAACUUCAUCACCUUCAAUAGGUUCAUGUAAGUCUUUCAUGUAGAGCAAAUCUUUCAUUCUAGACUUCCAAAUAUCAUAAUUCCACGACUCAAUUUAAUCAUGAACGCCAAAGACUCCUCUAUUUCAACCACAUAAGUAAUAAAAACACACAACCUGGCUCUGAUACCACUCUAUUGGGAAAACGACUACCACAAACAGCUACAAAUUAAGCGAAAAUAAAAUUCUUUUCCUCUUUGUGUGAUUAAAAUAGGAUGUGCACCAUAAACAAAUAAGCAGAAAAAUUAAUCAAUAAAUUCAAAGCAAAAAUCAACCACAAGAGACACCGAUUUUAACGUGGAAAAUUCAAAUCGGGAAAAACCAUGGGACAAUAGUCCGAUAUAAAUUUCCACUAUAUUAAUGGGAUUACAGUACAAAUUCUUCUCCAGAUAACACUAGAGGUUAACAACAUCAAGAUUUUCAACAAUCUUGGCUUACAAUAAUAGAUCUAAAAUCUAUUUCUUCAAUAAGUGAGUAUCUCCAAUAACAGCUAAUGAGAGAAUAAAAUAUAGAUCAACACGAGUAGAAAUGUAAAGGGCGAUGUCAGGAACUUAUCCUCCAAAUUUGGGAGAAAUCAAAGCUAAAAUUAUUUUUCGAUCGUUGAAUCAAAGAUUGAAAACCCAAAGAAAAAAAAUAUCUUUUUCUCUCGCAACGUCUUCUCACUUGCGCGAAAUGGCUACAUCUCUCGCGAUUAUUCACUUAUUUCCUUUAUAUUUUUUUUGGUUAAUUUCAUCCAAGUCUAAAAUUUUACAAUAAUUACACAUCAAGCAAAUUAUUUUGGACUUUGGGCUUUUGGUCCACUGAAGUGAGAUGGACCCUACAGAAGCAAUAAUCAGUGCAAGAAAAUUAAGUGAAGUUCCAGAGAUGAUGGCAGAUCUAAACCCUUUUGUAAAACUCCAAUAUCUUGGCCUCCGAAUUCUACCAAAAUUAAAAAAGCGUCUAUUGGAAUGUGUUGCCCUCUCCACAUGUCAGGGAAAUUUUUGUAUCUGAAUGCCCAAUUCUCAUUAGAGGAGAGGAACACUGGUGGAAUAAGUUGCAAUGGGAGGAUGAAGCAACCUAUAAUGCUUUUCUUCCUUGUUUUGGAUCCAUUUGAUGGGCAUCAACAUGGAUUAAUAUUUUGCAGCGAACCAAUUUGAAUAAAACUUACGGUAAGUGCUUUUCCAUUUAUUGCAUAUUUAUAUCUAAUUUUUGUUUUCCUUUAUGGUUAAAUUUUGCCCUGUAUAUGUUGUUGUACGGUGACAUUCUUGAAUCAAUUAUUAAUUUUUUUAAUUCUCGUCUCACAACCACCCUUUUGAUCAUGAGGAUAUGCCGAUAUCAAAGAGUCAUAAUUUGGGAUACAAAUGUAAGAAUUAGGCAGAUGACAUGUUGUUUCAAAGCUUUCGAAGAAGGACUAAAUAUGUCAUUGAAAGCCUCCAAUUUUGCGACUGAUUUUUUUUUAAUUUGUUAUUUUUAUAGGUGGCAAAAAUACCCGUCUGAUUUGGACUCGGCUGAUUUGGGCCGGGUACGGAGUAUGAAGCCGGGUUGGUCCUGGGCAUCACUUGAAACUCGGAACCUGGAUUUUAUUAAAAAAUAUUAUAAAUAUAUAUUAUUUUAAAUAUCUAUAUUUAUUAGACUCAUCUAUUACAUAUAUCUAAUUUCAUUGAAAUAAAUUUAAAAAUUAUAAAAUUACCAAUAUAUAUAUAUAUAUAUAAUAUUAAAAAAGUAUAAAAUCUGAGUCCUCAGAUUAAAACCCAGUUCAAGUGUCUAAAAAAUACAUGUGGACCGAGUUUGAACAUUGCGAUACCCAGACCCAAACUUGGGUUUUGCCAACCCUAGUCUUUUAAAUUGCUUGAUUGUAAUGUUUUAGUAUAGAAAAAUGAUAGCCAAGACAACAAUAAGAGGGCACAUUGUGCAUGCACAAUAGUGGAUAAUUUCGGCAUUCCAAAUCCAAUUAGGGUGGAUAACCUUUUAUUAGUAUUAACCUUCUCUCGUAUUCAAGUAAUGUAAAAUAUGCUUAGAAGCUGUGGAUCCCCCUUUAUAAGUGUUGGGCUUAUGCCAAACUCGAUUGAUGUGGGAUGCCUUUAUAGGCAUCAAGUUUUCUCCCAUACACUUUAUGUUAAAAAUAAUAAUGAUAAAAUAAAUCCAUUUUAAAAUAGACUUCUUUUUCUUUUCUAUAUAAACAAACUCAUUCUUCAAAUCAGUUGUGGGUGGAAGGAGUGAGUAGAGAAGAACUGGGCCCCUUUCGUUCCUCUAAAAACCUCACCAAACCUCUCUUGUAAGCUUCUCAGUGUCCCUCUCAAUAUUUCUUAUGAUCUCGUUUUUUAUUGAAUCACUUCUUUUGUGUGCUGCAUUUUUGUGUGUCGUAUUUGGGUUUAUCUUAUCUGGAAUCCUGUUAUGAUUGAUGGAACAAGUAAUCGAUUUUUGGUUUAUUUGGAAUGGAAUUAUGGUUUAUUUGGAAUGGAAUUAUCUGGGUGUAACGGAUUAAAUUAUGACAUUGGGGAGAAGGCACUAAGGGGUUUGCUUGACACAUUUGGUUCUGUGUUUACUCUGAAAGAAAUAGCUUUUGCUUAUCGUAAUGCAAGGCGAAAUCCCGAUUUGGGUGGUGAAUUUCUCUAUCCCAAUUGGGCUGGUGAAUUUCUCUGUGACAAAUAGGCAAACAGCUCAACCUCUUUUAUCUAUCUUCUACUAGUGAGGCAAGGGAUAAAAAGUCUUCAAAAUCAUCAAAUAGUAACAUCUUCGAGAAUUCAUUUUAUGCAAAUGGAAAAUCUAGACCUUCUAAGACAAAAUGGCGUCCAGUAUCAAGAGGUACCGUUUCAAGUUUUCUUGGUAAAAAUUAUGUAAACUUGCACAGCCAGCUAAUGGCACUUUUCUAGUUUUCUGGCAUCAAAGCCAUUGAAGUCGUAUCCAAAGGAGUUUCCCAUGUCUGCACUUUGUGGAGAAGGAACUAAACAAAAACAAUCAAAGGAUGACCAUUUGCAGAAGGAUGUGGAAGAUUUUCUGUUUAAAUUGCUAGGAGAAGUGUUCCAGCUGAAUAGGGAUGUGAUUCGGGAAGUUCCAGUAAUGUCUUAAAUAUGUUGAUGCCAAUUUAAUAUAUAUUGUCAUUUUCAAUGUUCUUUCUUUCUUUCUUUAUCUUCUUUUCUUCUACUUCUUCUUCUUUUUCUUUUCGUGUGCAUGUGAUCACUAAUUUGUUAUUAUACUUAACUUGCAGGUAGUUGUGGAUAUGAUAUGCAAAAGGUAAGGACUAUAUCUUCCUGAUAGAGGCCUCUGCUUUUUCCCUUUUAUGUAAUUUAGUAAAUCUCAUCUCCCUUUGUGAUUGUUAUAUCAUAUCAAAGUCAAGUCUUAAAUACUGCUGUCAUAUGUUAAGGUUCAACUUGCAUUUUGACUAACAUCCAUUUGUUGUCGCUUCCAAAAGUGAGAAUGAGAUACUUCGGUUAAUUUCAGUAGUUGAACCCAAUCGAGUACUUUAUCUAGAUCUUCAUGGUUCAAAGGCCUGAAACUUGCCCGUGAUUGUAAAAUGAUAUUAUGUGCUUUUAAUGCAAUAGGGGGAACAAGGUGUCAAAGGAAUUAGCAGAUUCUAUGGCAGAUUCUAUGCCUGUACAACUGUAACAAUUAUCCUUAUGAUUGUAAAUCUUAUAUGUUUUCCUUAUUUAGGAUAUACUAGCUGUAGGCUAUUUUAGAUAGUUAUGUAUAUGAUAGUUUAGCUAUGUUUAGGGCUAAACAUAAGCUUGUAUUCAUAGUAUAUAAAGGGAAUUCUCUUCUAAGAGAAAGCAUAACUUUUGCUCAAAAUUCUCUGAGUUUAUCAUGGUAUCAGAGCCUCAGUUCUGAAUUCUCUUCUUCCUAGUUCAUUCCCUUGUUCUUAGUUAUUCUUUUUUUUAUCAAGUUAUCUCAGCCUCAUGUCUUCAGACAAGUAUGAUGCUUUUUUGAUCCGUUUUAAUGGCACAAACUACUCAGCCUGGGCAUUUCAUUUCGAGAUAUUUGUCAAAGGCAAAGAUCUAUGGGGACAAGUUGAUGGCAGGAAACCUGCCCCUGAUAAAGAGAUAGACCAGGAUGGGUACGCCAAGUGGGAAGUCAAGGAUGCUCAAAUCAUGGCAUGGAUUCUAGGAUCUGUGGAAUCCAACUUCAUCUUGAAUCUUCGACCCUUCAAGACUGCAGCAGGAAUGUGGAAUCAUCUAAAGAAACUCUACAGUCACACCAACACUGCUCGUUGAUUUCAGCUUGAACAUGAGCUAGCCAAUCUCCAACAAGGCAGUCUCUCUAUUUCUGAUUUUUAUUCUAUCUUUAUGAUUAUUUGGGCUGAAUAUACUGAUAUAAUCUAUGCUACCUUACCUCCGAAGGUCUUAGUUUUGUUCAAUCUGUACAUGAAACUACUAAGAGAGAUCAAUUUAUGAUAAAACUGAUAUAUGAAUUUGAAAGCACUAGGUCCAAUCUUAUGAAUUGAGAAUCUGUCCCUUCCUUGGAUACAUGCCUCAAUGACUUAUUUCAUGAGGAGCAACGACUUCUUACUCAAAAUACCAUGAAACAAAAAAAAUCUACUUCUGUUCCUAUGGCUUAUGCAGCUCAAGGCAAGCCAAAAGGUAAGGACAUCAGUAUAGUUCAAUGUUUUUGUUGCAAAGGAUUUGGACAUUACGCUUCAAAUUGUUCAAAAAAAUUAUGCAACUAUUGCAAAAAAGAUGGACAUAUCAUUAAGGAAUGCCUUACUCGACCCCCCAAGAAAUCUGAAACAACAUAUGCUACCUCAGUUGGUUCUUCUAGUGAUGGUAGUUCUGUGGAUACAGCACAUUUGACCCAAAGUGCUCCUGUUCCUGUUCAAUCUGUGACCCCAUAAAUGAUUCAACAAAUGAUCAUUAUUGUAUUCUCCUCAUUAGGACUCUCAGGUAAAUCACCCACUAGAUCUCCUUGGUACUUUGAUUCUGGGGCUUCCCAUCACAUGACAAACAAUGCUAAAUUCUUCACCAAUGUAAGUAAAUACCUUAGAAAUCUAAAAAUUCAUACAGCUGAUGGCAACUCUUUACCUAUCACAGCCACUAGUGAUGUUUCUUUUUCUAUAACCAAUGUCUUUGUCUCUCCUGGUCUUCCUACUAAUCUUGUUUCAAUCGGUCAGUUAGUUGACAAUAAUUGUAAAGUAGAAUUCUCUAAAUCUAGUUGUGUUGUGCAGGAUCAGCAGUCAGGGAAGAUGAUUGCCAGGGGGCCUAAAAUAUGACGUCUUUUCCCUCUCCAAUUUGCUAAGUCUCCAUGUUUCUCUUUGCCUAUCAUCACUUGCAAUUUUACUAAGGUUAAUUAUCGAGCAUGGCAUAAACGUCUAGGACACCUAAACUCUAAUGUAUUUUAUGCUUUGCUAAAUUCUGGUUUACUUGGGAAUAAAAGAUCACCAUCCCUUAGUGUUGUUCAAUUUGAUUGCAAUUCUUGCAAGCUUGGAAAAAGUAAAAUUCUGCCAUUUCCCACUCACACACCGAAUGUUGUCCAGCCUUUUGAUUUGAUACAUAGUGAUGUGUGGGGUAUGGCGCCUGUUACAUCUCAUGCUAAUUACAAGUACUUUGUCACUUUUAUUGAUGACUAUAGUCGCUUCACAUGGAUUUAUUUUCUACAUUCUAAAGAUGAAGUGUUCUCUGUUUUCAAGCUUUUUCAUGCAUAUAUUCAGACCCAAUUUUCUACUAAUAUCAAAAUUCUUUGCUUUGAUAAUGGGGGUGAGUAUAUGUCUCAUUUAUUUUAAGAAUUUUUGCACACCAAUGGUAUAAUUUCUCAAAGAUCUUGUCCUUCAACCCCUCAACAAAAUGGGGUGGCUGAAAGAAAGAACUAUCACCUUCUCGAUGUUGUCUUCAUUUGUACCCUCUCGUUUUUGGUGUGAAGCUUUCUCCACUGUUGUCUAUCUCAUCAACAGAUUGUCCUCUCAUUCCUUGAACCAUGUCUCCCAUUUCUUUCAGUUAUUUGGCCAUACACUAAGUUACUCUCAUCUCCAUACCUUCAGUUGUGUGUGCUAUGUUCAUCUUCCUCCAUAUGAGCGUACAAAACUCACAGCCCAAGCUGUGAAAUGUGCUUUUCUAGGAUAUUUUAUGCACUAAAAAUGUUUUCUUUGUUAUGAUCCAAAUUUGCAUCAUAUAAGGGUUUCUCGAAAUGUGAUUUUCUUUGAAAAUCAGUAUUUCUUUUCCGCAUACCACGACGAUUCUUCGCCUUCAUUUUCUGUUUUGCCAAAGUUUACUAACCCUUCUGCAGAUUCUGCACCUUCUAAACCUAUCAUAGUCUAUCAGCGACGCAAGAAUUUAGUACCUCUCGGGCCCCCUCCAGCAACUUCCCUGAAUGUUGAUCCAGUUCCAGCAACUGCACCUGAACCUUUCAGACAUAGUACUCGGGUUCGUAGACCACCAGAUAGGUAUGGUUUCACCUCUCCAUUAUUUUUGACAGCCACUUUGUCUUCUAUUCUUAUUCCUUCAUCAUAUAAACAGGCAAUAGAGCAUGAAUUUUGGUGAAAAUCUAUUGAAUCAGAACUUCUUGCACUUGAAGAAAACCAAACUUGGGAUAUUGUUUCAUGUCCUCCAUCCGUGAAACCCCUUAGUAGUAAGCUAGUGUUUUCUAUCAAGCUGCGUUUUAAUGAAUCCAUAGAUCGUUACAAGGCUCGGUUGGUGGUUCUUGGCAACAAGCAAGAAUAUGGCCUAGACUACGAUGAGACCUUCGCGCCGGUAGCCAAAAUGACCACUGUUCGAACAAUAUUAGCCCUUGCUGCAUCACAAUCAUGUUCUUUACAUUAAAUGGAUGUAAAGAACGCUUUCCUACAUAGUGAUCUCAAGGAGGAAAUUUACAUGAAACUUCCCCACGGUAUGACUACUUCCUCUCCUAAUGAUGUUUGCAAACUAAAAUGUUCGUUGUAUGGGUUGAAGCAAGCACCGCGAGUAUGGUUUGAGAAGUUUCGAUCAACUCUUUUCAGUUUUUCAUUCACUCAAAGUCAGUAUGACUCCUCCUUUUUUUUUUCCAACAGACAUCUAAGGGCAUCAUUGUUCUCCUUAUUUAUGUGGAUGACAUCGUUAUCACUGGUUCUGAUAUGGAGGCAAUUUCUAAACUUCAGAAUUUGUUGCACUCUAUUUUUCACAUGAAAGACCUCGGUCAACUCACCUAUUUUUUGGGGUUAGAGGUGCAUUAUCUGCCUCAAGGUAUCUUCUUGAAUCAACACAAGUAUAUUCAGGAUUUAAUUUAAUUAGCUGGACUUAUGGACAAAAAUUCUGUUGACACCCCAGUGGAACUUAAUGUGAAAUAUCGACAAGACGAAAGGGAACUACUUCAAGAUCCUACUUAUCUAUCUAACUAUCACCCGCCCAGACAUCUCUUAUGCUGUCCACACCGUUAGCAAGUUCAUGCAAGCCCUUCGACAUCUCCACGUAUCCACAGUCCGCCGCAUCAUUAGAUAUAUUCUUGGCACUCUUAACUGCAGUUUAUUCUUCCCUACUGGUUCUUCACUCCAACUACAAGCCUACAAUGACGCAGAUUGGGCUAGCUGCCCGGACACGAGAAAAUCUACUUUGGGAUGGUGCAUGUUUCUUGGUGAUGCCCUUAGCUCUUGGAAAUGCAAAAAGCAAGACUCAGUCUCCAAAUAAUCCACUGAGGCAGAAUACCGCGCCAUGUCUGUAGCCUGCUCCAAGAUCAUUUGGUCGCGUGGUCUCUUAACAGAGCUUGGUUUCUCACAACAUCAACCUACUCCCCUACAUGCUGACAACACAAGUGCCAUCCAAAUUGUAGCCAACCCUGUCUACCAUGAGCGCAUGAAACACAUAGAGGUUGACUGCCACUCUAUUCGAGAGGCCUAUGACCACCAAGUUAUCACCCUCCUGCAUAUCUCCACUACUCUACUGAUUACGAAUAUCUUCACCAAAUCCAUGACAUGUCAGCGACAUAACGUUCUUGUUAGCAAAUUGAUGCUUGUAGAUUUACCAGCAUCAAUUUGAGGGGGGAUGUCAAAGGAAUUAGUAGAUCUUAUGGCAAAUUCUAUGCCUGUACAGCUGUAACAAUUAUCUUUAUGGUUGUAAAUCUUAUAUUUUUUCCUUAUUUAAGAUAUACUAGCUGUAGGCUAUUUUAGAUAGUUAUGUAUAUGGUAGUUUAGCCAUGUUUAUGGCUAAACAUAAGCUCGUAUUCAUAGUAUAUAAAGGGAAUUCUCCUCCAAGAGAAAGCAUAUGAAAGAAACUUAGUUCUAUAUUGUUUGGUAGGCUAGAAAAUGAAAGAAAAUAAAAGAAAAGCUUUGCAAAGAAAACUGUUAGAUCCUUUUAUUAUACCAAACUUACAGUUUAAUGACUAAAAAUUGAUAUUUAUAUUGAGCUACAAACUCUUCACACACACACACGAGAUUGUUGCAACACAUAACCAAUUGCUGUAUAACUAACUUGACACAUCAGCUCAACCAGCUAACUAACUUUGACAGGUCAGCUUAAUGAUUUGAUCUGAUACAACCAGCUACACAGCAACAUCAUGCUCUGCUCCAGCUUCAUCUAAUUCACUAACAACUUUUGCUCAAAAUUCUCUUAGUUUAUCACAGGGAAGUAUAGCUUUGGAAAAGGCCGGAUCAAUAACUAUGGAGAGAUUUAUAAGUGAUAAAAAUUCCCGUAACCCGCUGUCAAGAAAAUUUCACAUAGUUAAAGACGCCAUUUUGUUUCAGCCAAAAAUGUUUGUUUAAUCUGCCAAAAAUGUUUGUUUCGAUUAAAGACUUGAACCGUUUUCAUUUAACCUGAUUGUGAUGCUUUAUGUUAUGUAUGUUCCUCUCAAUCAAGAAAAGUUGAGGUUCAUGAUUUUAUAUUUCUAUCUUGUAACUUGCAAUAAUAACUGGUCUUCUUGUUUUUGUAGCUUGAUAACAUGAAUUUUCCUUCUCAAGUUAAUUUGAUCAAUAAAGUAAUUCUUCAAAGAAAAUAUGCCCAUUCUAUAAUCAUUUUCUUAGCUAAUAUGUUUUUUUUUUGUUUACUCUUCAGAGUGUGUCGAAACUAAUUGAUUGCUCGGCAGAGACUUUGGGUGACAAGUCAAAAUUUCAUGGUAAAUCCUCUGAAAAGGUAUGCAUAAUUCCUGAAUAUUAAAUAACCAAUGGUCAUAGUUUUUGUACACGACUCUUUUUGUGGAGAUCGUUAAAAGUGGUUGAUGAUCCAUUUGUAAUUUCAUAGAGGGAUCAUCAAUUCCUUUUCUUUUCUGUGGCUAGGCAUCACUUUCGUGCCAAAGUAAGGAAAUCUAUUUUAGGUAAUGUAAAAAACAAUGGUAGGAUGUAAUAGCUUAUUAUGCACUGACAAUAACUUUUUGUAUAAUUGUCAGUUUAAGGAAUACAAGAGGAACUCUGUUGACAAAUUCAUCCAAGAUAGAUGCUAAAAUUAUUUAUGCAUGCCAGUUGCCUUAACUAAUUUUUCUUAACACUUGUAUUGAACAGGAAAUGAGUAUGCAAUUUGUGUACGUGCCAUUGUGGAGAAUUUGGAUAUUCUUAUUUAAGUAAGAAGAAGAGUAUUUGCCUCAUCUUUAAACAAUGAAUCUUUGAGAAAUGAGGAGUGGGUGAUUGGAAGUGUCUUCAUGUAAAUGUUCAUUUACUUGUAUUUUGAACUAUUAUGAGAAUCUUUUAUAUGCCAAAUUAGUAAUACAAAUGUUCAGAUGAUUUUUCCUGUUGAUCACGCGUUUGUGUCUGCAGACAACCAUUGUAUAUCACUUUAUUCUGAUGUGCAAUUAUGUAUAGAUUAGAAGAAAAGAAAUAAUAGUCUUAUAUUAUUGUUUGGUUCAUGAUUAUUAAACGAUUAUGGCUUCAAAAAAUCUACAAAUUCCUUCUGUUCAUAUAUGAAUGUGCCAAGUUUGCUAUAUCUUAGAUUGCCUUCUUCCAAGAUAACAAGUUCAUAUGUUUUUUAAUCCUCUUCAAUCACAGUUGAAUUUUAAGUGUUAAGAUUUGUUAUUAAUACCUGGUUCCCUGUUAUUAUGAUUUUUAUUAUGAUUUCAUAAACAGUGUACGGACAUGUGCUCUACUUUUAAAGGGCCUCCACGUGAAAGAAAAUUGCAACAAUUGAAUUCUUCCGGAGGGUAUGGCAUUUAAUUUAUUUUCUCAACUUCUUGUAAGACUAAUAUAUUUCCUUCAGUAGGCAGGGCAUGUUGGGAAGGGCUUUUAUUGAAAGAAUUCUGAUAUUUCUUAGACUUUGUUUUGGAAGGGAGGUGGAGGGAUUUCUCAUCCAUAUAUGGUUACUUGAUUAGCUUUUGACUGUAUUGCCUCAGUCGUGCAAAGGAAGAUCCAAAUACUAAUGAAUGAGAAUUGGUUAGAGACCCAAAAGACAGAAAUGAACUACAGAAGGAAGUUUUUGCUGCUUUAUUUAGUGUUCCUGAGAACUCUGAUGAAGAUGGAGUGGAGGUCCAAAGCAUUAAGAAAGGUGGUGAGUGAACCGCCAGAGGAAUUGGUACCAGAAUACAAAGCUAAUGUGGUGCAUUUGCAGCAAGAUAACCAGACUAGUAUGUGCUCUUGUAUUAACUAUAUUGACUGGAUUUGUGAGCAUGUUCAUUUUUGUGUGUAUAAUCACUUUUGUAUUUAUGCAUAUUAAUGUUAGUAGGAUUCUUGAUUUCCUCCACUUACUGGAGAACUAGUGGAAAGCUUUAUAGUGAAAUAUCUGCAAUAACUAAUGGAAACCAUGAUUUGAAUAUUUUCUCUCACCUGGAGAGCUUUGUAACAGAUGUACUUUGUGGCUAUGGAAUACUAGAGAUUCUGCAAUAACUAAUGGAAACUCUGAUAUGAAUAUUUUCUCUCACCUGCAGAACUUUGUAACAGAUACACUUUGUGGCUCUGGAAUGUCUAAAGAUUUUGUCUGCUUCAGUUAGAUCAAAUAUCUUUUAGUUACCUACAUUAUGGAAAAGAUAGAGUUCUCUGAAUCUGAAAGACUGAAACAUUUUGCAUAUUUCGUGAAAGGAAAAUAUCUGUAGAUACUAGUUCAUGCAUUGAGGUAACAUCAAUGUUAAAGAAAAACAGCAAUAACUUAUUAUAUAGAAUUAGGUUCACUUGCUUUAAAUGCUGGUCUGGUCAACCAUAUGAACCUGUAAGUGUAUCUGCAGAAAUAUAUAUGGGGGGACAAACUAGCUAAAUUUUCCUCUCAUUUCUGGCUUUGGUCAUUUUUUCCCCUUAUUUUUCAGCUUUCCUUCUCCUGAAGUAUGUUAACAAUUGCAGAUAAUGACGAAGAGGACAGCUUGCAGGCUCUUCGUGGAGCUGUGAUGGAAUAUAGGGGCACAAUGAAAGAACAUUUUAAAGCUGUAGGUUCUUUUUCUCCUGUCAUUUAUAUUUGCUCACACAUUUUUCAUAUGCUCCAAGCAUGCAAGUUUGUAUGUGUCUUUGCCUUUUAAGUUUUAAAAACCAUAAGGUAAGAAUACAGUUCCUCGUCAGGUUAUUGAUGCAUUCACUCCGGAGGAUCAUGUUCGAGCAGGAAAACUUCUAGAACAGGCAAGGUUUUCCAUCUACAGCCAUCUAUUGACAACAGAUACAUUUUCAUUCAGCAGACACUGUUAGCAUUCAAGAUGCUGGCAGAUUCACUUGAUUCUUAUUAGUUUGUUUAGUGGUAAAGCAUAUAACCUGUUUUUCAAAGCCAAGUUGUGCUAUUGAUUAUGUUAACUUUAUUGUUCACAUAAAGUGAUAUGGAGGAAAUAAUCAUUGUAGGAAAAUUAGGUGAAGAGGUGAUGUCAAAUCUUGAACCUGUUACAAAACUCCAAGUUCUUUACUUGAAGAAGCUACCAAAUUUGAACAGGGUCCACUGGAAGGCCUUGCCAUUCCCUGAUGCCUGCAGAAUUUUUGUAUUUAAAUGCCCAGAGCUUAAGAAGCUGCCACCGGAUCUUGAAAGGGCAGGCCAAGGUAAAAUUCUUAUCAAGGGAAAGGAAGAUUGGUGGAAACAACUUCAAUCGGAGGAUCAAGUAACUCAGAAUGCAUUGCUUCUAUUUUUAAAAUCAACUGACAAGUGAUUGAAGGGGGCAUCAUCAACAUCAUCAACAUGGAUGGAGAGAUUCAGGAGCAGAUCCGCAGGGUUUAUUACGACCUGUGGUGGUUGCUUUUUUGUGACUUGUUCCCUUUCAUUUUUUCACUUCCUGUCAUAUUAUCAUUUCUUUGUCUCUGUUUCUAUUGCUGAUGUUGCUGCAUGCUUGCAGCCCUUGACAAAGUUAGCAAUGCAAUAUAGAUUUUGAAAUUAAAUUUUGUAUGUUCGGGACAGUCACAAAGUACUACUUGUUCUAUAUGGGGGUGAUGUGAAUCAACUUUUCAAUUAUAUAUUCUGUGGUAAUUGUGAAUUCAAUUUCAUUUGUCUCCUGCAAAUUAUGAAGAAAGUGCAGAGUUAGAAUAUCGAAAAGUUCACUGGCAAAUACUUUGUAAAAGCUUCGGAGUGAAACAGGGAAUGCACUUGCAACUAAGGACAAAUUGGUGGCCAGCUAAUGCAUUCAUUUUAUGUACAUUCAUCUUUUUAAUUAUUGAAGAUAAGUGGUUCGUUGCUUUUGUUGUAGAAAAAAUUCAGACGACCUCAAUUGUGAGAUGAAAAUAUUUAAAAUAUCUCUUAAAUUAUUAUAAACUUUAAUUUAUCUUAAUUUUAUUUAAAAGAUAAAAGAAAAAUGUGGUAUAUGGGUAAAAAUUUUUUUAUCUUGUUAAUAAAAUGAAAUAAAUUAAAAUUUACAAUAAUUUAAAGUAUUUUAAAAUUAUUAUUUCAUAAGAGAUUAAUAUGAAAUUAAUCCUUUUUACUUUUUGAAUGUGAAAGGACAAGAAAAGAGAAAGCUAGUGUCACUGCUUUUUAUUUUAUUUGAAAUCGGAGUUAUCCCAUAUACUUUACUACUUUAGCUCUAACAUUACAAUGUUUUUAGGCUACACUUUUAUUUUUCUUUUUCCCCCUUUUUUUAUACAUGCAUGUGGAUUACUUUUCUCUAAGCUCCUUAAUAUUUAAGACAAAUCAUAAAAGCAAUUGAAGCAUAACAAGAUGAUCAAAACAUUUAACCGAAAAAAAAAGAAAUAAAACAUUGAAAAUGGAGAUGUUGAUUAAUUUAGAAGAGAUGCAAGCAAAAAAUAUUCCCAAAAAAAAAAAAAAAAAAAGCAACGUUAGUUCAUCCAUGUCUGUCAAUGCGUUUUUUAUGGUUUUUUUUUUCCAGUUGUUUGUUGUAAUAGAUUAAUUGUAAAUUGAUAUAAACUUGAUGUUGUAAUAUGUUCGCUUUUGUGGAAAUAAAUUUCAAUAUUCAAGAUUAUUCAAGUCUUAUCUAGUAUGUGUUCGGUUGUGUUGUCGAUAAUUUUACAUUCUAAUAAGUUUUCACCUAAAAUAUUAGCAUGAGUAGUAGUCCUUAAACCUUUGGUCAAAAUUAUUGUUAUUGUUUCUUUUAGAGGAAAUUUUUUUAUUAAAGCCUCGUUAACACUAUUCCUUAUUAAGAUUAUAAGUUAGUGUCGGUGCAGGAUUUGCAGCGACAAAUCUUGUCUAGCCACGUGUCAAAAUACAAAUAAAUCAAGGGAAAGCACAUGACAUGGAUUAGGAUCCAAUAAAAUUUAAAUCCCAAGGAAAAGGACAACUGUAUCCUAAAGUUUCAAUAAGAGAUACUGGGAUAUCUUUUGACUAAUGUUAUUUUUUGGCUUUAUUAAUAAAAAGAUCCAAUAGUUUAUAACAAAUAAAAAUAUAGUAUUAAGCUAAAUGUGAUAAUUUACACAUUUUACAUAAUUUCAAUAAAAAUUUUUUUAAUGUUUUACAAUCUAUCAGACAUAUUUUAUUAAAUUAAUAAGAAUUUUCUUAUAAAUAGCAACAUAAUAUUAAAAUAAAUUUAUAAAAAUUUAAAUGUAAAAUAAUUUUAGUAUAAUUAAUACGCGGGAUAUAUUUUGUAAAUUAUAAAAUUACUUAACCCAAUGAUUUUUAAAAAUCUUUAAAAUAAAUAAAAAUAAAUUAUUCACAUUUUGAUGUAAAUAUUUAAAACAUUUUUAUACAUUAGUCCACAAUUAUUUAUGUUAUAUUUGUAUUUAUUAGAAAUUUUGAAAGUCAAAUGUUUUUUACCUCUAUGUUAUUAGAAUUAUUGCACACAGAGAAAGAGCCAUAUAUGCUUUAUAACUUUAAAAUCGAUUUGUUUUAUAGCUGGGAAUAGAGAUGAUCAUUAUUAUAAGGAUUUUUUAAAAAAAGAUAAAGAAUAUUAAUGAUUAGCGAAAUCUCUAUGGAAAUUGAAUUUAGUAAGAAAAAAUUGAGCUGAUUUUAGUGGUAUAGUAAUAUUUUAUAUAGAGAAAAGUAAAAGCUGCACCCAAGGUUAAGGGAAAUGGUCAAAAUUCUUUUUUAAUCAUAAUACCCUUUUUCCUAGAUAAUUUAAAAAUUUUACUCUAAUAGUUUAUAAUAAAUAAAAACAUAUAAUCCUAAAAUAAAUAAAAUGAUAUAUAUUUUAAAAUAAUCUCAAUAUUUAAAAUAUAUUUUAACAUUUUAUAAUCUAUUAGAUAUAUUUUAUUAUAUUAAAGUAAAUUUUAUAAUAAAUACAAAACAUACUAUUAAAAUAGAUAUAAAAAUUUUAAAGUAUUUUGAAUAUUAUAUAAAAUAACUUUAAUAUUGUUAAUGCAUGAGAUGCAUUUUAUUAAUUAAAAAUUCUAUGUAACCCAAAGAUUUAUUUAUAAUAAAUUAAUAAUCAUAUUUUUGAAAUUAUUUUAAAUAUUAAAAAAUAUUUUAAUAUUACUAACUAUUAGAUAGACUAAACUAUUUAUUUUAUUUUCUAUUUAUUAUAAAAUUUCAAAGUUAAUCUUUUUAACUACUAUUCAAAAGAUGUUAUGAUAAAAACAGAAUUUUUGUGUUUUUAUUGAAAAUUUGGAGUUUACAUCUAUUUUUUCAAAUAUUCAGGGUGUAACUGUUUUUUCCCUUUUAUAUAUACGAACGGUGGUGAGAAAGUUUGAUUUAACGUUAUUUAUUUAAAUAAAAUCUCAGUUAAAAAUGUACAGAGAAGAAAUUUCGGUUGGUAUUUUAGUCUUGGUAAUCUCUAUAUUAUAUGCAUAUAAGAUACAUCAUUCUCACAUGAAUAGUAUAUGUGUGAGAUCCAUAUAUUAUUCAUGUGAGGGAGAUGUAUCUUAAUAAGAUAGAGGGAUCCGUUAGUCUUUUACCAAUCAUCACGAUUAGGCCUUGGCCUUGAAACAUUAAUUGUUUCACUUUUAGCGCUAGUGGCGUUGAAAGUUGUCAAGAAAAAGCAAGACCAUAUUCCACAAAAGCAAAAGUAACGUAGGCUCUUUUAUUAAAGGCAAAGUAUAAAGUAGUCAAGAAUCGAAUAUCCUGUCGUCUACUCUUUUUUAAAUUCUUCUUUUAUUAUCGUUUAGAAUAGUUUUUGGUAAUUACAAUCAUUAUUCAGAGUUAUUGUUAUCUUCCGGGGCAGUCUCUGUUCAUCGAAGUCGUUACCUUUUUUUUAAUGGAUCAGUUCCAGUGGUAAGCAGUAAUUUUCUUAGAACUCGGAUCUUUAAUUCGAGUUUCUGUGUGAAUUAAUAAUAAAAAAUUUUCAUUACACGCAAUUUAAGCUACGAAUUACUUUUUGCAAAGUUGAAUAUGGAAUUGGAGAAAUUAAGUAAUUUAGAAUGUUGGUAAAAAUUGACGAACAUAUCUCCAAUUACAGUAAAACCUCUCUACAGUCAUAACAUUAUAACAAAAUUAAUUUUAUUACUAUGUUGAGGUAAUAUAGGUUUAGUUACAAAAUUAUUGUUUUAAUAUGGUUAGUGUCAAGUGAUAUAAAGGUUAAGUAUGCAGUACAUUAAUAAUUAAAUAAUGAAGUGUCAAAUCUAAUGUAUAUAUAUUAAUGAUAUAGAUAGACAUAGUUUUAAAAAACUAAUUAAUGUAUAUUUAUGUAGUGUUAUGAAUAUGGAAAGUCAAGCCUACACUUUACAUUAUCCUUAAUUUUUUCUCUCAGUUAAAUUCUACAAAUAUUGUACAAUGGUUGGGCAAGAACUCUAAAUUAAGAAUAAAUUAUUGUCACAAAUAAUUUUAGAAAAUAUUUUAUUUCGUCUUAAACCUUUAAUAUAAAUAAACAUAUAUAUAUAUAUAUAUAUAUAUAUAUAUAUAUAUAUGUGUGUGUGUGUGUGUGUGUGUGUGUGUGUGUGUGUGUGUGUGUGUGUGUGUGUGCAUAUUUUGCAACGUAUAGAUAAUUGUUAGUAUAUGGAGACAAGUCUUUUAAGGUAGGACCUAGGAAAAUUUAUAACUUACUACACUGUGGAGUUUUUAUUCCUUUUUAUAAUUGGCUCAUAUUGAUACAUUCUUACACAAAAUAUUACCAUUGACAUAUUUUACUACAAUUAGUUUAGAACAUUUGUUAGGAAAAAAAAGAAAAGAAAAGAAAACAUCCCUUGGAUGUAGCUCUCCUGACUAUUUAAAUCUUUUAAGGAAAAAAAGAAAAAAGAAAAACUGGCACAUUCAAAUCUUGAAGCAAUUACAUUAAAAUCUCUCCAUAAUGAUAGGAAUAAUCUCCAUUUAGUAAUAAAAAAUUUUGUUCGCAAUUUAGGCAGAGUUAUAAAUAAGAAUAAAAUCCUCAUUGUAAUAAGUUAUAUUUAUUAUGGAUCCCAUCCUAAGGAAUUCGUCUCUAUAUAGUAAUAAUUAUUUGCAUAUUAUAAAUAUAUAUGUUGCAUUAGAUUAAAUGAACUUGUCUCCACAUACUACUUAGACAACGAGAGAAAAUUAUUAAAGAGAACACAAAUAUUUAGAUAUUUUUAAGAUUACUUUGCAUAUUUAUAACAAUAAUACAUUGAUAUAUGUAUUAGUUUUUUGAUAUAUUAGAUUUAACAUGCUCUAUUAAUAAAUUAUUAAUACGAUGCAUAUUCAUCUCUAUAUCCUUGCAAUAAAAGUAACUAAGUUAUAACAAUAAUUAUUAAUAAAUUAUUAAUACGUUGCGUACUUCAUCUCUAUAUCCUUACAAUAAAAAUAACUAAGUUAUAAUGAUAAUUUUUGUAACUACAUACUUAUUAGGUUUUAACUACUUCAUAAUAAUAAAUUAGUUUCGUCCUAAUAUUAUAAUUAUGUAGAGUUGUAGUGUAUAGACACACCCAAUUUAAAUAGUAUAUCAAAUAAAAUUGUCCCCACGAAAAAGAAAAAAGGGGUAAAGGAUUCUCAUUUCUUCAAACAUUAGGAUCACGUUUGUACAAGUGCGAUGCCUUUCUUUUGAAGGCAACGUCAGUGGGUACCCAAUAGGACGUGUGUAAAUCUUUCCAAAAUUUCUCUGGUAUAACGGACAGAGAUCAUUACUUUUCUCUUCCAUAUACCACAGCAGCUUCAGUUAAUCAGACUCAAUCAAUUUUCUUGGUUUCUUCGCUUAUCAAAAUUCCAAAAUAUGGGUAGCAUAUUUCAAAUCACAUGCGAUGGUGCUUUUUUCAAUCGUUGCUUGGAUUGCUUUCUUGGAAAAGUAGCAAACACAAGUAAGCUCCAAGAUAACCUUGUUGCCUUGGAGACUGAAUUGGGAAAACUAAUCGCAGCAAAGAACGAUGUGAUGAUGAGGGUUGUCAAUGCUGAACGGCAACACCUGAGAACGCUGGACCAAGUGCAAGUGUGGCUUUCGAGGGUGGAAGCUGUUGAAACUGAAGCUGAUGAAUUGAAAAGACACGGCUCUCAAGAAAUUGACAAAUUAUGUGUUGGAGGCUACUGUUCCAAGAACUGCGCGUCAAGCUACAAGUUCGGGAAACAAGUGGCUAAAAAGCUACGGGAUGUGCAGACUUUAAUCGACGAAGGAGUUUUUGCGGCGGUGGCUACCGAGGUGGUGCCUGAGAGAGCUCCAGAACCUGUAGCAGAUGAAAGACCCACUGAGCCAACAAUAGUAGGCUUGCAAUCACAACUUGAACAAGUUUGGAGAUGUCUUGUAGAAGAAUCAGUGGGAAUCAUUGGCCUAUAUGGUAUGGGCGGUGUUGGUAAAACUACACUAUUGACCCAUAUCAACAAUAAAUUUCUUGAGAGUCCAACCAGUUUUGAUUGUGUGAUUUGGGCCGUAGUUUCAAAGGACUUGCGACUCGAAAAAAUUCAAGAAGAUAUUGGGAAAAAGAUCGGUUUGGUUGAUGAUUCAUGGAAGAGUAAAAGUGUAGAGGAGAAAGCUCUCGACAUCUUCCGGAGUUUAAGAGAGAAGAGAAUUGUAUUGCUGUUAGAUGAUAUAUGGGAGCGGGUUGAUUUAACAAAAGUGGGCAUUCCACUUUCCGGACCAAAAAAUACUACAUCAAAAGUCGUAUUCACAACCCGUUUCGUCGAUGUUUGUGGUAGCAUGGAAGCUGACAAGAAGUUCCAGGUGGCAUGCUUAUCAGAAGAGCAUGCUUGGGAACUGUUUCGAAAAAAAGUUGGGGAAGAAACUCUUGAGAGUGAUCAUGAUAUCGUUGAGCUAGCCCAAACUGUGGCCAAAGAGUGUGGUGGUUUGCCACUCGCACUUAUUACUAUUGGUCGAGCUAUGGCCUUCAAAAAGACAGCCGAGGAGUGGAGUCAUGCAAUUGAUGUGCUAAGAACAUCAGCUUCUGAGUUUGCAGGUUUGGGAGAAAAGGUUUAUCGUCUUUUAAAGUUUAGCUAUGAUAGUUUGCAGAAUGAGACGAUUAGAUCUUGUUUCUUAUAUUGUUGUUUAUAUCCCGAGGAUUAUAGCAUUCUUAAAUGGGACUUGAUUGAUUGUUGGAUUGGUGAGGGAUUCUUAGAGGAAUCUGACAGGUUCAGUGCAGAAAACCAAGGAUACUACAUUGUGGGCACUCUUGUUCAUGCAUGUUUAUUGGAAGAGUUAGAAGAUGAUAAAGUAAAAAUGCAUGACGUUGUUCGUGAUAUGGCUCGAUGGAUAGCUUGUGAAAUUGAGAAGGAGAAGAGAAAAUUUUUGGUUUGUGCAGGUGCUGGAGUAGGAGCGGUGUCAGAUGUUGAAGGAUGGGAAAAUGUGGGAAGAUUGUCAUUGAUGCAAAACCAAAUUGAAAUUCUGUCAGAGGUUCCCACAUGCCCUCAUCUCCUCACUUUAUUUCUUGACUUUAAUUAUAAAUUGGAGAUGAUCACCGAUGGCUUCUUCCAAUGUAUGCCUUCUCUCAAAGUUUUGAAGAUGUCAAACUGUGGGCAUGUCAAAGUUUUGAAAUUACCUUUUGGGAUGUCAAAGCUGGGUUCACUACAACUUCUUGAUAUUUCACAUACCGGCAUAAGAGAGUUACCAGAAGAGUUAAAGUUGUUGGUAAAUCUGAAAUGUUUGAAUUUGAGGUGGACACAUAUGUUAAAUAAAAUUCCACGGCAGCUAAUAUCAAAUUCUUCAUGGUUACGUGUGUUGAGAAUGUUCGCUAUUGGCUUUGAAAAUUCUAAAGAACCAUCAGAAGACAGCGUUUUAAUUGGUGGGGGUGAAGUUUUAGUACAUGAAUUGCUCGGUUUGAAAUAUUUAGAGGUAUUGGAGUUGACCUUGCGAAGUUAUGAUGCUCUCCAAUUUUUUUUGAGCUCAAAUAAGUUAAAAAGUUGUAUUCGAUCUCUUUUCCUCAAUAAGCUGGGAGAUACAAAGUCGAUUCAUGCUACGGCUUUCGCAGAUCUAAAGCAUCUCAAUGAACUAUGCAUUCGUUCGGCAGUGGAGUUGGAAGAAUUGAAGGUUGAUUAUACAGAGAUUGCGCCAAAAAGGUCGGAACCUUUUGUUUUCCGCAGCCUUCACCGUGUUACUAUGGAGCGGUGCCAUAAAUUGAAAGAUUUGACAUUCCUCGUUUUUGCUCCAAGCCUCAAGUCUCUUUCGCUAUACGGUUGCAAUGCUAUAGAAGAAAUAAUCAGCGUUGGAAAAUUUGCUGAGACUCCUGAGGUGAUGGGACAUAUAAGCCCUUUUGGAAAUCUCCAAACGCUUUAUUUAACUGAUUUGCCAGAGUUGAAAAGCAUCUACUGGAAGCCAUUGCCUUUCACUCAUCUCAAAGAAAUGACGGUACAUGGGUGUAAUCAGCUUAAAAAGCUUCCAUUCGAUUCCAACAGUGCAACAGAGCGUAAAUUUGUUAUUCGUGGAUACACACUCUGGUGGAACCGUCUUCAAUGGGAGGAUGAAGCCACUCAAAUUGCUUUUCGUUCCUGUUUCCAAUCUCAUGAAAUAUAAAUUCCUGAGCGGUGGUUGCAAAAUUUGAUUUCUAGUGAGUGCUUUUUUCUUAAACUCUUACAUAUAUUCUCGUCGUUUGCUUCGUGCAACGGACUAGGUUUUUAUUUCAGAUUCGUUUUUUGUCUCCUGCAAAUCACAAUUAAAUGUUGAAUUAUAUGGAGUCAAUGCUUUAUAAAAUUUUCAAGGCACUGCCAUUUCCUUUUUCUUUUUCUUUUUUUUUUUGGGUCGAAUUGAUGCUCUGGCUUUUUACUUUUUGUUGUCACAUUUUGCUCUGUUUUUUCAAGUUGAUGCUUGAAUAGUUGAAUUCAAUUGAUGCUCACAUAAAUUUGUUUAGUUGCCGCAAAAGGAUAUAAUUAGACUGAAGUACACACUUCUAGAAUGAAUACAAAAUGUUAAGUAUACUAGCCCUCUUUACAGAAAAUCAAAUGAAAAUCAAUUUUUUGGGGCUUUGAUUUUCUAUGGUCUAUUAUAUACUCUUUUUAAUAUCUUCUGUUCUAACUAUAACCAAAUCCUUUGUUCAAGGAUUUUUAUUUGGGGUAUUGAUAACUGUCCACCAAAAGAGUGAACACUUGGAUGCUGCUCAAGGAUCUCUAAUCAAUAGCUGGAAGCAACUGAGAAGGCGGUCGCUACUGUUUACAAAGCGAUGCAGUAUUUGCCAUUCAUCUUAAUAAUUAUGAAGCUUUGGUAAAAUUUUCAAACAAAGUUGAACACAUGUUGUUUUGAGAUUUGGUUCAUGAUUUUGGAUGAAUAUCGUUGUUCCGUUUGAGUUGGAUGUGAAUUCAAAAUCUAUAUAUUCUUUGGUUUUCAAUUCUGAACUCAAUUUCUUUUUCUCAAGCAUGUUAUGCAGAAAUGAUUUUUUACUAAAUCAUUUUUGAUGAAUUGUUUAAAUUAAACAAUUGGAAUAAGAAUUGAAAAGGUUUAUCAUAAGCAUGCUAAUAUGAUAAGUUGUUUUAUGAACGAUUAAUUAAUUAAUCAAUUAAUAUUAAAUUAUCUAUUAGUCAAUUAGAUAUGCGUUACAUGUCAUGUUUAAAAAUUAUUUAUUUAUAUUUCAAACAAAUUUGACUGGAUGUUGUGUAGGUAAUACUACAUAAUUUCAAAACAAAAAAAGUAAUAAAAACACGUUAAAUUUUGUUUUUAUGAAGAAAAAUUUAAAAUUUUAUUAAAUAGGUGAAAAUAAUAAAUGGAUUCGUGUAUGGUUUGAGAUUCUUGACAUAAUUAUGAAAUAAGCCGGAUUCGACUUAGUUCAAUUUUGACGCGAUAAGAAGACGACACCACACAAACACACGAUAAGAACCGUUACCUGAGAAGAUUGCCAUCAGGAAUUUUGAAAUUGAUUUCACUACAAUACCUUAAUCUUUCAGAUACUACCAUCACUGAGCUGCCAGAAGAGCUAAAAGCCUUGGUAAAUCUUAAGUGUUUGAACUGUACACAAAUUAUCUCUCUACAAUUCAAAAACAACUAAUUUGUUACUUUUUCAAUGCUACAUGUUCUGCGAAUAUUGAGUUGUGGUUAUCUUGUUGAAAUAUCAGACAAUAGAGUUCUAUUUGGUGGUAGUGAAUUGUUGGUUGGGGAGUUGCCUAGUUUAAAACGUUUAAAUGUAUUAAGCAUCACCUUACAAGGUUUUUCUGCUGUCCAAAAACUUAUGAGCUCUCAAAAGUUUCAAAGCUGUACAAAAUGUUUGGAGCUUAUAGACUGUGAUGAUUCAAAGUCUUUUGCCUUGGCAGAGUUGAAGCAUCUCGAAAAACUAGUUUUUUGAAUUGUGGAAGAGUUUAAGUUCUGCUUUGUUGAAGUUGGAAAAGCUCAAGAAUGUUUUCGUUUGAACAGUUUUCACCGAGUUAAUAUAAAGGCUUGUCAUAAAUUGAGGGACGUGACAUGGCUUGUAUUUGCUCCAAAUCUUACAGUUAUUCAAAUAGAAAAAUGUAUGCAGAUGGAAGUAAUAGUCAGUGCAAGGAAAUUGGGUGAAGUUCCAGAGAUGAUGGCAGAUCUAAACCCUUUUGCAAAUAUCUUUGCCAGCGAGUUCUACCAAAAUUAAAAAGCGUCUAUUGGAAUGAGUCACCCUUUCCACAUGUCAGGGAAAUUAUUGUAUCUGAAUGCCCAAUUCUCAAGAAGCUUUCACUCGGUUUUAACAAUGCAAAGGAAUCUAAAAUUGUCAUUAGGGGAGAGGAACACUGGUGGAGUGAGCUGCAAAGGGAGGAUGAAGCGACCGUUAAUGCUUUUCUUCCUUGUUUCGGUUCCAUUUGAUAGGCAUCAACAUGGAUUUAUAUUUUGCGGUGGACAACUUGUGGUAAGUGCUUUUCCAUUUAUUACAUGUUUAUAUCUAACUUUUGUUUUCCUUUAUGGUUAAAUUUUACUGUAUAUAUGUUGUUAUACGGUGACAUUCUCGCAUCAAUUAUUAGCUUUUUAAUUCUCUUCUGGCAUUAAUUGCCCUUCUGAUCAUGUAGGAUAUGCCGAUGUCAAAGAGUAGUAAAUUGGGAUACAAAUGUAAGAAUUAGCCAGAUGACAUGUUGUUUUGAAGCUCUCUCGAAGGACUAGUUAUGUCAUUCAAAGCAUCCAAUUUCGCUACUUUUUUUUUCAUUUGUUGCUUUUUAUAUUUCUAGAUAGCUUGAUAUUCGGCCAAGACAUCGAUAGGAGGGCACAUUGUGCAUGCACACUAGUGGAUGAUUUGGGCAUGCCGAAUCCAAUUAGCGUGGAUGACCCUUUAUAAGCAUCAGGCUUCUCUCAUACCAGAGCAAUGUAGAAUAUGUUUAUAAACUGUGGAUUACCCUUUAUAAGUUUAGACUUCUUCUAUACUCGAGCGAUGUGGAAUACCUGUAUAAGCAUUAAGCUUCUCUCAUACACUUUAUGUUAAAAAUAAUAAUAAUAAUAAUAAAAUAAAUCCAUUUUAAAAUAGGCUCUUUUUUUCUUUUUUUAUAUAAACAAAAUGCAUUCUUCAAAUCAAUAGUGGGUGGAAGAAGUGAGUAGAGAAGGACUAGGCCCCUUCAUUCCGCCUAAAACCUCACCGAAACCUCUCUUGUGAACUUCUCAGAUUCUCUCUCAAUAUUUCUUAUGAUCUCGUUUUUGAUAGAAUCACUUCUAUUGCAUGCUGCAUUUUGUGCGUCGUUUUUGGGUAAUAUCUUAUCUGGAAUGCUGUUAUGAUCAAUAGAACAAGUAAUCAAUUUUUGGUUUGACGGAAGUCGAUUUAUUUAUUUACUAUUGUUUUUUAUUUGAAAUUUUGACAGUUGUGUUUCAUUCAUUUCUUUCCUUCUUUUUUUAUUUUAUAUUUAUUAUGUAUAAUUGUGUUUCAUUUGAUAUUGAUCAUACUGUAGAUAACUAUGUGAUUGUAGCUGGGGAUUUUAAGUUUUGUGAAUUCAAGAAACUGUCAAAAUGCUAGUGAAAUUGGGACCUUUAUUCAUAAGCUUGUGGUUUUCAAAAGUAGCCGGGUUCAACUGAUGAAGUUCCUUUUUGGGAUUCUUUUUUUUCUAGGCUGCAAUUCGGAUAUGUACCUGAUAGACAAUCUUUUGUGAGUUUAGCAUAUCUUCUCCGAUUUUGUCUUUUAUUCCCCAACUUUACAGCUACACACCAUGAAUGCUGGGUGAUUGUACAGAAAAUUUGUGUUAGAACAAAAGCAUUGUGAAGGAGUUUCUGUGCUAUAAGUUAUUGGCUUCAGCUUUAUUGGCAUUAAUUGGGUAGAUUAUGUGUUACAGUGAUUCAAUUUGUGAUCCACACUUUAAUUUUCUCUUUUCCCCAAUUAUUUAUGUCAAAUUCAAAUCCAGAAGCAUGCGCUGAUUUUUUUUUUUUUUUGUGAUAAUCUGUGAAGUUUAUUUGGAAAGGACGUAUCUGGGUUUAAUGGAUUAAAUUAUGACAUUGAGGGAAAGGCACUAAAGGUUUUGCUUGACACAUUUGGUCUGUGUUUACUCUGCAAUAAAUAGCUUCGCUUAUCAGAAAUCCCUAUUUGGCUGGUGAAUUUCUCUGUGACAGACAGGCAAACACCUAAACCGCUUCUAUCCAUUUUUCUGCUGGUGAGGUAAGGGGUAAAAAGUCUUCAAAAUCAUCAAAUAGUAACAUCUCUGAGAAUUGGUUUUAGAAAAAUGGAAAAUCUAGACCUACUAGGACAAAAUGGCGUCCGGUAUCAGGAGGUACCGUUUCAAGUUUUCUUGGUAAAGAAUAUAUUAAACCUGCGCAACCAGCUAAUGGCACUUUUCUGGCAUCAAAGCCAUUGAAGUUGGAUCUAAAGGAGUUUUCCCAUGCCUGCAUUGUGCAGAGAAGAAACUAAACAAAAACAAUCAAAGAAUGACCAUUUGCAGAAGGAUACGGAAGAUUUUCUAUUUAAAUUGUUAGGAGAAGGGUCCCAGCUGAACAGGGAUGUGAUUCAGGAGGUUCUCGGUAAUGUCUUAAAUAUACUGAUGCCAAUUUAAUACAUAUUGUCCUUUUCAAUGUUCUUUCUUUCUUUCUUUUUUUUUUCCUUCUUCUUCUUUUUCUUUUCGUGUGCAUGUGAUCACUGAUUUGGUAUUAUGCUUAAGUUGCAGAUAGCUGUGGAUUUGAUAUGCAAAAGGUAAGGACUAUAUCUUCCUGAUGUAGGCCUCUGCUUUUUCCCCUUCUAUGUAAUUUAGUAAUUCACAUCUUCCUUUGUGAUUGUUAUAUCAUAUCGAAGUCAAGUCUUAAAUACUGCUGUCAUAUGUGAAGGUUCAACUUGCAUUUUGAUUAAGAUCCAUUUGCUGCUGCUUCCAAAAGUGAGAAUGAGAUACUUUGGUUAAUUUCAGUGGUUGAACCCAAUAGAGAACUUUAUUUAGAUCUUCAUGGUUCAAAGGCCUGAAAAAACUUGCCCGUAAUUGUAAAAUGACAUUCUGUGCUUUUUAUGCAAUAGGGAACAGGGAAGUAGAGCUUUGGAAAAGCCUGGAUUGAUAACUAUGGAGAGACUUAUUAUUUAAGUGAUGAAAAAUUCCCAUCGCCCGCAGUCAAGAAAAUUUCAGAUAGUUAAAGACUCCAUUUUGCUUCAGCCAAAAAUGUUUGUUUCAAUUAAAGACUUGAACCAUUUUCAUUGAACCUGAUUGUGAUCCUUUACGUUAUGCAUGUUCCUCUCAAUCAAGAAAAGUUGAGGUCAUGAUUCUAUAUUUCUAUAUUGUAACUUGAAAUAAUAAUUGGUCUACUUGUUUCUGUAUCUUGAUAAUAUGAAUUUUCCUUCUCAAGUUAAUUUGUUCAAUAAAGUAAUUCUUCAAAGAAAAUAUGCCCAUUCUAUAAUCAUUUUCUUAGCUCAGAUGUUUUUUCUUCACUCUUCAGAGCAUGUCAAAACUAAUUGAUCGCUUGGCAGAUACUUUGGGUAAGAAGACAAAAUUUCUUGGUAAAUCCUCGGAAAAGGUAUGCAUAAUUCCCGAGUAUUAAAUAACCAAUAGUCAUAAUUUUUGUACAUGACUCUUUUUUCUCUUUUUUGUGGAGAUCAUUAAAAUUGGUUGAUGAUCCAUUUUGUAACAUCAUAGAGGGAUCAUCAAUUCCUUCUCUUUUCUGUGGCUAGGCAACACUUUCAGGCCAAAGUAAGAAAAUCUAUUUUAGGUAAUGUGAAAACCAACGGUAGGAUGUAAUAGUUUAUUAUGCACUGACAAUAACUUUUUGUAUGGUUGGCAGUUUAAUGAAUACAAGAGGAACUUUGUUGACAAAUUCAUCCAAGAUAGAUGCUAAAAUUAUUUAUGCAUGCCAGUUGCCUUAACUAAUUUUUCUUAACACUUGUAUUGAACAGGAAAAUGAAUAAGCAAUCUGUAUAUUGUGCCAUUGUGGAGUAUUUGGAUAUUCUGAUUUAAAUAACAAGGAGAAUACUUGCCUCAUCUUUAAAUGAGGAGUGGGGGAUUGGAAGUGUCUUCAUGUAAAUGUUCAUUUAUUUGUAUUUUGAACUAUUAUGAGAAUCUUAUAUGCCAAAUCAGUAAUACAAAUCUUCAGAUGAUUUUUGCUGUUGAUCAUGGGUUUGUGUCUGCACACAACCAUUGUAUAUCACUUUAUUCUGAUGUGCAGGUAUGUGUAGCUUAGAAGAAAUGGAAUAAUAAUCAUCUAUUAUUGCUUGGUUCAUGAUUAUUAAACGAUUAUGGCUUUAAAAAGUCUACAAAUUCCUUCUGUUCAUAUAUGAAUGUGCCAAGUUUGCUAUAUCUUAGAUUAUCUUCUUCCAAGAUAACAAGUUCAUAUUCUUUUUAAUCUUUUUCCCUCACAGUUGACUUUUAGGUGUUAAGAUUUGUUAUUAGUCCCCUGUUAUUAUGAUUUCAUAAACAGUGUACGGAUAUGUGCUCUAACUUUGGAGGACCUCCACAUGAAAGAAAAUUGCAACAAUUGAAUUCUUCCGGAGGGUAUGGUCUUUAAUUUAUUUUCUCAACUUCUCGUAAGAUUAAUAUAUUUCAUUCAGUAGGCACAGCAUGGGGGGAAGGGUUUUUAUUGAAAGAAUUCUGAUAUUUCUUAGACUUUGUUUUGGAAGGGGGGUGGAGGGAUUUCUCAUCCAUGUAUGGUUACUUGAUUAGCUUUUGACUGUAUUUCCUCAGUCAUGUAAAGGAAGAUCCAAAUACCAACGAAGGAAUAUUGCCUAGACACCCGAAAGACAGAAAUGAGCUACAGAAGCAAGUUUUACUACUUUAUUUAGUGCUCCUGAGAAAUCUGAUGGAGACCGAAUGGAGGUCCAAAGCAUUGGAAAAGGUAGUGAGUGAACCGCCGGAGGAGUUGGCACCAGAAUGCAAGGCUAAUGUGGUGCACUUGCAGCAAGAUAACCAAACCGGUAUGUGCUCUUAUAUUAACUAGACUGACUGGAUUUGUGAGUGUGUGCAUUUUUUUGUGUAUACUCUUGUAUUUAUGCAUAUUAAUGUGUGUAGGAAUUUCUGCCACUUACUGGAGAACUAGUGGAAAGCUUUAUAUCGAUAUAUCUGCAAUAACUAAUUGGAAACUAUGAUAUUAAUAUUUUCUCUCACCUGAGGAACUGUGUAACAGAUAUACUUUGUGGCUCUGGAGUACUAGAAAUUCUGCAAUAACUAAUGGAAACUAUGAUAUGAAUAUUUUAUCUCAACUGGAGAACUUUGUAACUUGUAGCUCUGGAAUGUCUAAGGAAUUUUGUCUGCUUCAGUUAGAUCAAAUAUCUUUUAGUUGCAUACAUUAUAGAAAAAGAUAAAGUUCUCUGAAUCUGAAAGACUGAAACAUUUUGUAUAUUUUGUGAAAGGGAAAUAUCUGUAGAUACUAGUUCAUGCAUUGAGGUAACAUCAAUGUUAAAGAAAAACAGCAAUAAGUUAUUAUGUGGAACUAGGUUCACUUGCUUUAAAUGCUGGUCUGGUCAACCAUAUGAACCUGUAAGUUCUGCAGAAAUAUAUAUACGGGGAGAAACUAGCUAAAUUUUCCGUUCAUUGAUGGCUUUGGUCAUUUUUUUCCCCUUAUUUUUCAGCUGUCCUUCUCCUGAAGUAUGUUAACAACUGCAGAUAAUGAUGAAGAGGACAGCUUGCAGGCUCUUCUUAGAGCCAUGAUGGAAUAUAGGGGCACAAUGAAGGAACAUUGCAAAGCUGUAGGUUCUUUUUCUCCUGUCAUUUAUGUUUUCUCACACAUUUUUUAUAUGCUCCAAGCAUGCAAUUUUGUAUGUGUCAACUGCUUUCUAAGUUUUAAAAACCAUAAUGUAAGAAUACAGUUUCUUGUCAGGCUAUUGAUGCAUUUGCUCAGGGGGAUCAUGUUCGAGCAGGAAAACUUCUAGAACAGACAAGGUUUUCCAUCUACAGCCAUCUAUUGACAACAGAUAUAUUUUCAUUCAGCAAACACUGUUAGCAUUCAAGAUACUGGCAGAUUCACUUGAUUCUUAUUAGUAAUGUUUAGUAGCAAAGGAUAUAACCUGUAUUUCAAAGCCAAGUUGUGCUAUUGAUUAUGUUAGCUUUAUUGUUCACAUAAAGUGAUAUGGAGGAAAUAAUGUGAAGUGAUAUGGAGGAAAUAAUCAAUGUAGGAAAAUUAGGUGAAGAAAUGAUGUCAAAUCUUGAACCUCUUACAAAACUCCAAGCUCUUUACUUGAAUAAGCUACUAAAUUUGAACAGGGUCCACUGGAAGGCCUUGCCAUUCUCUGAUGCAUGCAGAAUUUUUGCAUUUAAAUGCCCAGAGCUUAAGAAGCUGCCACUGGAUCUUGAAAGGGCAGGCCAAGGUAAAAUUCUUAUCAAGGGAAAGGAAGAUUGGUGGAAACAACUUCAAUGGGAGGAUCAAGUAACUCAGAAUGCAUUGCUUCCAUUUUUAAAACAACCAGCAAGUGAUUGAAGGGGGCAUCAUCAACGUCAUCAACAUGGAUGGAGAGAUUCAGGAGCAGAUCAGCAGGAUUUAGUACGACCUGUGGUGGUUUCUUUUUUGUGACUUUUUUCCCUUUCAUUUUUUCACUUCCUGUCAUAUUAUCAUUUCUUUGUCUCUGUUUCUAUUGCUGGUGUUGCUGCAUGCUUGCUGUCCUUGACAAAGUUAGCUAGUUUUUUUUUUUUUAAUUAAAUUUUGUAUGUUCGGUCGGGACAGUCACAAAGUACUACUUGUUCUAUAUGGGGGUGAUGUGAAUCAACUUUUCAAUUAUAUAUUCUGUGGUAAUUGCGAAUUCAAUUUCAUUUGUCUCCAGCAAAUUAUGAAGAAAGUGCAGAGUUACAAUAUGGAGAAGUUCACUGGCAAAUACUUUGUAAAAGCUUCGGAGUGAAACAGGAAAUGCACUUGCAGCUAAGGACAAAUUGGUGGCCAGCUAAUGCCUUCAUUUUAUGUACAUUCAUCUUUUUAAUUAUUGAAGAUAAGUGGUUCGUUGCUUUUGUUAAGAUUAUAAGUUAGCGUCGGUGCAGGAUUUGCAGCAACAAAUCUUGACUAGCCACGUGUCAAAAGCACAAAUAAAUCAAGGGAAAGCACAUGACAUGGAUUAGGAUCUAAUAAAAUUUAAAUCCCAAGGAAAAUGACAACUGCAUUAUGAAGUUUCAAUAAGGGAUACUGACUAAUGAUAUUUUUUGGCUUUAUUAAUAAAAAAAGAAUAUUUUAUAACAAAUUAAAACAUAAUAUUAAGCUAAAUGUGAUAAUUAUAUACAUUUUAAAUAAUUUCAAUAAAAAAACAUUUUAAUGUUUUACGAUCUAUCAUACAUAUUUUAUUAAAUUAAUAUGAAUUUUUUUUUAUAAAUAGCAACAUAAUAUUACAACAAAUUUAUAAGGAUUUAAAUGUAAAAUAAUUUUAGUAUAAAUAAUACGUGGGAUAUAUUUUGUAAAUUAUAAAAUUAUUUAACACAAAGUUUUUUAAAAAAUAUUUAAAAUAAAUAAAAAUAAAUUAUUCACAUCUUGAUUUAAAUAUUUAAAAUAUUUUUAUAUAUUAGUCUACAAUUAUUUAUGUUAUAUUUUUAUUUAUUAGAAAUUUUGAAAGUCAAAUGUUUUCACCUCUAAGAGAAAGACACAUAUGCUUUAUAGCUUUAAAAUCGGUCUGUUUUAUAUCUGGAAACAAAUAUAUCAUUAUUGGUAAGGAUUAAAAAAAGGGAUAAAGAAUAUUAAUGAUUAAUGAAAUCUCUAUGGAAAUUGAAUUUAGUAGGAAAAAAUUGAGCUAAAUGAUUUAGACAUUUAGUGGUAUAGUAAUAUUUUAUAUAUAGAAAUGUAAAAGCUGCACCCGAGGUUAAGGGAAAUGUUCAAAACUCUUUUUUACUCAUAAUACCCUUUGUCCUAACUAACUUACAAAUUCGACUCUAAUAUUUUAUAAUAAAUAAAAAUGUAAUCCUAAAAUAAAUAAAAUAAGAUAUAUUUUAAAAUAAUCUCAAUAUUUAAAAUAUACUUUAAUAUUUUAUAGUCUAUCAGACAUAUUUAAUUAUAUUAAAGUAAAUUUUGUAAUAAAUACAAACAUACUAUUAAAAUAGAUAUAUAAAAAAUUUAAAGUAUUUUGGAUAUUAUAUAAAAGAACUUUAAUAUUGUUAAUACGUGAGAUAUAUUUUAUUAAUUAAAAAUUCUAUUUAACCCAAAGAUUUAUUUAAGAUAAAUUAACAAUCAUAUUUGUGAAAUUAUUUCAAAUAUUAAAAAAUAUUUUAAUAUUACUAACUAUUAGAUAGACUAAACUAUUUAUAUUAUUUUCUAUUUAUUAUAAAAUUUCAAAAUUAAUCUUUUUAACUACUAUUCAAAAGAUAUUAUGAUAAAAAUAAUUUUUUUGUGUUUUUAUUAAAAAUUUGGAAUUUGCAUAACUCUUUUUUUAAAUAUUGGGGUAUAGCUGUCUUUUCCCUUUUAUAUAUACAAACCACAGUGGUGAAAAAGCUUGAUUUAAUGUUAUUUAUUUAAACAACACCGAUAUUCACACCACAUUGAGCACCAUAGUUUUUUUUUUUUUUUUGAAAAGAAAGUACACCUUUCAUUGAAUUAAGAGAAAAGAAACAAAACAUCCUCUGGAAAUUCAUCCAGCCAAAUACAAGGGUCUGACUUUUUGAAAGCCAACUUUGCCAAAUCAUGCGCUAAAAAGUUACACAUCCUAAGGACGUGCUGAGCUUUAAAAUUCUGAAAGAUUUUCUUAGCUUCUAUAAUAUCAAAAAUCACCCAAAAGGUGUCUGUCAAAGUGCUUCUCUUGUUAUUGAUUAGCUCUAUCACCCCUUUAGAAUCAGACUCUAAGAUAACUGAAGUUGCCCCUGCCUUGGCAGCUGCCUGCAUUCCCCACAAAACAGCUUUUGCCUCACUCAACUCCACAUCUCCUGAGCUCUUAAAAGUGCUAACAGCUGCAGCAACUGUUUCUCCCUUAUGGUUUUUAACUACUGCUCCCAGCCCAGCAAGAUAAUUCACCCUAUCCAUAGCAUCAUCAACAUUUACCUUAAGCCAUCCUUCUUCGGGUGGACUCCAUUGGCUUUGCUGAACAUUGUUUUGUUCUGCUAAGAAAUCCUCUUCUGACAUUGAGCACCAUAGUUAAGUACAAAACGGUGCGUUUUGUUCACGCAUGUUAGUAAACACCCACGCAACUUACACACAUACGCGCGGCUCACAACACGCGCUCUCCUCGCCCUAAAUCUCACCUGAUUGAAGCCACAAAUUUGGCCACGUUCUCCCACAGCUCUCUCCGUUCUGACCGUUUACUCUUCCUCUAGCCCCAUCGAUUACAUCUCUCAUAGCACCUCAUUCAACCGACGUAAUUGCCAGAAAACAACCUACCUGGUAAUAAAAGUCGAUUCUCUUACAAUUUUGGCCCAAAAAAAAAAAUUGCACAACUGAAAAAUCAAAAUGCCACUCUUUAAAACCAAAAAUCAAUUUUGGGCCCCCUUCAUCACCGCCUUCACUCUAGAUUUUUUCAAUCCACUUUGUCGUCAAAACCGUGGUGUUCUUAAACCAUUAUUAUAUUCACCAUCCCCUUAAUCACAUCCAACCAUCCCCAUUAUUCGUUUGUCAAACACGCUGUUCUCUUCCCAAAUUAAUUAAUUAAUUAAUGACAGACAGGAACAAAAGUACUUUAAAUCUCUGCCAAAUCGUAUUGUUAUUACUUCUUCCGAGUCGAGGCCACGUCGUUCUCGAUGGAAACCAUUGCUUUUUAUUACCACUCUUGAGGAGUUCGAAGCAUUCUCGACGGAGACCCGCGCAAGCUGUGGAAAGAGAGAGAGUCAACGGUGAAAAGAGAGCAUGGUGAGAUGUGUGAGCGACGGGGGGAGAGAGAGAGAGAAAGAAAGCCGACGGAGAGAGCACAUAGAGCUGAGAUGCGUGAGUUGGGUGAAGAUUUGGUGAGCGUUGUGUCAGUUGCCCGUGUGUUGUGUGAGCUCUGUGCCAUGUGAUAUGCGUGCUACUUUGAGAAUUUAUAGAUAGCACAAAACUCAAUCUAUAUCCAAUUCAUACCUAGAUAGAUGCGGAUUUGACUCAAUUUAUAUCCAAUUCGUCAUUUGCGAACUAAAAAUUUUUAAUUCUCUCAAAUUCACAAACUAACUAAAUAAAUAAAAAUUUAAUAUAAAAAUAACUGUACUACCGAUCAAAUUUAAAAUUAAAUAAUAUUUAAAUAAAUUAAUUGUUUAAAUAAAGUUAGAAAAUACAUUCAAAAUUUUAAAAUAUAACACAGUAAAAAGAAAAAAUCUCAUUUGUUUAGACCUAUGUAUGAAAAUUAAUUGUUUAGGAAUCUAUAUUUAUUUAUUUUUAUAUUAUUAUCGGAUAAGAUAUAAUAUGGUGUUAAUGUAACUAUAUUUUAACUUAUUUAUUUAUAAGACCAAUGCUAUAUGUACAAGUUUAAUUUUUUAAUUAAAUAAAUAUUUUUUUUUGCGGAAUUGUGGAUUUUUGCGGAUUUACAAAAGUAAAUCUAUAUCCAAUCCACCGACUAUGGAUUUUCAAAUUUUCAAAAUUUCAAAUUUUCAAAUUUUCAAAAUUUCAAAUUUUCAAAUUUUCAAUCCAAUCCAAUCCACCAAUUCACAAAUUCGGAUUUUUACGGAUUAGAUUUCUACAGAUUAAACGAAUUGAGCAGACCAUAUUUGAUUUUGAACAUUGCUAAUUUGUAUGUUAAGUAUAACAUAAUCAAUUAUUUGGAUAAUCCCUUGUGUUUUAUCUCUAAUUAGAGCAUCAAUCUUCACAAUAUCUACAAAGCUACAAUGGCUACAAAACAAACCUGCUUGCAAAUUGUCAAGGAUACUUAUCCUUUCUCUUGACAAGUCAUUUGGAAAAAUACUGUCCCUUGGCGGCUCCAUGACUUCUCUGCUCCUCCUUUUGGUCUUAAUGUACGGUUGCAUAAUGAUAGUUUAGGCCCUUUAGGGACUACUUUCCCUGGGGUUGUUAAGUCUUAGCUUGUGCUAGGCUCGUUUUUCUUACCAAAAAAAAAGGGAAUACUUCUCCUAUAAGAAAUAAUCUCUAUAUAUAGGGUGGUUGGAUUCACUUGUUUACAUAACAGAUCAAUUAGUUCUCUGUAAAUAGAGAGUUUCUAGUAUAAGAGAAACGGUAGAUCUAUUGAGAGAUUAUGUGUUAUUAAAAUUUUAGUUGCGAAGAAAAGUACUAGAGUGAUUGUAUUAAUUUUUUACAUAGUAGAUUUUUCUAUCGUCAUCUUUAUGGCUGUGAUUUUUCUUCCAUAUAGAAGUUUCUCACGUAAAUUUUUAUGUUGUGUGAUUAGUUUUAUUCUCUAUCUAUUUUUUGUUUAAUAUUUUAUUUGUAAGAUGCUGGAUGGGAUUAAAAUUUCUUAACAAAUAACGGAUUAAAAAUCAUGAAGAAAAAGCUCAAGAGAUCUUCAAGAUUUGAAGUGUGCAAAAGUUCAUAUUACUGCUAGAUGAUAUAUGGGAGCGGGUUGAUUUAGUAAAAAUGGGUGUCCCUCUUCCUAGAUCAGAAAACAGCACAUCCAAAGUGAUAUUUACAAACCCGUUCUGAGGAAGUUUGCGGCUUAAUGGAAGUUCGUAGGAGUUUUAAAGUGGCGUGCUUAUCAAAUAAAAAUGCUUGGGAAUUGUUUCUAUACAAAGUUGGGGAAGUGAAAGAAAACAGAGAUGUACUGUUUGGUUGAAUAGAAAAUUACAGAGAAAAUUCUCAAUACUUGUAUUUGAUAAGAUUCAAUUCUUAAGAGCUUUUACAAAUCAGUACAAGUAUUUAUAUUAUUCCUUACACGUGAGAAUUGCUAGUAACUCACUAACUAACUAACUUUCUUUGAGCUGGAUCACUAACACUUGACUAAUCACACUGAGCUGUUAUUCUUCACUAACAACCUUCUGCUGACGUGGCUUCACCAAGCUACUUGAAUAAUGAGCAGCCUUGACAGCCCCCCUCAAACUCAAGGGACAAGACAUGACGUUGAGUUUGGCCCUAAGAUAGUUAAAAUGGAUGAAUGAGAGUGGCUUGGUCAUGAUGUCAGCUACCUGCUCCUCACUUGGUAUAUAUUGAAUGUUUAGUUCUCCAGCAAGAACUUUGUUUCUAACAUAAUGAAUAUCAAUCUCAAUAUGCUUUGUUCUUGAGUGGAAAACUGGAUUGUGAGCUAACUCUGUUGCACUGAGAUUGUCACACCAAAUAACAGGUUUCUCUAUGCAUUGUAAUUUCAACUCAGAAAACAGUGAUUGCAGCCAGCUUAUCUCGGCACUUGCUGAGGCUAGGGACCUAUACUCACUCUCUGCACUGGACCUAGCAAUAACAGGCUGCUUCUUAGACGACCAAGAUAUCAGAUUAUGACCAAGAUAGAUGCAAUAGGCUCCAAUCGAUUUUCUGUCAUCCAGAUCCCCUGCCCAGUCUGCAUCUGUGAAUCCUGUUAGUUUCAGAUCACCAUCCUUAAUAAUUUUGAGUCCAUAGUUCUGUGUAGCCUUUAGAUAUCUGAGCACUCUUUUGCAAGCCAUAAGGUGCUGCAGUGUUGGUGCAGAAACGUAUUGACUCAGCUUGUGAACACUAAAGGCAAUUUCUGGUCUUGUUAAUACCAAAUAUUGCAUCCCACCAACAAUGCUUCUGUAAUGUGUUACAUCUUCAACAUAACAACCAAGAUUACCUUGAGCUUCCUUCUGUAGCUUCAUUCCUGUACUCAUAGGAGUAUCAAUAUCUUUGCAAUUUAUCAUCUCAACUCUUGACAGCAGAUCCCUUAUGUAUUUCCUUUGAGAUAAGAAAAUACAAUCUUUAUCAUACAGUACUUCAAUGCCUAAGAAAUAAGAGAGAACUCCAAGAUCCUUCAAAGCAAACUUUGUACUGAAUUCUGUAAUGAAUUUUUCCAGCUCAAAGCUAUUUGGUCCUGUUAUUAAAAUGUCAUCAACAUAUAUAAGAACUAGAAUCAUAGAUGACUUAUUUAUUUUCAAGAAUAAGGAGGUAUCUGAGCUGGAAUUUGUGAAUCCCCACUGCAACAAACAGCCUUUCAACUUAUCAUACCAAGCUCUUGGAGCUUGUUUAAGUCCAUAAAGAGACUUGUGAAGCUUGCAUACAAAGUCUGGUUUCUCAAAGCUGAUAAAUCCCUCUGGUUGAUCCAUGAACACUUCCUCUGUUAAGUCUCCAUUAAGAAAGGCAUUAUUCACAUCAACUUGCCUUAUCUUCCACUGAUUCAUCACAGCUAAACUCAAGACUACUCUUACAGUUGCUGGUUUUAUGACAGGACUGAAAGUUUCAAAAUAAUUCACUCCUAUAAUUUGUUGAAAUCCCUUUGCAACUAACCUAGCUUUGUAUUUAGCUACACUUCCAUCAGUGUUGUAUUUAACCCUAUACACUCAUUUGUUUCCAACAACUCUUUGAUCAUUUGUUUUUGGCACUAAGGACCAUGUACCACUCUGCAUCAAAGCUGCAUAUUCUUCUUUCAUGGCUGUAAACCAUUUUGGGUUUUGCAUAGCCUCAUAUACAGAAUCAGGUUAUUUGUGAACAAGGGUUGCUGUAUAAAGCUUUGGUUUGAAGAUACCAGUUUUGCUUCUGGUAGUCAUUGGAUGUGUAUUAGGUUGGACUGGAAAAGAUAUAUCAGGUGUAGGUUGAGCUAAUAAGGAUAUGUCAGGUGCAGGUUGUGGUGAAUUUUGAGGCUCUGUAGAUGGUUCAAUAAAUGUGGUAUGUGUUUGUGAAUAGGAAUGUUGAUUGUCAGUAUGAAAUGGAUUAUCUGAAUGUUGUGAACUGCUGCUGGUAGAAAUUGCAGAUAGAGGAUUGCAUGAGCUAUUUCCAUCUGAUACUGGUGUUGUAGAUAAUAUGGUCAGAUGAAACACUGGUUGGGGUGUAAGGGAUUGACUCGAAUAAGAUGAUGAUUCAUUAGAAUGAAAAACUGAGUCUGUAGAAUAAGGAAAUGUUGACUCAUAAAAAACAACAUGUCUGGCUAUGUACAUCUUGCCUGAUGAAUGCAAGCAUUUGUAACCUUUGUGAACUGGACUGUAGCCAAGGAAAAUGCAUUUGCUUGAGUGAUAAUCAAAUUUGUGUUUGUUGUAAUCCCUUAGAUAAGGAUAACAUGUGCAACCGAAACACUUGAGCAUGCUGUAAUCAGGUUUAAGUUUAAAAAUUGUCUCAUAUGGGGUAAGAAGUUUCAGAGCUGUUGAGGGUAAUCUGUUUAUAUGGUAAACAGCUGUAAGAAAAGCAUCCCACCAAAAUUUAAAUGGUAGCUUAGCUUGUGCUAAUAGGGUUAGUCCUAGCUCAACAAUGUGUCUAUGUUUUCUUUCUACCACCCCAUUUUGGUGAUGUGUAUAAGGACAAGAAUGUCUGAAAAUGAUUCCACAUUGGUUUAAGAAUUGAGUAAAUGAUCUGUAUUCUCCCCCCCAAUCAGAUUGCAGGUUUUUAAUGGGGCUGUCAAAUUGGUUUUCAACCUGCAAUUUGAAUAGUUUGAAUACAUCUAAUGCCUCAGAUUUCAACUUAAGAGGAUAAAUCCAAGUGUAUCGGCUAAAAUCAUCAACAAAACUUAUGUAAUAGACAUAGCUAUCUCUAGAAGGUGUAGGUGAGGGUCCCCAUAGGUCUGUAUGUAUAAGCUCAAGGGGUUUUGUUGUUUUGGUUUCUGUGCUGGGAAAAUGCAGCCUAUGGGAUUUGCCCAUUUGACAUGCUUCACAGAUAUGCUCAAGUGUUUGUUUUAUGUUAUUUCUUGAGAGAUUAACUGAAGUAAUUCCUUUUAGCAAAUGCAUUAGAAUUUGAGAAUUAGGAUGGCCAAAACGUUUGUGAAGAAGAAGAAUUUUAUUAUUCAAUGCAUCACAAGAUGAAAUGUAGCUGGAAAAUUUAUUUAUUGAUGCAUUACAAACUGUGACACAACUGGAAUCAUUAUUCUGAGUGUUUUUAAGAACACUUGAAUCAAAAGAACAUGCAGAUAACAUUGACAAAGGUUGAGUGGAUGAAGGUUGACCCAUGUAAGAACAAGGAAGAGACUCAGAUGGUCUUAGAAGUAGCUUAUACAAUCCUUUCUCAGCAAUUCCUGUCAGAAGCACUUGCCUCUUCAGAGAAUCCUUCACAUAGCAAACAUUAUCAACAAAUUCAAUAGAGAUAUUGUUAUCAGCAGUUAAUUUUGAUAUGCUGAGCAGGUUCUUUGUGAUAUCAGGUACUAAUAACAUGUCAUUCAGUAAGAUAUGUGUUGGUUUAUAUGCAGCAUUUGAUCCUUUAUAAGUAAAACAUGGAUUACCAACAUGAGUUAUAGGCAAACCUUGGCCAUUGCCGAUGACAAGUUGAUUAGAUCCUCUGAAUUCCUCUCUGACAUUCAUGUUGGCCAUACUGUUAGUCAAGUGAUGUGUGGCACCAUUGUCAAGGUGCCAUCCUUCAUCAGCAGGCCCUUCAUAGUUGGUAAGAUAGGCUUCAGGAAUUACUGUGUCUGUUGAUGGAUAAGAGGAGAAGGAUAAAGGAUUGUAGCUUGAGUAGGGUGCAGCAUACUGUUCUUCAGUUGAAGGAGCAGCAUAGGUUAGAGAUGGAUCAAAGUUAGCUGUGUAUGCAGCCUUAGAUUCAAAAGAUCUGCCCCUUCCAAAAUGCCUAGGUAAUGGUUGAGGAUUGUCAUCAUAUCUAUGCCAGCAUUCAUCUGCUGCAUGUCCUGUUUUGUGGCAUAUCUGACAUAUGGUUGGUAAUUCAUCAGCAUGCAUGUUAGCUGAAGGAUGAAAGUUUGGCUUCAUAGGUGGCCUAAAAGGUUGCAUCAUCUGGCCCCUGCCAUAACCCCCAACAUUACCAACACCAGGUGAAAAACCUCUGGGAUGUGGAUUGUGAAACAUGCCUCUUCCAACAUUAAAUCCUCUAGUCAUAGGUCGACCAUAAUUUCCAUUUCCAACAACACCUCUUCUAAAAUUUCCUCUCAUAUAAGGAUGAUUCACAUUCAUUGUGCUAUAGUUUGCAUUAAACACAGUUUUGGCACUUUGAUUUUGUUCAAGUCUAGCUUCAUGAGUCAGUAAUAAUGCAUAAGCAUCAUCAUAGCUCAUCUUAUUAGCUGUGAUUAUGGAAGCUAGAUCUAGAUAACCUGAACCUAAGCCAUUCAAAACUCUCAUUAACAGAUCCUUUUCAGUGAUUACAUCACCAGCACAAGCAAGUUUGUUGGCGAGUAAUUUCAUUUUAGCACAAUAUUCCUCAACAUUCAUUGAAUCUUUUCUUAAGAUAUUCAUUUCAUAUCUGAGUUGCAUAAUCUUAGCCUCAGAUUGAACUCCAAACUGUUUUUCAAUAGAUCUCCACACAUCAAAUGAAGUGUCAUAGCUAAGAACAGAACUAAGAAUACCUUCACUUAUAGUUGAGAGCAGCCAGCCAAGGAGUAUUUGAUCUUGUGCUCUCCAGUUGCUGUAGGCUGGAUUUUCAAUGCUCUCACCAGAUCCUUCGAUCAUUGAAUCAACUAGAUACUGUUCUGGAAUAAUUUGCGGCUCUAGAAUGAAUCUUUCAAGGCGAUUUCCUCUGAUUGAAGUUACCACUUGUUUGCGCCAAAGCAAGAAAUUUGAUCGAUCAAGUUUCACAGUUGCAGCAAAAGUAAAUGAUGUUUGUGUAUGUUGAUUUGAGUUUAUGAUUGUUUGAUUUGAGAUUGUAUUGCUUGAGCUGGCCAUUUGUGGCUCUGAUACCAUGAAAGAAAACAGAGAUGUACUAUUUGGUUGAAUAGAAAAUUACAGAGAAAAUUCUCAAUACUUGUAUUUGAUAAGAUUCAAUUCUUAAGAGCUUUUACAAAUCAGUACAAGUAUUUAUAUUAUUCCUUACACGUGAGAAUUACUAGUAACUCACUAACUAACUAACUAACUUUCUUUGAGCUGGAUCACUAACACUUGACUAAUCACGCUGAGCUGUUAUUCUUCACUAACAACCUUCUGCUGACGUGGCUUCACCAAACUGCUUGAAUAAUGAGCAGCCUUGACAGGAAGAAACUUUGAACAAUCAUCCUGAUAUCCUUCAGAAAGCACAAUAGUUGUUAAGGAGUGUGGUGGUUUGCCACUUGCACAUUUUACCAUCGGUCGAUUUAUGGCAUGCAAGAAGACACAGCCGAAGAAUGGAGAUAUGCUAUUCAAGUGUUCAAUUCGUCCGCUUCCCGUUUCCAGGUCUGGAAGAAUGGAUAUAUACUCUUGUAAAAUUCAGUUAUGAUAGUUUACCCAAUGACACAAUUACACCUUGUCUGUUAUAUUGUAGUUUAUAUCCAGAAGAUUGUUGCAUUUCUAAAGAGAAUUUGGUAGAUUGUUAGAUCAGUGAAGGAUUUUUUAAUGAGAGUGAUUGGUUUGGAGAAAAAAUCAAGGAUACUUCAUUUUGGGCAUUCUUCUUCACGUUUUUUUUUGGAAAAGGGAGGAGAUUGUGAAAUGAAAAAUGCAUGCAUGACGUUAUUCGUGAUAUGGCUUUGUGGAUCGCAUGCGACUAUGAGAAGGAGAAGGAGAACUUUUUGGUUUACGCUGGUGUUGGUUUAACUAAGGUACCGGAUAUUAGAGAUUGGGAAAAGGUAAGGAGAUUGUCAUUGAUGAAAAAUAAAAUUGAGAAUCUAUCCGAGGCUCAUACAUGCCCUCAUCUCCUCACUUUCUUUCUUGACGAUAAUGAGUUUCGGAAGAUCCCCGGUGAUUUCUUCCAGUUUAUGCCUUCUCUCACUGUUUUAAACUUGUCAUGUAUUAAACUAAAGUCAGUUCCUUUAGGGACUUCAAGGUUGGUUCCACUACAACAACUCGAUCAUUCAUAUUCAAGCAUAAAAGAGUUGCAAGAAGAGUUAAAUGCCCUGAUUAAAGUUAAAUGCUUGAAUAUAGAUCAUGUAGAGGAGCUAAUUACAGUUCCACAACAACGGAUAUUUAAUUUUUAAGGUUAUAUGUGUUGAGAAUGUUCGAUACUAUUAGUUUAAAUUUUCAAGAAGCAUUAAAUAAAGACAGCAUUUUAUUUGGUGGGGAGGAAGUUUAAGCAGAGGAGUUGCUCGGUUUGGAAUAUUUGGAGGUAUUGAGCUUCACUUGAGAGGUGUUCGUGCUCUCCAAUUUAUUUUGAGCUCACAUAAGCUACGAAGUUGUACUCAAGCGCUGUUCCUCCAAUCCUUCAAUAAUUCGAUAUGGCUUGAUAUUUCACUUUUGGCAGAGUUAAAAGCACCACUGCAGAUUUAAGUAUUUUUGGCUGUAGAAAAUUGGAGGACUUGAAGAUGGAAUAUACAGGGGGAGCGAAAAACAAGCGGCAACCUUGUGUUUUCUAAGGCCUACAUACAGUUCACAUAGAGGUUUGUUCUAAAUUGAAGGACUUAACAUUCCUUGUUUCUGCUCCAAAUCUCAAGAACUUGGAAAUACAAAAUUGCCCUGCUGUGGAAGCAAUCAUCAGUGUGGGAGAAUUUGCGGAAGCUCUAGAGGUGGUGGAAAAUCUAAACCCAUUUGCAAAACUCCAGUAUCUUGGACUAGAAAAUCUGCCAAAUGUGGAGAGCAUCUAUUGCAAGCCUCUGCCCUUUCCAUGUUUGAAAAGAAAUGACUGUGGAUAGUUGCGGUUGUCUUAAAAAGCUUCCACUCUACUCCAACAGUGUAAAAGAGUGUACAAUUGUUAUUUCAUCAUUCGGAGAGUUAAUGGUGCAAUGAGAUUUGGCAGUUAACUCUCGUGGGAAGAGCUUGAAUGGGAAGACGAAGCCACUCGAAUUGCUUUUCAUUCAUGUUUCAAAUCUCUGAUUGGAUUGGAGAUUGCAUUUCGCCUCAGGUUCGUACUUUUCUUGAAUUUUUCUUGUUAACUUCAUUUGUUCAUUUAUCCAUUUUUUUUUAAAGGAAUCAGAAGGGUUAAUAAUUUUGGUUGUGUUAGGUCGACUUCUAAUCACGAGGCAGAAGGAGUUGAGAUGAAGUUUAAUUUUGGUGGAGAAAUUGUUUGAUUUAAAAAAUUUAAAUGAGUUGACCAUCAUUCUUUAGCAUAUUUGUAUGAACAGGAGUGUGUAAAUAUGCAAACUGUCCAGCUGUAUGUGUAUAGCGUAAUAAUUUUGAGGAGUUAAAACAUUGAAGAAUAUUGAUGUUUCCAUUGUCAAACCAAAUAUACUUAAUUACUUGAGGAUAAUGAUUACUGCUAAUACAUUUGCUAAUACAUUUGCAAAGAAAAAAACAUGCCUAUUGAAAAACUCAUCUUAUUAGCAACAGCAUUAUAAGUAGUAUCCAAUCAUAGUUUCAUGCAAGAUUUUGAGAUUUUUCAAAUGCUGAUUCCGGGAAUGGAGAUUAAUAGAUAAUGGAGACAGGUUGACUGCAAUGGCUAAUUGCAAGAGGGAAUUUUAGUCGUAAAAACAGACCAACUAGCAAAGCAAAUUCCAAAUCUUGGAAUGAAGUGGCAAAAAAACGAAACAAACAAAUGGCAAGAGGAAGUGACUAUACAAUAAUAACAUCGACUUGCAAUUCAACAUUUAUACAGUUUUACUCACCAAGAAAAGAGAAAAUUACAAUAGCAAUUUGGCUACUAGAAGAUGUUCAUUCAUGCUUAUGCCUGUCAUAUGGAUUUGAAACAAGGAGUAAAAGCAUUUAGAGUGGCUUCAUCCUUCCACUGCAGCUCAUUCCACCAGUGUUGCUCUCCCCUAAUAACAAGUUUGCGUUCCUUGGCGCUGUUGUAAUCGAGUGGAAGCUUCUUGAGGUUCGGGCAUCCAGAUACAAACAAUUCUAAGAGAUUUGGAAAGUGCACUUAAAUUCUUAUGAAUUGCUUAAGUAUGCAAGCAGCAGAGCAGAAAACAAACAACCUUUUCAUAUAUUAUAAUAACAUGAAUAAUCAGAUAUACACAUCCUUCACAUAUUUAUACUAAACGUGAAAAAUGGUAGCUUGCUCAAAGGGAAAACAGAAAUGAAUAAAACAAAAGAUUACAGCUGCACUAGCCAAUCAUUGGAAACAUUCUAGAAACUCCAGCUUGCAGUAUUCACGUGUAAAUAUUCUCCUGCAUAACAGUUUUGCCAGCUCAUUGAAUACACCUCAACUUCUUCAUCAGCUGGUUGCUGGAUAUGGCUGCUCAGGUGGCAUGCCAGCAUGGCCUUUGGGUCAAUUGUUGACUCAUCUUCAUAAUCUGAAUUCUCAACACCCUCUCUCAAACUUAAGGUCUUGUCGAAGACAUUAAGUUUGCUUCUAAAUUGACUGAACUUGUAAUAAGGCAAUGGCUUGGUUAAUAUGUCUGCAACUUGAUCUCUGCUGGCUACAAAACUGAUUUCCAGCUCUCCUUGAGUGACUUUGUCUCUAAUGAAAUGAAGGUCUAUCUCAAAAUGCUUUGUCUUUGAGUGAUACACUGGAUUUGUGGCUAUUGCUGCUGCACUUGUGCUAUCACUUAAGAUCAUUGGAACUCUUUGCAUCUUGAUUUCCAAUUCACCAAACAGAGAAUUUAUCCAAGUGAUUUCAGUAGUACACAAAGCUAUGGCCCUGUACUCGGACUCAGCUGUCGAUCUUGCUACCAUGCCUUGCUUUAUUGAGCUCCAAGCUACUAAAUUGUCUCCCAAAAACACACAAUAUCCACUUACUGAUCUUCUGUCAUCUGGAUCACUAGCCCAGUCAGCAUCAAUAUAGGCUAUCAAAUCUAGAUGUUCUGACUUCUGGAACUUUAAGCACAUGUUUGCAGUGCUCUUUAGGUACCUCAACACUCGUUUGCAAGCUGUCCAGUGAGAUUGUCUUGGGUCAGACAGGUAUUGGCUAAGCUUGUUCACAGAAUAUGCAAGCUCUGGUCUUGUUAGAACAGCAUAAUGUAGACUUCCUACAACACUCCUAUAAAAUGAAGGAUUGUCAAGUUUGGUGCCUUCACCCUUCUUUAGUUUCUCUGCUGUGCUGAAAGGUGACUCUAUUCCCUUGCAAUUCUCCAUCUCUGUUUUAGCUAAUAGGUCUUGAACAUAUUUAGCUUGAGAGAGCAAAAUGGAGUUCUGAUUUCUUAUAACAUGUAUCCCAAGGAAGUAGCUUAAAUUUCCAAGAUCUUUCCACUUAACUUUCCUAUCACUUCCUCAAUACCCUUGCUGUUAUUUCCAGUCACAAUUAUGUCAUCUACAUACACAAGCACAAUGAUUAUUUCAGCACUGCUUCUUUUGAAGAAUAGAGAAAUAUCACACUUGGAGUUGUUGAAUCCCCAAGAGCACAGAGCAUUCUUUAAUUUGUCAAACCAUGCUCUGGGUGCUUGUCUCAGUCCAUAAAGAGCUUUCUUGAGCUUGCAUAUGUGGUUUGGUCUUCUCCUAUCCUCAAAUCCCUCAGGUUGUGGCAUGUACACUGUCUCUGUCAAAUCUCCAUUCAGAAAUGCAUUAUUUAUGUCAACCUGCCUCAACAGCCAAUCAUUACUUACAGCCAAAGUUAAAAUGAUUCUGAUUGUUGCAGCUUUGACCACAGGGCUGAAAGUCUCAUUAAAGUCAAGUCCUGGUGUCUGCAGAAACCCCUUCAAGACAAGUCUAGCUUUGUAUCUAUUUAUGGUGCCAUCUGGAUUUUCCUUUACUUUGUACACCCAUUUGUUGCCAAUGAGUUUGUAGUUCUGGUCAUGUGGAAUUAAGGUCCAGGUUUGGUUUUUGACAAGAGCAUUAUAUUCAUCCUCCAUUGCUCUUCUCCAUUUAGGAUCUUUCAGUGCCACAGUGGAGUCAGGGGGUAAGGAAGUUUGAGAUUGAGUGGAUAUUUGAUAAACCUUUGGCUUGCAAAUCCCUGCUUUUGACCUUGUGAUCAUGGGAUGUAAGGAGGCUUGAGUGUUUGGUUAUGUUAUGAGAGGCAAGGUGCAAUUUUCUACUGAGGUGUUUGGUGAGAGUUCAACAGGUGAGUGGUUGUCUGAUAUAGAGUUGAAGCUCAAAUUCUAACAAGCUCCAUCUUAACUAAAACUUGGGAGCUGUUCUGAGUUUCCAGCAGUGGCCUGAGAUUAACUAUGAGCUGCAUUUUGCUGUGUUGACUCAGGGGGAACAGUAGUGGAGAAAGAUACAACUUGAAAUUUUUCUAGAACUGUGGGGGAAUCAUUUUGGUCAGUGAGCCUUUGCUUGCAGAAAUUUGAGUCAUUUUGAAAAGGGAAUGAAUGAUCAUUAAAUUGACACUGGCUGAAAUGUAGAUCCUCCCAGAAUGAUGCAUGCAAAUGUAACCUUUGUGACUGAUGCUAAUGCCUAGUAGUGUGCACUUGAAAGUGUGAAAAUCAAACUUAUGCUUGUUGUAGGGUCUUAAGUAUGGAUAGCAUUCACAACCGAAAACUUUAAUUUGGGAAUAAUCUGGUUUGGUGAGAUAUAACAGCUCAAAUGGAGUUUUAUUUUCAAGAAUAGGUGAGGUUAAUCUGUUUAUGAUGUAGGUGGCAUAGCUGAAAGCUUCUUGCCAAUAUCUCAAAGGCAUUUUUGCUUGGGCUAGUAAUGUUAGGCCAGUUUCCACAAUGUGUCUGUGCUUUCUCUCCACCUUUCCAUUUUGUUCAUGUAAAUAAGGGCAUGAGUGUCUUAAGGCUAUUCCUUCUUUCUUGAGAAAGGGUUCGAAAGUUUUAAACUCCCCACCCAUGUCUGUUUGUAAAGCCUUGAUUCUUAAAUUUAGCUGAUUUUCUACUUGGUUUUUAAACACAAUGAAUGUGUCAAGGGCCUGUGAUUUUGUUGUUAAGGGAAACAACCAUGUGUAUCUUGUCUUGUCAUCCACAAAUGAUAUGUAAUAUCUGUGUCCAUGGGUAGAUGGAAUAGGUGCUGGUCCCCAGAGAUCACUAUGUAUUUGUUCUAAGGCUGUGCUGGUCUUGGUUUCAAUGCUUUUAAAGUUUAGUUUUGAUUGCUUUCCAUACUGACAAGCAUUACAGAAUGAGGGAAAUAUAUUUUUAUUUAAGUUGAGCUGAUUACAAGAUAAUAGAGUAUUUUUCAGAACUGACUCAUUUGGAUGCCUCAGCCUAUGGUGCCAGAGAUCUAUUUCAUUUGUUCUAAGAUCCCUACUGCUUGUAUCAGCUCUACUGGACUCGACAACACUGGCACCAACACUGGCACCUAAAGACUCAUUACUACUGAAAUUGAAACAUGCCAUUGACAUUGGAUUGCUAAUGCAACUUAUUGACUUGGGUAUUGGAAAUGAAGAUAACUCAGCAGCAUAAGUAACCUUGUUGCCACUCAAAUGAGUUGGCAUGCAUAGCAGCUCAUAUAGUCCAUCUCUAGCCACUCCUUUCACCAGAAUUCUCCCUUGGCUCUUGUCCUUGAUGAAGCAAACAGAUUUUUGAAACUCAACAUCAAUAUCAUUAUCAUGAAGCAAUUUGGAAACACUAAUGAGAUUUUUGGUAAUAUCAGGUACAAACAAAAUAUGAUUUAAUUUGAUGUGUUUGUGUGGACUGUAAGUGGGCAAUAUAGAAUAACCAAUGUGAGAGAUAUGAAGUUUGUUACCAUUACCAACAGUGAGCUUGUCAUUACCUUGGUACUCUGAGUUCAGGUUCAUGUUUCCAAUAGCAUUGGUCACAUGAUUUGUGGCACCACUGUCAAGGUACCAGGCAUUGCUGUUUUGUCCUUCUGUUGUGGCCAUGUAGGCUCCUCUCCUCCUAUUUAGCUGUGGCACAUAAUUUUUCUUAAACCUAUGCCAGCAUUCAACAGCUGUGUGCCCCAUUUUGAAGCAGAUUUGGCAUGGACCCUUUGAUUCAGAACCUUCACCUUCUGCAGCAGCUUUGCCUUUGCCUUUGUCUUGAAUAUUUUGAUUUCCCUGACCAUGACCACCAUUGCCACCAUUUCCAGUGCCACCACCAGGAUUUCUGAAGACUAUCCCAGGUUGUUGCUGACUGCCAAAUCUUUCACCAUUGCCCCAGUUCCUCCUGCCAUUUCUCAUCUGUGUGAAGUUAGCCUCAAGAAUCCCUGGGCUGAGAUUUUGCUCAGUCCUGGUUUCUUGGCUGAGGAGCAUGCUGUAGACCUCUGACAAUGAAGGAGUUUCUGGCAUAGAGUUAAUGUUAGUGACAACAGAGUCAUAUUCAGAUCAUACUCCAGCUAAGACACACAUAAUAAAGUCCUCAUCACUCAUGUUAUUUCCAGCUGCUCUGAGUGUAUUUAGGAUAGUUUUCAUCAUGGAGUAAUAAUCAUGGAUUGUAAGAGAGCCCUUUUUAGUGGUUUGAAUCUGUGUCCUCAAAUAUAGGAUUCUAGCUCUUGUUCUUGCACCAUACUGAUUGGUAAGAGUUGUCCAAACUUCAUGUGAAGUAGAACAAUCCACCACAGUGCCGAGGACACCCUCACUGAGAGAUGAGAGCAACCAGCUCAAAAGAAUGUGGUCCUGUUUCUUCCAGAUUUGAUAUUCUGGAUUUUGGUGGGUAACGGUAGCUUGGUUAGGUCCAGGACUGGUGAAAUAUCUGGGGGGACAGGUAUAGCUUCCAUUUAUGAAGCCUUCAAGCUCAUUUGCUCGUAUGCUGGAGACCACUUGUGAUCUCCAGAGCAUGAAAUUGUUCUGUGUUAACUUGAUGGGAGUGGUGAACACAUAUGUGUUGCUGGUGAUAUGUUGGGUAGGAGAUGGGUUCAUUAUGGUCACAUUUCUUGUGUUAUUAUCUGGAUUCUGAUUGUCGAUAUUUUCAGGUUGGUUUUGAUUCAAAUCAUUUGGUUGAUCAUCUGGAUUUUCCAGAGUUUGAUUCAUGUUUGUUUGUGAAUUUCUGCUGCUUUCCAUAGCUCAAAAGUUGCUCUGAUACCAACUUAAAUUCUUAUGAAUUGCUUAAGUAUGCAAGCAGAAGAGCAGAAAAAAAAUAACCUUUUCAUAUAUUAUAAUAACAUGAAUAAUCAGAUAUACACAUCCUUCACAUAUUUAUACUAAACGUGAAAAAUGGUAGCUUGCUCAAAGGGAAAACAGAAAUGAAUAAAACAAAAGAUUACAGCUGCACUAGCCAAUCAUUGGAAACAUUCUAGAAACUCCAGCUUGCAGUAUUCACGUGUAAAUAUUCUCCUGCAUAACAGUUUUGCCAGCUCAUUGAAUACACCUCAACUUCUUCAUCAGCUGGCUGCUGGAUAUGGCUGCUCAGGUGGCAUGCCAACAUGGCCUUGGGGUCAAUUGUUGACUCAUCUUCAUAAUCUGAAUUCUCAACAAUGCAUUCAAACAGAUCUUCUUCAAAUUUCUUAGAACUUGCAACCGAAGAUAUUGGAGUUUCGCAAAAGGUUUUAGCCCUGUAACUUCUUCCACUUUCCAAACACUGAUUAUUUCUUCCAUCUCAUAACAACGUUCUACAUGGACCAUCUUCAGAUUUGGGGCAAAAACAAGCCAUGUCAUCUCCCUCAAUUUACUGCAAUAGUCUAUGGUAACACUUUGAAGGCUGUUGAAACCAUAAGUUCUCUUGUUGUUUGAACUUCUGCAUAGUCAACCUUUAGCUCUUCCAAACUUGUACAAUACACAAAAUCUAGUUUGUCAAGAUACUUGAGAUCUGCUAUGGACAAAAUAUUCCAUGACCUUGAAUCCUCACAGCGUCGAAGCUCUAAAGCAUAUUUACAACUCUUGUACUGUUGGCAGCUCAAAAGUCUUCGUAGAGCAUAAAAACUUCUUAACGUGACGCUUAAUACAUUUAAAUGUUCCAAAGUAAUCAACUCCUCUACCAAAAUUUCACUACCACCAAAUAGAACGCUAUCUUCUGGUACUGUAUUAGCAGAGCCACAAUCUAGCAUCCUCAACACCUUUAACCCAGAAAAAUUACAAAGCAGUUGCCGUGGAAUCGUAUGGAGAUAACGCAUGUACUCCAAGUUCAAACACUUUAGAUUUUUCAAGGCUUUUAAUUCAUGUGGUAACUCUUUGAUGAAAGUUUCUGAAAGAUUAAGAUAUUGUAGUGAAACCAAUUUUGAAAUUCCUGAAGGCAAUUGACUCAAGGAGCGAUUCUUUGAUAGGUUUAAAACUUUAAGAGAAGGCAUAAAAUCGAAGAAAUCACUAGGGAUAGUAUCUAACAUAUUAAUGCCGAGGAACAAAGUUAUAAGAUGAGGGCAUAUUGGAGUUAUUGGUAAAAUCACAAUUUUAUUUCUCAUCAACGAUAUCCUUCUCUUAUCUUCCCAUUGUUUAACCUCGGGUGGUUCAGUUAAUUCAAUACCGGCAGAAACCAAAAAGUUUUCAUUCUCCACUUCACAGGCUAUCCACAAGGUCAUAUCACGAAUCACAUCAUGCAAUUUUACAUAAUCUGAUCCUGCUUCUUCCAAUAGGCAUGCAUGAACAAGAACACCAAUAAUGUAGUAUCCUUGGUUAUGUACUCCAUUAAUUCCUUCAUAUUCCUUCAGAAAACCCUCACCAAUCCAACACCCUAUCAAUUCAAUUUUGCUAAUUUGAUAAUCCUCAGGAAAUAAACUACAGUAUAACAGACAAGAUCUAAGGACGUCACUAGACAAACUAUCAUAACUGAAUUUUAAAAGACGAAACACCUCUUUCUCCAUACCUGGAAAUUCAUAAGCUGAUCUCCUUAACAUCUGAAUUGCAUAGCUCCAUUCUUCGGGUGUCUUCUUGCUGCUCAUGGCACGACCGGUGGUAAUAAGUGCAAGUGGCAAACCACUACACUCCUUUGCCACAGUUUUGGCUAACUCCGGAAUAUCGGGAUGACUUUCAAGAGUCUCUUCUCCGACCUUCUUUAGGAACAAUUCCCAAGCAUCUUGAUCUGCCAAACACUCCACCUUGAACUUUUUUUGAGCUUCCAUGAGGCCACAGACGUCCACAAGACGAGUCGUAAAUGUUGAAAGUCAUGGCUGGCGCCGGCCAUCUAGAUGGCCGGUGCCAACCAUUCAACAUUCAACACGGCCCGCCAUUAUUGGUGGUGCCGUGUUGAAUGACUCCAUAAAAAAAAAAAAAAAAAAAAAGAGCCAAAAUUUUGGCUAUAUAAAGAGGGCUUCCCACCCUCAUUUAUAAUCCAAUCUUGAGAGAGCAAUUUAGGGAGUUGAGAGAGAGUUUAAGAGCUUGCAUUUAUAAGCUCUUAUUUUAGUGAUUUGAGAGUUUGGGUGUAUUGGGGUUUUGGGUAGUGAGCUAAAAUACUACAAUACUUGUAACUCCUUUUCACUAGUAAAAUAUUUCCUUCUGUCUUUGCCCAUGGACGUAGGCUAAAAGCCGAACCACGUAAUUUCUGGUGUCCUCUAUUGUGCUUGUUCUUUAUUUUAUUUCCAAUUUCAUUUUAGCUGCGGUCCUGCUUCACCCACCAAUUUCCUAACAGUGGUAUCAGAGCUAUUGGUUGUAUUUUUGGAGUCGGGAACUGUUCACGUAAGGGGUACUAUUCACGUAUACGACACUAUUCACGUAUACUGUACUGUUCACGUAUACGGGUUUGUUCACAUAUACGGUACUGUUCACGUAUACGAUACUAUUCACGUAUACGGUACUAUUCACGUGAAACGGGGAAGCGAUCCAAGAAUUUUCCGGUGCAAAGCAGGGAAUAGUAGUGUGAGAAAAGCAACUGUGGUUUUGUACAUGUCUAGGAAAGUUCUGUCACAAAGGCGAUAAGAGCUUAAGGAGUCUGGGUUUUAAGUGGGACCAUUGUGACCCCUCCAGUCUUUCCUGGGAACUUUCCUGGUGUGCAUUCUCACACAUACUCACAACUAUUCAAGGUGGUAUACUAGCUUGUGUGCAGUAUUUAUCAACAAAAUGGCGGCAAAGUAUGAAAUUGAGAAGUUGAACGGAAAUAAUUUUUCGUUGUGGAAAAUGAAGAUGAAAGCUGUAUUGAGGAAAAAUAAUUGUUUGGCAGCAAUUGGAGAAAGGCCCAUGGAGAUAACUGAUGACAAGUGGAACGAGGUAGACGGUAACGCCAUUUCUGAUCUACACUUGGCACUUGCGGAUGGUGUAUUAUCUAGUGUGGCAGAGAAAAAUACGGCGAAGGAAAUAUGGGAUACUCUCACAAAAUUGUACGAGGCCAAGUCACUACACAACAAAAUCUUCUUGAAGAGAAAACUAUAUACUCUUCGAAUGGCGGAAUCUACAAUGGUGACCGACCACAUCAACACUUUGAAGACUCUAUUUUCACAACUCACAACGUUGGGUCAUAAUAUAGAGGAGAAUGAACGUGCAGAGCUUCUACUUCAAAGUCUACCAGAUUCGUAUGAUCAACUCAUCAUCAACCUGAUGAACAACAAUCCAGUGGAAAGUCUAGUUUUCGACAAUGUUGCAGCCUCCGUAUUAAAUGAGGAGAGCAGACGGAAAAAUAAGGAAAACAGACAAGCAAGUUCGCAGCAAGCAGAGGCGCUAUCGGUGACGAGAGGGAGAUCAACGGAACGUGGCCCCAGUGGGAGUCAAAGUUAUGGUAGAUCAAAAUCCAGAAGUAAGAAAAAUGUUAAAUGCUACAACUGUGGCAAGAAAGGGCACGUCAAGAAAGAGUGUUGGAGUAACCAGAAGAGAAGAGAGGGUAAAGAACCUGAGUCAUCAAAUGCUCAGGGGUGUGUAGCAAGUACCUCGGAUGAUGGCGAAAUUCUCUACAGUGAGGCAACAACUGUUUCAGAAGGCAGAAAACGACUUUCUGAUGUCUGGCUUAUAGACUCAGGAGCUACCUGGCACAUGACCUCUAGGAGAGAAUGGUUCUACACAUAUGAACCUAUCUCAGGAGGAUCUGUAUAUAUGGGUAACGAUCAUGCCUUGGAGAUCGCUGGUAUUGGUACUAUCAAAAUAAAAAUGUUUGAUGGUACAAUUCGCACAAUUGGGGAGGUACGACAUGUCAACGGCCUAAAGAAAAAUCUAUUGUCUUUAGGACAAAUGGAUAGUCAUGGGUACAAAACUCAUGUGGAGAAUGGAAUUAUGAAGAUCGUUAAAGGCGCGCUUGUAUUAAUGAAGGCAGAAAAGAUCAGUGCUAAUCUAUUCAUGCUUAAAGGAGAAACACUACAGGAGGCUGAUGCGUGUGUCGCGUCAAAUGGAGAAGAAUCAACGAUGAUGUGGCAUCUCAAACUCGGCCACAUGUCAGAACAAGGCUUGAAGAUUCUCUCUGAGCGAAAAUUGCUUCCGGGGCUCAAAUCAGUAAGUUUACCAUUUUGCGAGCAUUGUGUUAUAAGUAAGCAGUAUAGAUUAAAAUUCAGUAGAUCUAUUGCUAGAAGUAAAUGCAUUCUAGACUUGAUUCAUUCUGAUGUUUGGGAAUCACCGGAUAUAUCCAUGGGAGGUGCAAAGUACAUGGUGACUUUCAUUGAUGAUUAUUCCAGAAGAUGUUGGGUGUAUCCAAUUAAGAAAAAGUCAGAUGUAUUUCCUGUGUUUAAAGAAUACAAAGCGCGGGUGGAACUUGAAUCUGGUAAAAAGAUCAAGUGCUUAAGGACAGAUAAUGGUGGAGAAUAUACAUACGACGAGUUUCUUGCUUUCUGUAAGCAAGAAGGUAUUCAGAGGCAAUUCACGGUGGCAUACACUCCUCAACAAAACGGAGUAGCAGAGCGGAUGAACAGAACUCUUACAGAAAGAAUAAGAGCUAUGUUGAGGACUGCUGGUUUACCCAAUUCAUUCUGGGCAGAAGCAGCCAAAACCGCCUGUUAUAUAGUAAAUCGGUCGCCAUCUACAGCUAUUGGGUUGAAGACAGCGAUGGAGAUGUGGACUGGAAAGCCAGCUGAUUAUUCCUACCUACAUGCAUUUGGAUGUCCUGUGUACGUGAUGUACAAUGCCCAAGAAAGAACAAAGCUGGAUGCAAAAUCUAGAAGAUGUAUCUUCUUGGGGUAUGCUGAUGGAGUAAAGGGGUAUCGUCUGUGGGACCCCACUGCCCAUAAGAUCGUCAUCAGCAGAGAUGUUAUCUUUGUAGAAGAUCAACUACAAAGAAAAGAUGGAGAUGAUGGCACUGUAAAAGAAAAGUCAGAGACUGUACCAGUAUAUGUCGAAAAUAAUCUAGAAGAUUCAGAUUCUUCUGAAGCAGCACCAGAGCACGAGGAACAAGAACCAGUCGAGUCUGAGGCUCCAGAAGUUCGUCGGUCAACUCGUGAGAGACGACCACCGGCGUGGCACUCGGAGUAUGUCACAGAGAUCAACGUUGCAUACUGUCUUCUAACAGAGGAUGGAGAGCCUUCAACUUUCCAUGAAGCUUUAAACAACUUAGAUGUUGCUUUGUGGAUGACAGCAAUGCAGGAAGAAAUUGAAGCUCUACACAAGAACAAGACAUGGGAACUUGUACCACUACCACACGGAAGAAAAGCCAUUGGAAACAAAUGGGUCUACAAGAUCAAACGUGAUGGCAAUGACCAAGUGGACCGGUAUCGUGCAAGAUUGGUGGUGAAAGGAUAUGCUCAGAAAGAAGGUAUUGACUUCAACGAGAUAUUUUCUCCGGUGGUUCGACUCACAACAGUCAGAAUAGUCUUGGAGAUGUGUGCUACAUUUGAUCUACAUCUUGAGCAGUUAGAUGUUAAAACUGCAUUUCUUCAUGGAGAACUUGAAGAAGAAAUAUAUAUGCUCCAACCAGAAGGUUUUGCAGAAACAGGAAAGGAGAACUUGGUUUGCAGGUUGAACAAAUCUCUAUACGGUCUCAAACAGGCGCCGAGGUGUUGGUAUAAGAGAUUUGAUUCCUUCAUCAUGAGCCUUGGAUACAACAGACUCAGUUCAGACCAUUGUGCAUAUUACAAGAGGUUUGAAGAUAAUGAUUUCAUCAUUUUACUGUUGUACGUGGAUGACAUGUUGGUAGCAGGCCCCAACAAAGAUCAAGUCCAAGAAUUGAAGGCACAAUUGGCUAAGGAGUUUGAAAUGAAGGACUUGGGACCAGCAAACAAGAUUCUAGGGAUGCAAAUUCACCGAGACAAAAAUAACAGGAAGAUUUGGCUUUCACAGAAGAAUUACUUGAAGAAAAUCUUGCGGCGCUUCAACAUGUAAGAUUGUAAGUCAAUUUCUACCCCACUUCCUGUUAAUUUCAAAUUAUCCUCAAGUAUGUGUCCUAGCAAUGAAGUGGAGAGGAAGGAGAUGUCUCGAGUACCGUAUGCAUCAGCAGUGGGAAGUUUAAUGUUCGCUAUGAUAUGUACUAGACCAGACAUUGCACAAGCAGUGGGAGCAGUCAGUCGAUACAUGGCGAAUCCUGGUGGAGAGCAUUGGAUAGCUGUAAAGAGGAUUCUGAGAUACAUCAGAGGAACCUCAGAUGUUGCAUUAUGUUACGGAGGAUCAGAGUUUACUAUCAGGGGCUAUGUGGAUUCAGAUUUUGCAGGAGAUCUUGAUAAAAGAAAAUCCACUACUGGUUAUGUGUUUACACUUGCAGGAGCAGCUGUAAGCUGGGUUUCGAAACUGCAGAUCGUUGUGGCUUUANNNNNNNNNNNNNNNNNNNNNNNNNNNNNNNNNNNNNNNNNNNNNNNNNNNNNNNNNNNNNNNNNNNNNNNNNNNNNNNNNNNNNNNNNNNNNNNNNNNNAUAUUCUUGAUUAAUCCAUUUUCUGAAAUUUUUUAUUUUGUAUGGUCAAUUAUACCUUCAUACUAAAAAUUUCUGAUGUUAUGGGGUUGUUGGAUGUGUUUUGGAUAUUUGCAGCUAAGUUUGAGUUUAUAUCUCAACUUAAAAUUUGUAGUUUUCACUUGAAAAAAUUCAGUUAAAAAUUGAUUGGUAGAAUUGUGAAGAAGUUUAAAUUUUUAGUUCAACCCGAUUGCAUAUUUAAGAACAUCUCAAAUGAAUUGCUUACUGCUAUCAUCAUCAUAAUUGUCAGAGAUGGUUAAUUGAUAGACUAUGUGCCUGGGUCGAGCACUGGAAGCCUGCAAUGCAGACUGAUUGAUUUAUCAGUUUAACGUGUGCCAGGAAUGAAGAACUGGAAUAUCACCGUCAAGCAAGCACCCUGUGGAGCAAUACCAAAGAAUGCACAAUCCGGCUUUGCAAGGUGACACUGGAGGCUUUUUGAAAAGUGCUUCACGCUCACUUGCACAGAUUGAGCAUCCCCUCUGGAUAUUGCCCUCUCUGAUCGAGUCUGAGCACUCAAAUUUUGGUCCUCAGAGGGAGCUACAGUUUUCUCUCCAAUAACCAACAAUUUUCUAAACUCAGCACCUAGUGUGAUCAGAGUUGUUGAUAUUUAUAAAUGGAGAUCCCCAUAUUUGCAAGUGGAGACAUUUAACAAUUCACCAACAUGCUUCAUCCGGUGUACAAAAUUCUGCAGCUGAUUCAAAUCCGGAACCUGAACCAGAGUCGGAGGUAUAUCUUGAGCCAUAUCUAAAGUAGUUUGAAGUUCAAGACCUUGAGCCCUUGACAAUGGUUUUGAAAUUGGAACAUCUUGGAUUACUGCAGACUUGUACCCCUUGGUUUCAAAGGUAAGGAAAGGCAUUGCUUGAGUACAAUUUGGAGGCAGCUUCUUCACCAAUUUUAUUUGGAGGCGAUUGGCAGCGGAUCCAGCAGCACCAAUUUCAGAGCAAAUACUGACACUACUUCGAACAGCACACUGAAGAAGUGAUAUGUCUACGGCAAAGGCAAUGCAGUCCUCAUUUUGGCUUGAGAUGCAGUAAUCAUCGAAGAGAGUUUCCUUGUGAAACUGGGCAACACAUUGAAUCCCUUCGCCACUGAGAAGGUUGUGGAGGAAGUAAGCUUUCUCUCUAGUGAGGCAGAGGUGGCAUACCUUCCCCAUUUUGUCGAGGGCAGGUAGGAAUCUUUUUUCUAAGAGAUUUACUUCAUUCUCUGUGAGAAAUGCUUUGAACUUCAUCCCUCUGUCUCUAUCCUCACUUAUCAGGAAAUAAGUUGAAAGCACUACGAAGAGAGAGAGAGAGAGAGAGAGAGAAUUAAGAUAUAUAGACAAGAAAAAUAUUAGACGUUGAUCUUACAAACUAAUACUUCAAGCAGUAUCCUGGAAAGCUAAAAACUGCAAGAUGGCUUGAAAUUUGAAAAGAGCACGUGCUUUUCCUCCUUAACUUGAGAAAAUGUUUAAUAUAGUGCACCUUAUGGAAGCAUUUAAGCAAUUAGAACUUUGCACAAAAACAUCAAGAAGACUAAACAAGUCAGAUGCAGUGUAUUUGUCCAAGCACAAAUUGCAUUUUGUCCUCAACUUUAAUAUUUAUUGAUGAGAAUCAAUACAGGUCCCUCAUUUGUUAUAGAAAGCUUUCUUUCUUGUAGUCUCACCAGUUAAUUCACAGGUCUAUAAUCAUCUUGCAAAGUUAAGGGCAUUUCUUUUGAUCUAAAGUCUUUGCAUCACCACCUCAUCACACGCCAAGCCAAUAUUCCAUUUACCUCUACAACAAAAAGUUUUAAUUAAACAAUCCUAAUGCACGCAGCCAAAUAAAAUGCAGUAAGAAUAUUCAACUUAAAAAUCUGAAAGCCAACUUGGUGAAUUGCCUCCUUAGGUGAAGUUCCAUGCUUUACUAUAGUUGACAGAACUCAGCAAAAGCUUCCAUACAACAGAUUUUGAAAAUGAUGAUGCCAACAGAUACUCAUUCAAUCCAUUGAAACUCCAAAGGUUCAUUGUUCAUAGAAGUUUACAAAGUUUUGGUCAUCAAAUAGCUCAGACCUAAUCCCAAACAAAAAAAGAGUGAAAAUUAGAUCACGAGCAGCUAAUUGUAAAUUCUAACUUAACUCUUCAUCUCCUUUGUAAACAAGAAACAAAAUGGAGACACGCAAAAUGAAUAUGGAGAAAAUUUGAACUCAAAUGAAAUGAGGGCACGAAAGCAAACAAAUGGCAUGCACAAAAAAACCAAGCCUCAAUCAAAAACUAAUUAACCAUUAAGAAAAAAAUUGGUCAGACAAUGAACUCCAAAUUCAGGAGUCAAGCAAGAAGCUUUCAUUAUUUCAGAAGCUCCUGUACAAAUUAAUAAGUUAUGCUCUUUGGAAGCAAAACCAAAUUCCAAGAGAAACAGAACCCAAAAAAUUUGCAAUUAUUCGCAAAGGAAGUGAAGCACAGGAUUCUAUCACACAUAGGAAUUUUAUAACAAGAGAUCGAUAUAUCGAAUUAGAAAACUCAAUUCGAAUUUGUGUGAAAAAUCAAAAUUAGAAGAUUUCACAUUUCGAGAGGAACAAGCAACAGAUGAGUUUAAUUUCAGCCAUAACAUGCUAAAAAUGCUACACUUAACGGUUCCUUGUCAGCUAUUGAUGCGUUCGCUCANNNNNNNNNNNNNNNNNNNNNNNNNNNNNNNNNNNNNNNNNNNNNNNNNNNNNNNNNNNNNNNNNNNNNNNNNNNNNNNNNNNNNNNNNNNNNNNNNNNNAAGGGUCAUGUUCAAGCAGGAAAACUUCUAGAACAGGUAAGGAUUCCAUCUACAGACAUCCAUUGACAGCAGAUAUAUUUCAUUAAGCAGACACUGUUAGCAUUCAAGAUGCUGGCAGAUUCACUUGAUUCUUAUUAGUUUGUUUAGUGGCAAGGCAUAUAACCUGUAUUUCAAAGCCAAGUUGUGCUAUUGAUUAUGUUAACUUUAUUGUUAACAUUAAGUGAUUUGGAGGACAUAAUCAAUGUAGGAAAAUUAGGUGAAGAGAUGAUGUCAAAUCUUGAACCUCUUACAAAGCUCCAAGUUCUUUACUUGAAGAAGCUGCCAAAUUUGAAGAGCGUCUACUGGAAGGCAUUUCCAUUCCCAGAUGUAUGCAGAAUUUUUGUAUUAAUGCCCAGUUCUUAAGAAGCUGCCACUGGAUUUUCAUGGGGCGGGCCAAGGUAAAAUUCUUAUCAAGGGAAAGGAAGAUUGGUGGAAAGAACUUCAAUGGGAGGAUCAAGCAACUCAGAAUGCAUUGCUUCCAUUUUUCAAAUCAACUGACAAGUGAUUGAAGGGGGCAUCAUCAACAGAGAUGGAGAGAUUCUGGAGCAGAUCAGCAGGGUUUGUAUAUGAUCUUUGGUGGUUGCUUUCUUUUGUGAUUUUUUUUUUCUCAUUUUUUUACCUUCCUGUCAUUUUAUCAUUUCUUUGUCUCUUUUUCUAUUGCUGAUGUUAGUGUAUGCUUACUGUUGCUUGACAAAGUUUGCUUGCUUCUUGUUUAUUAAAUUUUUUAUGGUCACAAAAUAUUACUUGUUCUAUUUGAGAGUGAUGUGAAUCAAUUUUCAAUUAUAUAUUUUUUGGUCAAUGUGAAUUCAAUUUCAUUUGUCUCCUGCAAUUAUUAAAAAAAUGCAGUCUCAUAAUAUGGAAAAGUCGACCGGCAAAAAUUUUGUGAAAGCUUCGGAGUGAAACAGGGAAUUCACUUACUACUAAGGACAAUUGGUGGCGAGCUAUUCCAUUCAUUUUAUGUCCCUACAUCUAUUUAAUUAUUAAAGAUAAGUGGUCCAUUUGUAAAUUUCAGAUUGUGUCUCUCUGAAAAUAACAAUAUUUAAAAUGUCUCUUAAAUUAUUAUAAAUUUUAAUUCACUCUCGAUUUAAAAUGGAACAUGCUGAUGAAAAUUUUUUUCUUCUCAAUAUUCAAUAAAAUUGAAAUAAAUUGUGUUUGCAGUAUUUUGAAAUAUUUUAAAGAUUAUUAUUUUAUAAGAGAGUAAUAUGAAAUGAAAUUUACUCUUCAUGCGUGAAAUGUUGAAAAGGACAAAGGAAAGUGUCACUGCUUUUAUUUUAUUUCAAAGUGGAGUCAUCUCACAUACUUUACCUCUAUCAUUACAAUUUUUCACGUUACAUUUUGAUUUAUUUAUUUCUUUUAACACAUGCAUGUGGGUUACUUUUCCGUAAGCUCCUUAAUAUAUGUUUAACACAAAUCAUGGAAGAGAUGGGAGUAUAUCAAGAUGAUCAAAGCAUGAGACAAAAAUAUUUAAGAAGUAAAACACUGAAAAUAGAGGAGAGAUGCAAGCAAAAGAUAUUCCAAAGAAAAGCAAUCUAUCCCCUUUCGAGGGCAAACUUAAUCAGGUUUAAGAAAAGUACAUGUUUUGGAUUGGUAGUUGCAGCCUUGCAGGAUAAUUGUUUUUGCCAUUAUAUUAGUUGGAGGAGUUGAACCCAGCGAAGAAUGUUAUGGAAGAGCAAAUUAAUGAUAUUUCUGAUAGAGUCUAUUUGAUUAUGUAGCCUGAAUGGAUGUCUUGUUGAAAGAUAUCUCAGUGCAUUAGUUCAUCCUUGUCUGUCAAUGUGUUUUUAAUGGUUUUUCCAAUUGUUUAUUAUUAUAGAUUGAUUGUAAAUUUAUAUGAAAAUUUGAUAUGAAUUUAAUGUUGAAAUGUUUUCUCUUUAGUGGAAUGAAUUUAAAUUGAUUGAUUGUAAAUUGAUAUGAAUUUAAUGUUGCAAUGUUUUCUCUUUAGUGAAAUGAACUUAAAAGUGUAAAAGAUUAUUGCACACAUAGAAAUAAACAUAUAUGCUUUAUAGUAUAACUUUAGCAAUCGAUUCUUUUACGGCUGGAAACAGAGAUGAUGAUUAUCAUAGGGGUGAAGAAAAGGACAAAAAAUAUUAAUAAAUGAUCUUAAUGUUCCACAAAAGCAAAUCGUAAUAUUCCACAAGAAAAAGCAAGAUCUUAAUGUUCCACAAAAGCGUUAUUUAUUUUUUUUGGUGAGCCACGUGGAGCUCAAUUAUCAUUGUCUUUACUUUAAAAACGUUAUUUUAUUUUAUUUUCUUACAAAUUAAUGCUAACAAGAAAAAGCAAGAUAUAAUAUUCCACAAAAGCAAAUCGUAAUAUUCCACAGAGGAAUAAGAUCCACAAAAGCAAACAACUAGCUGGAUUCUUUUAUUAAACUACAAAUUAAAGUGGAAUCGUUUACUAAACAACAAAUUAAAGUUCAAAUAUUUAAAUAGUAGUGCGUUAGACGAUUAGGCUCUUUUAUUAAAGUCAAGUAUAAAGUAGUCCAGAAUCGAACAUCUCUAUUGUCUAGUCUUUUUUUUUUUUAAUUCUUCUUUUAUUAUUUUUCAGAAUAUGUUUUGGUGAUUACUAUUGGGUUAUUAUUCAGAGUUAUUGUUAUCUUCCGGGGCAGUUUCUGUUCAUCGAAAUCGUUAAUUAAAAUUUUAAAACUCUUAUCGGAAGAAUGUUUUUCCGUUAUUUUUUUAUAUUCUAAUUUCAAUUGUAAGAAGUAGUCAUUUUAGAAUUUGGGUCUUGAAUCGAAUUUCAAUGCAUGAAUUAAUAUUUUAAAAAAAUUUACUACAUGCAGUUUAGGUUACAAACUAUUUUUUGCAAAGUUGACUAUGAAAUUGGAGAAAUUAAGUAAUUUAUAAUGUUUGCAAAGAAAGAGACCAACAUACUUCCAAUUACACUAUAUCUCAAUUAUCAUAAUGUUAAGAUUAAACUAACUUAAAAUAAAAUUUAUUUAAAAAGUUUAUCAAACGCAGUCUAAUUUUAUUAACUUGAAGAGAUAAUAGUUAUAGAAAUUAUUAUUCUAACUUAAUUAGUAAAAGUGGUAUAAAGGUUAAGUGUGCACUAAAUCUAUUUAAAUUUUUUUCCAGUAUAACUAACAGAGGUCAUUACUAGAAUUAUAUUACUAGUCUAUUAGAUAGAAAAAAUUAUUUAUAUUGUUUUAUAUUUAUUAAAAAAAUUUAAAGUCAAUCUUUUUAAUUACUAUUUAAAGGAUAUUAUAAUUAAAAAAAUUUUAAUGUCUUCAUUAAAAAUUUAAAAUUUUAUAUGACCGUUAUCUAAAUAUUUAAAGUGUAACUGUCAUUUUCUCAUAUAUAUAUAUAAUUUCAUCAACCCCUUAUACUUUAUGUUAUUUAUAUUUUAUUCAUGAAUAUUAUAAAUUUUUUGAAAUAUAAAAUUUCGUUUAACCCUUUAUACUCAAUUUUAUUUUAUUAAAACCCUAGAGUAUGAAUUCGUCCCUAUAAUAUUAAAUUCUCAAAAUAACUUCCAUUUAAUUAAAAAAUAUAAUUAUUAUUAAAUGAAUUAUAAUUAUUAUUAUUAUGUUAUUAUAAUCAUAAAAAGCGAGAUCAUAUUCCACAAAAGCAUAAGUGACAAAACAACCAACUGGAUUCUUUUAUUAAUCAACAAAUUGUAUAGUCUUUUUCAAAUUGUUAUAAAUUGGUGGCCCCUACAAUCCUCAAUAAUUGUACCGAAAUUCACAAGUUGGUGGGCCCUACAAUUCUGUUCCGAUAAUUUAACUGUGCAAGUGCUCAUUCACAAUCUUCCAGGUCAUGCUCUUAACAAUUGUUUUUUCUUUUCUGCACGCCCUUUCAUGCUCUUAAUAAUUGAAGAGCAUACUUUUCAAAUGUGAAGCCGCAUCUAAUGUCGCUAAUUUAAUUUGGGAUUAAAUUACGGGACUAUUAUAUUGCAGUGUGCACUAAUUUUUAUGUUUAUCUAAACUCUUCAAAUUUAAAACAUAUUAUGGCAUAAAUAAGAAUGUAACAAUAACAAAAGAGUAAGAAAGUGUAGAGAAAAUCUUGCAGAAAUAUAAAUAAUAUUUAUUUUUAAAAUAAUAUUAAUAUUUAAAAUAAUUUUUAAUAUUUUAUGGUCCAUUAGAUAUAUUUUAUUAUAUUAAAAUAAAUUUUAUAAUAAAUAAAAACAUACUAUUAAAAUGAAUAUAUAUAGAAAAUUUAGAGUAUUUUAAGUAUUAUAUAAAAUAAUUUUAAUAAAAUAUGUGAGAUAUUCAUAUUUUAUUAAUUUAAGAUACCAUUUAACCUAAAGAUUUAUUUAUGAUAAAUUAAUAAUUAUAUUUUUGAAAUUACUUCAAAUAUUAAAAAAAUUAAUAUUACUAAUAUAUUAGAUAGAUUAAAUUAUAUAUAUUAUUUUUACUUAUUAAAAAAAUUUUAAAAUUAUUUUUAAUUACUAUUCAAAAAACGUAUUCAAAAAACAUAAUGAUAAAAAAAUCUUAACAUCUUUAUUAAAAAAUUAAAAACUUAUAUGAUAAAUUCUCUAAAUAUUUACGGUAUAUGUGAACCACGGUGGAUAAGCUUUAUUUAAUAUUAUUGAUUUAAAUAAUAUGUCAAUUAAAAAUGUACAGAGAAGAAAUUUCGGUGGGUAUUUUAGUCUUUUAAGCAAUUAUCAUGAUCAGAUCAGCCUUUAGCCUUCAAACGUCGGUCAGAAAAGUUUUAAAAUUAAUGCUAAAUUGUUUUUCACUUUUAACGUUGGUGGCCUUGAAAUUGCUUGUAUUUUAUUAAAAAUUAAUGCUAACAAGAAAAAGCUAGGUCAUAUUCCACAAAAUCAAAAGUGACAAAACAACCAGCUGGUUUCUUUUACUAAACUACAAAUUAAAAUAAAUUUUUUCGAUAAAUUACAAAUUAAAGUGGAUUCUUUUGAAUACAAAUGGGACAGACGAUUAGGCUCUUUUUAUUAGAGGCAAGUAAAAACUAGUCAAGAAUCGAACAGUCUUUUUCCAAUUCUUGUUUUAUUAUUUUUCAAAACUAGUUUUUGGUAAUUACAACCGGGUCAUUAAUCAUUAUUCAGAGUUACUGUUAUCUUCGGGGGCAGUGGGUAAAAGAUAAUUACUAACUGUUUUUCCUUCAAAAGUUAGCGGCUCAUGUUUGCAAGUGUGAAUGUGCGAUGCUCUUUUCUUAAAGGCCAUUACAGUGGGGCCCGAAUCAGACGUGCCUAAAUCUUUUUAAAAUUUUUGCCGUAUAACGAACAGAGGUCAUUACUAAAAUUUCUCUUCCACAGCCUACAGCAGCUUCAGUUUAUCAAACUCCAUCAAUUUUCUUUCUUAACAAAAUUCCAAAGAUGUGUAGCAUUUUUCAGAUCACAUGCGAUGGUGCUCUUUUCAAUCGUUGCUUGGAUUGCUUUCUUGGAAAAGCAGCAUACAUACGUAACCUCCAAGAUAAUCUUGAUGCCUUGGACACUGAACUGGGAAGACUAAUCGCUAAAAAGAACGAUGUGAUGAGGAGGGUUGUCGACGCUGAACGACAACAAAUGAGAAGGCUGGACGGAGUGCAAGUGUGGGUUUCGAGGGUGGAUGCUGUUAAAACUGGAGCCGAUGAACUUAUCACAGACGGCUCUGAAGAAAUUGGCAAAUUAUGUGUUGGAGGCUACUGUUCCAAGAACUGCAGGUCAAGCUACAAGUUCGGAAAACAAGUGGCUAAAAAGCUACAAGAUGUGAAGACUUUAAUCGCCGAGGGAGUUUUUGAGGCGGUGGCUACUGAGGUGGUGCCCGAGAGAGCUCCGGAACCUGUAGCAGAUAAAAGACCCAUUGAGCCAACAAUAGUAGGCUUGCAAUCACAGCUUGAACAAGUUUGGAGAUGUCUUGUAGAAGAAUCAGUGGGAAUCAUUGGCCUAUAUGGUAUGGGCGGUGUUGGUAAAACCACACUAUUGACCCGUAUCAACAAUAAAUUUCUUGAGAGUCAAAACAACUUUGAUUGUGUGAUUUGGGUCGUAGUUUCAAAAGACCUGCGGCUUGAAAAAAUUCAAGACGAUAUUGGGAAGAAGAUAGGUCUGUCUGAUGAUUCAUGGAAGAAUAAAAGUUUUGAAGAGAAAGCUGUGGACAUCCUGCGGAGAUUAGGAGAGAAGAGAUUUGUAUUGUUGUUAGAUGAUUUAUGGGAGCGGGUUGAUUUAACAAAAGUGGGCGUUCCACUUCCCAGCGCACAAAAUACUACCUCAAAAGUCGUAUUCACAACCCGUUCCAUUGGUGUUUGUGGCAGCAUGAGAGCUAGGCCGGUUAAAGUGGCAUGCCUAUCAGAAAAGCAAGCUUGGGAACUGUUCCGCGAAAAUGUUGGGGAAGAAACUCUUGAGAGUGAUCAUGAGAUCGUUGAGCUAGCCCAAACUGUGGCCAAAGAGUGUGGUGGUUUGCCACUCGCACUUAUUACUAUUGGUCGAGCUAUGGCCUUCAAAAAGACAGCCGAGGAGUGGAGUCAUGCAAUUGAUGUGCUAAGAACAUCAGCUUCUGAGUUUGCAGGUUUGGGAGAGAAGGUGUAUCGUCUUUUAAAGUUUAGCUAUGAUAGUUUGCAGAAUGAGACCAUUAGAUCUUGUUUCUUAUAUUGUUGUUUAUAUCCCGAGGAUUAUGGCAUUCUUAAAUGGGACUUGAUUGAUUGUUGGAUUGGUGAGGGAUUCUUGGAGGAAUCUGACAGGUUUAGUGCAGAAAACCAAGGAUACUACAUUGUGGGCACUCUUGUUCAUGCGUGUUUGCUAGAAGAGAUGGAAGAUGAUAAAGUAAAAAUGCAUGACGUUGUUCGUGAUAUGGCUCUAUGGAUAGCUUGUGAAAUUGAGAAGGAGAAGAGAAACUUUUUGGUUUGUGCAGGUGCUGGAUUAAAAGAGGCACCGGAUGUUAAAGGAUGGGAAAAUGUGAGAAGAUUGUCAUUGAUGCAAAACCAAAUUAAAACUCUGUCAGAGGUUCCCACAUGCCCUCAUCUCCAUACUUUAUUUCUUGCCUCUAAUAUGGAGUUGGAGAUGAUCGCGGAUGGCUUCUUCCAAUUUAUGCCUUCUCUCAAAGUUUUGAAGAUGUCACGCUGCUGGAAUUUUCAAUUACCUGUUGGGAUGUCAGAUUUGGGUUCAUCACUAGAACUUCUUGAUAUUUCACAUACCACCAUAAGAGAGUUACCCGAAGAGUUAAAGUUGCUGGUAAAUCUGAAAUGUUUGAAUUUGAGGUGGACAGGUGCGUUAAUUAGAAUUCCACGGGGACUAAUAUCAAAAUUUUCAAGGUUACGUGUGUUGAGAAUGUUGGGUACUGGCGGGUUCAUUUUUUAUGAAGCACCAGAAGACAGCGUUUUAUUUGGUGGGGGUGAAGUUUUGAUACAGGAAUUGCUCGGUUUGAAAUAUUUAGAGGUAUUGGAGUUGACCUUGGGAAGUUAUCAUGCUCUCCAAAUUCUUUUGAGCUCAAAUAAGUUAAAAAGUUGUAUUCGAUCUCUUUACCUCUAUUUGACCGGAGAUAAAAAGUCGAUUAUUGAUGCUACGGCUUUCACAGACCUAAACCACCUCAAUGAAUUAUGGAUUGAUAAUGGAAUUGAGUUGGAAGAAUUGAAGAUUGAUUAUACGGAGAUAGUACGAAAAAGGCGGGAACCUUUUGUUUUCCACAGCCUUCACCUUGUUACGAUAUAUAGUUGCCAUAAAUUGAAAGAUUCGACAUUCCUCGCUUUUGCUCCAAACCUCAAGUCUCUUUCGCUAUUCAAAUGCCGUGCUAUGGAAGAAAUAAUCAGCGUCGGAAAAAUUGCUGAGAAUCCUGAGAUGAUGGGACAUANNNNNNNNNNNNNNNNNNNNNNNNNNNNNNNNNNNNNNNNNNNNNNNNNNNNNNNNNNNNNNNNNNNNNNNNNNNNNNNNNNNNNNNNNNNNNNNNNNNNNNNNNNNNNNNNNNNNNNNNNNNNNNNNNNNNNNNNNNNNNNNNNNNNNNNNNNNNNNNNNNNNNNNNNNNNNNNNNNNNNNNNNNNNNNNNNNNNNNNNNNNNNNNNNNNNNNNNNNNNNNNNNNNNNNNNNNNNNNNNNNNNNNNNNNNNNNNNNNNNNNNNNNNNNNNNNNNNNNNNNNNNNNNNNNNNNNNNNNNNNNNNNNNNNNNNNNNNNNNNNNNNNNNNNNNNNNNNNNNNNNNNNNNNNNNNCACUGUUUUUAUUUCAGUCUCUCUCUCUCUCUUUGUCUCUGCUAAUCACAAUUAAAUGUGAAUUAAUGGAAUUAAUGCUUCAUAAAUUUGCCGGCACUGCCAUUACUUUUUUUUUUUUAAUACAAAUUGAUACUUUAUUUAUAUCUUCUUAGCGAUUUAAUUUCCUGUCAAUUGACGAACGAGAAGAACAUAUGACUUGAACCAAUGCUCGCAUAAACUUGCUGUAAAAAGAUAUAAUCUCACUGAAAUGCACACGCCUAGAAUGAAUAGAAUUAAAACAGGGAAAAUAUUAAGUAUAUUAGCCCUCUUUACCGAAAAUCAAAUGACAAUAAAUUUUUUGAAGUUUUGAUUUUCUAUGGUCAAUUCCACCUUUUGCAAUUUCUUCUGUUCUAACAAAAACCAAUUUCUUUGUUCAAGUAUUUUCGUUUGGGUAUUAAUAAUUCUCCACCGAAAGAGUGAACUCUUGCUCAAGGGAUCUCUAAUCAAUAGCCGGAAGGGCGCCGAGACCUGAUCGGACCUAGGCCCAAGUUUGGUCUUAAAGCCUGGGCUUGAGCCUGGCAAUUAAAUUAAAACAGUAAUUGAUUUCUUGAAUGAAUUGUCGUGUAAUUGAUUUAUGGGGGAUGACACAUCAACAUACUUGAAAAUACACUAAUCUCAGCAUCAUCCGUUAAUAACUUUUAGAUUUAUGGGCAAUCAAUAGUUAAAUUAGUUGUCAUUAAUACUAAAUAAUUUUUACUUUUUUUGUCUCUUCUAGAGGAUCUUCUAGAAAAAUGCAUCCACAAUUAAAUUUAAUACUUUACAUAAUAAAGAAAGCAUAAAUGUUAAAUUUAAGAAACUGCAUUGUAUUUCAGCUGAAGUUGACUUUAAUAUUUAGGGUAGAAAAAAAUUAAAUCCUUAAUGUGUUUAAUUUAUAUCACUUGUGUCAUUAAAAUUUUCUAGUCACCCUAACCAAUUACAUCUCAACCCACUUUUUUUUGGAUGAUUUUAUUUUUAUACUAUUAUUUUCAACAUUUUUUUUUCCUUUUAACACCAACAUUAGUGUAUGUUACGUAACAUAAUCCAUAUUUGGAUAAUUUGAAAUUUGUUUGUGUUUUAUCUCAAAAUAGAGCUUCAAUCAAUUUGUACCUCAUAAAUUCACAAUAUCUGGCAGGGCUAAUAAGACCAAACUCUGGCAUAUUAUCAAAUGUGCUUAUCCUUUUGCUUGACAUGUCAUUUUAAAAUUGUCAUUCAAUGCCAAAAAAAUCACAUCAACUGAUGGCCGACUACUUUAAUUUGAAAGCAUGCAUGCGAUCGCCACCAAUAAUUAUAACUUAAUUGUUAUAUUGAAAUUUUUUUCUUUAUAAUUUUUAAGUUUAAUACUGCUACAUGUGCGGCACAUAAGUUGGAAAAUAUAACAUAAAAUUUGAAAAAUGUGUAGUUUUCGUUCCUUUUUUUUCUUAAAAAUGGGGAAAAAGAAUGUAAUUUUGUUUAAAUUACUGUUGUGAUAACAAUUAUUAUUUUAUUGAUUAAUUGGCAGAGAAUCGUUAUGGUUUCGCAUGGUUGUUAAAACAUUGGAAAAUCCACUACAUCAUCCGAUAAUAACUUUCAGAUUUAUGGUUAAUCAAUAGUUGAGAUUUGUUAUCAUUAAUGUUAAAUAUUUUUUUAAUAUUUUUUCUCUCUCCUAGAGGAUCAUCCACAGUUAAAAUUUAAUAUUAUAAAUAGUAAACAAAGUAUAAACGUUAAAUCGAAGAAACUGCAUUGCAUUUCAGCUGAAGCUAACUUUAAUAUUUAACAGAGAAAAGUAAUUAAGUCCUUAAUGUGCUUUAUUUACCCAUAUAUAUGGCUAAUUUUUUAAGAUAAAGGGGAAGGAUGAUGCUCAAAAAUAUAAAUUAUAGAAUUAAUUGAGCUCUCAAGUAAGUUUAAAGUUCAUUAUUUUUAAUUACAUGUUUAUAAUUUAUUUUUAUUUCGUAUUAAUCUAUAGAUCUAAAUCCACUUUGGAUUCAUAUACAUAUAUAGACAUAAUGUGUAUGUUAAUCUAUAGGUCUAAAUUCACUUUAGGUCUAUAUAGGUAUUUUGACAAAUGUACUCCAAUCAUAUUGGCAAGUUCUAACUACUAUAUUGGUAUGUCAAUAUUAUCUCUAAUUGCCCUAUACAUUCAGAAAUAAUCUAGAUAUACAAAUUAACAUAAAAUAAAAAUAAUUGGUAGAAAAUAUAAAUUAUAAACAUGUAAUUGAAAACGAUAAACUUUAAAUUUACUUAAGAGAGUAAUUAAUUUCAUAGUUAAAAUCUUUAAAUUUUACCCCUCAUCUUAACUUAAGAAAAUUAAUCACUUAUUUUAUUUAACAAAGAAGAGAUUUUUUUCCCCUAUAUUUCCCAAUUAUUUCUCUCCCUCUCGCUCCCGUAAGUUAUACAACUUGAAGUGAAAUAUGAGUGGUCUGAUUCUAGCUUAAAUAAUUUAUUGUGACAUGCUAUCUAAGGACAAUACAUUACCUAGCUCUACAUAUUUUAUUUAACCUCCGGCUCACCCUGUGCAAACUUGCCUUCCCCUACAAGACAAGAUUAAUCAAUCUAUCAAGUCUCAAAUUCAAUUUGGAAUAUGACCAUCGUACGUUCUUGUUCUUCCCUCUUUACGAGUGCAUUCCCCCCAACCUCAAGCUCCCUCUCUCGUCUUCAAUGUCACUGCCUAUAUCCUUGUGUUGUUCUAGUUUGAAAUAGUGGCUUCCACAAUUUCAGGGCCCCCAAAAAUCCAGAAACAUAGUAUUCAUCACGAUGACAAAUUUUUUGGCAGGCAGGUGCUUCCUGACUUUCACACGGUAAUUCUCAAAUUCUGAUUUCACCAUAUUUUAAUUACUGAUUAGCAUAUAUUCAAGUGCUCUCCAUUAUAAUAGAAGCCGCCGCCUCACUCGUGAUUCCAAACUUUAUCUUUUUUCCUUUUUUAAAUUAAUGCAAGUAGCCGCUGUCCUUUUUAUUAAUUAAUUAAUUAAUUCGGCCGCCCACAUUUCUUUUCCUAAUGUCUUCUACUGUCGAUUUUCUUUUAUUUUCUUUUUAUUCUUAAAAUAUGCUUAUAAUAAUAAAAUAUAAAAAUUAAAAUUAACAUAUCAAAAUAUAAUUUAACAGAAAAUUAAGAUAAAAAUAAAAAAAAUAAAUUAUGAGCAUAUCAAUCAAUAAAUGAAAAAUAAUAAUUUUUAUUUUUAUUAAAUAUAUAUUUUUCAGUAUUAAUCAAUUAUUUGAAUAAAUAAAAUCAUUUAAAAAUAAAUAAAUAAAUUAUUCUUAAAAAAAAAGAAACUUUUUAUAACACUCACUAUGCUGGUUGUAGGGUAGACGCUUUGGGAACUGAAGCCGGUAACUUCUACAAGUAGUCUGAAGUUGACUGGCAACAACUAUAUUGACAUUUAGACAUAAUGUACUCCAACCGUAUUGGUAUGUUUAAAUGUUCUUACUAUUGUAUUGGUGUGUCAAUAUUAUCUCUAACUGCCCUAUAGAUAAAAAAAUAAUCUAAAUUUAUAAUUUAACAUAAAAUAAAAUAAUUGGUAGAAAAAUAAUUAUGGUUCAUUUACUUAUCAGUAAUCAGAAUAGACUAAAAUCGAAAUGAGUUGUAUUACCGUUGAUGUGUUUAUGUUGUCCUGGAAUCGGAAUGAAUUAUUUUAAGUUACUAAAAUAUCCUUGGUUUGUUAUUCUAAUUAUUAUUUAAUAUUUAUUAUAAUAUUUGUCAUAUCAUUAAAAAGAAAUAAUAAUGAUGAUAAUAUUAUCAUUAUUGUUUGUUACAUUAUUAUUAUUCAAAAAAAUUAUUGUUAAUAAUAAUAAUUUUUUUAUUUCAAUAAUAAUAAUGAUAAAAUUAAUAAUAAAAAACAUGACAACAACAAUAAUUAUUUAUUAUGCCAAAAAAUAACAAUAAUAAUAAGAAUAAUAAUCAUCAUCAUUUUUUUGCCAAAGAAAUCAUCAAACCAGACAAGAAAUCAUCAAAAAUUGCUAUUUCAAUUUAGGAAGAAGUUCUUUCGGUGUGCUAGCGAUGGGAGAUGUUGUGGCUGCGAUUCGGGGAGCUAAUAGUUUAUUGCACUAAUAACGGCAGGUGCUGCUGCUUGAUGCGAGGUCCAUGGCCAGUUGUCAGCAGUUCGACUUUGGCAUGGGCGCUGCUGGUUCGAUUUUAGGUGUUGUCUAAUUUCAUUUUCAGGAUUUUAAUUUUAUUUUUUUCUUUUAUAUUUUCAUUAAUUAAUCAGGGCAAAGUUUGAUUUUAGAAUUUGGAAUGAAGGUAAUUUUGUUAAUCAUGGAAAUGAGAUUUUGAUUGUCGAGAAUGAACUUACACAAGCAACUGCAAAUUAAGUGAAAACAAAACGCUUUUUCUCUUUGUGUGAUUAAAACAUGAAAUAUACCAUAAAUAAAUAGGUAAAAAUUAAAUCAACACAAUCCAAAACAGUAAACCAAUUAUAAGAGGCACAAAUUUUUAUGUGAAAUACCGAAAACGGAAAAAACCACAACAUGUUAGUAUGAUAUAAUCUUCUACUAUAUUAAUGGGAUUAUAACACAAAUUCUUCCCUAUAUUACACUAGAGAUUAACAACAUCAAGAAUCUCAAUAAUCUUAACUUACAAUACAACCUAAUAUAUGUCUCUCUAAUAAAUAGAUAUCUAAAAUAACAAUCUCUAAUAAGUAAGUAUCUCAAAUAACAGUCUCUAAUAAGUAGGUAUCUCAAAUAAUAGUUAAUAAGAGGAUAAAACAAAAAUUAAGAUUAGUAGGAUGUGUAUAAGGCGAUGCUAUCAACUUAUCUUCUAAAUUUGAGAAAAAUAGUUAAAUUCACUUUUUUGAUUGUCCGACCAAAGAUGGAAACCUUGCCCCAAAACCAAAGGAGUCACCAUUGUGUUUCUCUCUCUCUCUCUCUCUCUCGUUCUUUUCUUCUACUUUUCUUAAUGUUAGCCGCCACUUGCUUUUAUUCUUUAUAGCAUUUAAAAAGUUACUUUUAAUGGUAAAUUUCAUCUAAGUCCAAAACUUAGUGAUAAUUGCACACUAAACAAUCCUUUUUGGACUAUAGACUUUUGGACCUCCAAAUGAGACGAAUACAACAAAUCUCCCCUUUUAGAUCAUGUAGGAGGCACCACAAGCCCACUCUCUGCAUAUAGCUUUUUAACUUCUCCUUGAAUAAUGACUUUGUCAUCAUACAUAACUCAUUCUCCGUUGUGUAAAUCUUCUCAAGCUAUAACCGUUCUUUCUCAAACACGUCUCGUAUCUAAUAAUACUUCACAUCAAUUUGCUUAGAUUUCGAAUGAUAUAUCAAAUUCUUUGAACGACACUCUGAUUUUCGCAGUACAUAAUAUAGUUGUCUCAUUUUAUACCUAGCUCUUGUAGGAAAUUCUUCGUCCACAGUAUUUUUUUGCAACCUUCAAUAAUUGUAAUAUCAUUUGCUUUAGUAGUAGAAAAGACAACUUAUUACUAAAGUUUAGAUUACGAUGAGACUGCUCCUCCUGCAAAAGUGAGCAAACAUUCUAGUAGGAAUUUUUCGGAAUCAACAUCUCCUACCAUAUCUAUACACUUGUAACACAGGUUUGUCACCACCAAAAUAUAAACAUGCUCUGGAAAUGCCUCUAAGAUAUCUGAGAAUUUUUCACUAUUGUCCAGUGCUCUUUACCGGGAUUGAAGAGAAACCACUAACUACACUAGUUGUAUAAGUAAUAUCUGGUCUUGUACAAAUUAUGGCGCACACCAAACUGCCAACUGCUGAAGCAUAAGGAACUCCUCUCAUGGAGAAAUGGGUUUUGCUCUUGAGAUUUUUGGGAACAUGAAGAAUAAAUAUGUAAUUUCUUGGACUGCCAUUGUUUCGAGGUAUAUAAACAGAGGACAAGUCUAUAUAGGUCGACAGUGGUUUGCUCAGAUGCCAGAACGAGAUUAUGUCUUAUGGACUGCCAUGAUUGAUGGGUACCUUCGAGUGAAUAGGUUCAAAGAGGCUUUGACGCUUUUUCAGGAGAUGCAAACUUCAAAUAUAAUGGGAGACGAGUUUACCAUUGUUAGCAUUCUUACAGCUCGUGCGAAUCUGGAAGCACUAGAUCUGGGAGAAUGGAUAAAGACUUAUGUUGAGUGUUAGAAAAUGCAUAUUUAUAAAGGAGAAAACCAUCAUUUUACAUUUCAAGUCUUACUAACAACCCUUACUUUUAUGUAUUUAACCUUCUUGUGAUUUAAUUACAUGUGUUUUAUUUUAAUUAAGUAUUUUAUGUAUUUUAGGGACAUUAUAGUCAUUUCACAAUAAAGGAGAGAUCAGACGGCAAAACAGACAUCACUUUUGAACUCAGGACGGUCAAAAACCUUAGGAGGAGCAUAAAAGGAAAAAUGGCACUAUUCACAUGUACGGUACUAUUCACGUGUACGGUACUGUCCACGUUACUGUUCACGAUACUGUUCACAUAGACAGAUCGAUGACGUGGCAUUGACUGAUGAGGUGUCACGAUCCUGUUGGGCUAAAAUUCUUAUGUACUGUUGAUGGUGACGUGGCAGCAUAUCAAUGGACGAAAAAUCUCGCAUACAGUACAUGCAUCACACAGGAUUAUUGUCAACCAAAUCGCGUUACUGUUCAUCCGGGUCAAACCGUGUUACUGUUCAUCCACGUAGUCAAACCGCGUACUGUUGACUGAUGACGUGGCGCAAUCCUGAGCGUCCAAACUGUUUUUAAUCCGAUGGCCAUGAUUUACUCCAUGUAUCUAUAAAAAGGGGGCCUCCCCCCCUAAUUUGACAACUCUGAAUCUAUUUUGGGAUCCAUUUUCUAUAAUUCCCUCUCCAUCUUGUAUUUUCUACGUAUUUUAAUAAAUUUCCAUUUUACCCUUAGUUCAAUUAUGAGUGGCUAAUUUCCUUUCAAGCUUGGGUUGAAGGUGAAGUCUCAACAUGUGUCAUGGGCUUUAUUUGGUAAAUUUAUUUUCUUUUCCCCUCUAGUUUUUGUGGAUGAUUUGACUUUUCGUCGACAAAUAAUAUUGAUCUUGUCUAGAUACCACCUUGGUUACACCGGCUCUCUAGUACAAGGUUAUUAUUAUUUGGCACGAUAAGCCCUUAGCACCAUAUUGAUUAGAGCGUGGUUCAUGAGGUGUGGAUUCCCCCCUCAUGAUUUAAUUGGCAUUAAUAAGGAUUAUAUAGCCCAUGAUGCAUGUUGAUACGGAUCUGGAUACCCAAGUGCUUCAUUUCAAUAGAUCUAUCUUCAAUUUCUUCUCGCCAUUUUAAUUUAAGUUUUAGAAUAUUCCAAAUCAUUUCCACCACAAAUCCAAUCCCCGAUUCACAAAAUUAAUUCUAUACACAAUUAAAAUCCACAUCCUCGUGGGAUCGACACUCGUCACCAUUAGUCUAUACUACAAUAGAUUCGUGCGCUUGCGAGUACAUUAAAAUUUACACAACAACUUAUAUUGACAAAAACAAAGUCAAGAAUGAUGUAUUUGCGGGGAAUGCUUUGAUAGACAUGUACUGUAAAUGCCGAGAUGUUGAGAAAGCUCAAAAGGUAUUCAGGAAGAUGCUUUGAAAGGACAAAUUCUCAUGGACGACCAUGAUUGUUGGCCUUGCCAUCAGUGGCAAUGGUGAUAAAGCUCUUGAUAUGUUUUCCCAAAUGCUUAGGGCUUCGAUCAAACCGGAUGAGGUAGCUUAUGUUGGUGUUCUGUCUGCCUGUACUAACAAUGGUAACGAAACUUUUGUGAUAAAUAGUUGCAACUUAAGGUGAGAAUUGGAGGAAAGGAAAUAGACUGAAGUUGUUCAAUCAUCGGUCGUCUCUAUUUGGUUUUCUCCGAUAUCUCAUCUUCAGUUUUGACUCAGAUUCUAUCUUACCACUUAGGGGUGGGCAAAAUCGGGUUCGGGUCAACCCGAUCGGGUUUCGGGUUGUUCGGGUUAGACAAGGAACAAUCCGAACAUAACCCGAAUUAAUGACCCGACCCGAACUUAGUUCGGGUCGGGUCAUUAAUUCGGGUUAUGUUCGGGUUGGAUUUAAAAUGGGUAGGAUUGAGUUCGGGUCAAUUUGGGUUAGUUCGGGUCAAUUCGGGUCAGUUCGGGUCAAUUCGGGUCAAUUCGGGUCGGUUGAAAUCGGGUCAGUUCGGGUCAAUUCAGGUCAGUUCGGGUCGGUUGAAAUCAGGUCAAUUCAAGUCAGUACGUUUUUUUUUUUUAAGAACCCGAUCGGGUAUUCGGGUCGGGUCGGGUUUGACCCGAACCGAUCACAACCCGAUCGGGUUUGUAAAUUUCAAACCGAUCGGGUUUCGAUCCCGACCCGAUCCGACCCGAACCCGAAAUUUAUCGGGUCGGGUCGGGUCGGGUAAAAUGCCCACCCCUAUUAAUACCACUAGUAAUUACAUAGACUUGCUGCCAAAGGUAAGAAUGAGAAUAAAUUAAAUAGAUUAUGUCGAAAACGAAAUAAAUUUACCAUUGUUCUGUUCAUUCUAUUUGUUUCCUACAGAAUAUUUCUCCAGCCUAAAAUUUUUUGAAUUAGUAAGUUUUUAUCUUAUGCAAGAAUUGUGCUGAGAGUAAUUCCAUUUCUCAGUCUCUUUAUGUUUCAAUGAAGACGUAAAACUUGUGUUCUAGUGCACCAAUGUUUAUGCUUCUUACAAUUUGACUUUAAUUUAGUUUGUAAAACUUUUGUCAAAAAGUACUAAAAAGUAGUGCACCAAACACAAACUUUAUUACAGAGAGGACUUCAGUUAAAUUUUAAGAAAACACUCAAAAGAACGAGUUAUAAAUUAUUAUCGAAAUAUUUCACAUAAAUAAAAGCCAUCCCAUGCUGCAAAGAUCUUGCUAUAAUCACCAAAAACUAUCGGGAGCUUUUAGGGUUUCCAUAAAAAUGUCAUUUCGUUCCAAAAGUCAAUGGUGGGUAGAAAGUGGUGCAAAUGAGACUCAUUGUUAAUGGUAUAAGUUUUUGCUUAAUUAUGUCUUCCCCAAAAUGAUGAUUUAAUUUCCAUUCUCAAUUAAUUUUCAAGUUUCAACACUUUUCUAUGUAGCAUGACAUUGGAAAGAUCUUGUACAGUUGUACUACUAAAAGCUAGCACCACACGUUAGUUAUUGUUAAGUUCUUUUUCAACGUGAAAUAAAGGAAGUAGUCCUUCGUUAAAACCAUUAUAGCCAAAUUUCACGUAAUUGGACAUUUACAGACUUUUAUUUCAAGUUGGAUUUUGGUCCAACAUUUCAAAGUUGGCCCAAUUAUUUUUGUCUGGUCAAGUCCUUCGCAGCUAAGCCCCUCAAUGAAUGAGGGUGAGAUUGCUAAAAAUUACGACAGGUGAUAUUUUAUUAUUAUUAUUUGUUUGAGGGAAAAAAUAGGAAAAGCAAUAGAGCGCCACGUGUCAACCAAUGGAAUGAUUCCUGCACAAUCUAAGGUACCCCACACAAUCCGAGGUACCCCAUAUAAUAUGAGGUACCCCACACAAAUAGGGGUACCCCGCGUAAUAGGAGGUACCCCAUGUAACUCGAGGUACUCGGCAAAGCGGAUGCAAGAGAAUCCUCCGAAAAUAUCCGCCAUGAGAAACGUCUCCGCCUCCUAAAAGAUAUUAUUCAAUUUUGUCAGAAUUAUGAAUAAAAAACGACGCCCUAAAAGGAGGGACAGUCGCCUGCGACCUCUGCCAAAAGUGAAGGACACUGUCCCAAGGACAGUGGUCCCCAACGCCUACCCGACAGCUACUGCAAAGGUACCCUGGACCACUCUCCAGCGCGCGCCACGUUUCCAAAAGAUGAGAUACGCCGCGAACGUGCAGAUAACUGCCCAAAAAUUAUAAAGAGGUAAAAGGACGUUAGUAAAAAAGGGUAUGCCAUGUGGCAGCUGAGGUACUCCAUAUAUAAAGGCGCCUAGGUUUCAUUCUCCAUCAUGUUCUCACUCACCAUUAACACUCGCACUCCAAAAAAUAGGUUUUCUUCAACCUUAAACCCUAAUUUACAGAGGGUUAGUCAGCUCUCUUUACCAUAAAAGCUUGAGUUUGCUAACUUGAGCGUCGAAGUGUGAACGCCGGGGUACCCCGGCUUCACCUCUAACCUCUAUUUCACUGUUUUGCAGGCGUGAAGCUCAUUUGGAAGGACACAUCUCUUAGUUCUAAACCUUUCACCAUUGUUACCACUCUCUCUCCCUUUCUCACCUCCCCUGGAUUUCAGAUACACCACACCGCACACAAUAAACUAGUGAGGUACCCCGUCUCCCAUAAAAAUACAAAUUCAUUGUUCUAGAUAGAUUUGGCUUUUUUUACCCCAAAAUCUGUUGAAAACACUAUUUUUAAUUUUGGGGGAUAAAUCCUCACCAAAGUGAGGAGAUUUUAUCAAAAUCAAAAUAAAAAUAUAACAAGAACUGAAAGUCGGGCAGCCUAAAAGCUAGAUGAACUAAAAGUCAGGCGCCUAAAAACAACCUUAUGCAAAAGAGAAGCAACAUGAGACCGAUCAAGUAAAAGAAUCCACCGCAACACCUAAAUUGGCCAAAUUAUCUGUUGGUAUUACAAGUUUCUUGUUAUAAAAGUGUAGAAUGAAGUAGGUGACAGUAGUUUUAAGUUACAGCUGCAUGCCUAAUCGCAAUAUCAAAUAAUGAUUAAAUAUCAAAUAAUGCUUAAAGUAGUUGCCUAGGCCCGCCACAAUUUAUAUUAACUCUUAAAUUUAUAAAUAAUUAAAUUUUUAAAAGUUUGGAUUUAUAUUAAAAAAUCUUCAUAUAAAUAAAUAAUAUAUGCACUUUUACAACACAGUCUUUAAAUUUAAAUUUUUCUAGAAAAAUCUUCUGUAUAUCUUUUCUAUUAAAAAAUUUCCAUAUAAAUAAAUAAUAUACCUAAUUUAAUUGGACCCAGCACAUCGCAUAUGCAUAGAACACAUUCCACAAAGCCAUGCUAUUCGGAAAUUGACGAAUGAAAAGUGAGGAGGCAGCAGUCAAUGCUAUUUGGGCUUGGCCCAAAAUUGAUUUAUCAGGUUGACGUUUGCCAGGAAUGAAGAACUGGAAUAUCACCGUCAAGCAAGCAACCUGUGGAGCAAUACCAUAGAAUGCACAAUCCAGCUUUGCAAGGUGACACUGGAGGCUUUUUGAAAAGUGCUUCACGCUCACUUGCACAGAUUGAGCAUCCCCUCUGGAUAUUGCCCUCUCUGAUCGAGUCUGAGCACUCAAAUUUCGGUCCUCAGAUGGAGCUACAGCUUUCUCUCCAAUAACCAACAAUUUUCUAAACUCAGCACCUAGUGUGAUCAGAGUUGUUGAUAUUUGUAAAUGGAGAUCCCUGUAUUUGCAAAUGGAGACAUUUACCAAAUCACCAACAUGCUUCAUCCAGUCUACGAAAUUCUGCAGCUGAUUCAAAUCCGGAACCUGAACCAGAGUCGGAGGUAAAUCUUGAGCCAUGUCUAAAGCAGUCUGAAGUUCAAGUACUUGAGCCCUUGACAAAGGUUUUGAAAUUGGAACAUCUUGGAUUACUGCAGACUUGUACCCCUUGGUUUCAAAGGUAAGGAAAGGCAUUGCUUGAGUACAAUUUGGAGGCAGCUUCUUCACCAAUUUUAUUUGGAGGCAAUUGGCAGCGGAUCCAGCUGCACCAAUUUCAGAGCAAAUACUGACACUACUUCAAACAGCACGCUGAAGAAGAGAUAUGUCUAUGGCAAAGGCAAUGCAGUCCUCAAUUUGACUUGAGAUGCGGUAAUCACCAAAGAGAGUUUCCUUAUGAAACUGGGCAACACAUUGAAUCCCUUCACCACUGAGAAGGUUGGGGAGGAAGUAAGCUUUCUCUCUCGUAAGGAAGAGGUGGCAUACCUUCCCCAUUUUGUCUAGGACAGGUAGGAAUCUUUUUUCUAAGAGAUUUACUCCAUUCUCUGUGAGAAAUGCUUUGAACUUCAUCCCUCUGUCUCUAGCCUCACUUAUCAGUAAAAUAGUUGAAAGCGCUACAAGGAGAGAAAAGAAGAGUAUUAAGAUAUAUAUAGACAAGAAAAACAUUAGAUGUCGAUCUUACAAGCUAAUACUUCAAACAGUAUCCUAGAAAGCUAAAAACUGCAAAAUGGCUUGAAAUUUGAAAAGAACACAUGCUUUUCCUCCUUAACUUGAGAAAAUGUUUAAUAUAGUGCACCUUACAGAAACAUUUAAACAAUUAGAACUUUGCACAAAAACAUUCAAGAAGACUAAACAAAUCAGAUGCAGUGUAUUUCUCCAAGCACAAAUGGCAUUGCAUUUUUUCCUCAACUGUAAUAUUUAUUGAUGAAAAUCAGUACAGGUCCCUCAUUUGUUAUGGAAAGCUUUCUUGUAGUCUGACCGGUUAAUUCACGGGUCUAUAAUCAUCUUGCAAAGUUACAGGCAUUUCUUUCGAUUUAAAGUCUUUGCAUCACCACCUCAUCACACACCAAGCCAAUAUUCCGUCUACCUCUACAACAAAAAGUUUUAAGUAAACGAUCCUAAUGCAUGCAGCCAAAUAAAAUGCAGUAAGAAUAUUCAACUUAAAACUCUGAAAGCCAUCUUGGUGAAUUGCCUCCUUAGGGGAAGUUCCAUGCUUUACUAUACUUGACAGGACUGAGCAAAAGCUUACAUACAACAGAUUUUGAAAAUGAUGAUGCCAAUAGAUACUCAUACAAUCCAUUGAAACUCCUAAGGUCCAUUGUUCACAGAGGUUUACAGAGUUUUGGUCAUCAAAUAGCUCAGACCUUAAUCCCAAACAAAAAACGAGUGAAAAUUAGAUCACCAGCAGCUAAUUGUAAAUUCUAACUUAACUCUUCAUCUCCUUUGUAAACAGGAGACAAAAUGGAGACACGCAAAAUGAAUAAGGAGAACAUUUGAACUCAAAUGAAAUGAGGGCACGAAAGCAAACAAAUGGCAUGCGCAAACAAACCAAGCCUCAAUCAAAAACUAAUUAACCAUUAAAAAAAAAAAAGUGGUCAGAGAAUGAACUCCAAAUUCGGGAGUGAAGCAAGAAGCUUUCAUUAUUUCAGAAGCUCCUGUACAAAUUAAUAAGUUAUGCUCUUUGGAAACAAACCUAAAUUCCAAGAGAAAGAGAACUCAAAAAAUUUGCAAUUAUACGCAAAGGAAGUGAAGCACAGCAUUCUAUCACACGUACAAAUUGUAUAACAAGAGAUCGACACAUCGAAUCAGAAGAACUCAAUUCAAAUUUGUCUCAAAAAUCAAAAUUAGAAGAUUUCACAUUUCGAGAGGAACAAGCGACAGGUCAGAUGCAAAAUUUUCAGCCACAACAUGCCACAAUUAACAGUUUAUUUCCAUGGAUUUAGAGAGCUGACUGACCUUUUGGCUUUUGGAAUUGAGAAGAUCGCGGGCCAAAAUGGAAGAGGGAAAGCGAAAGUGCGGGUUUUAAUAGGGUAUUGGAUUAGCAAAUUUAAUUAGUUUGCGAGGGUAAAAUAGGAAAGAGAUAUCACUAUUAACUUUUUUUUUUAUAAGAAAAAAGAAUAAUAAAGAAUAUUUUAUUGUCAUUUGCAGCCUGCAAAUGACAAUAAAUCAAAUACGUCAUACAGAAGCUUAAAGCUGAAUCUAAAAAAUCUAGAGCUCUCAACUACAAAAAUUACACUUGAUGAUCCUCUACAAGAUGAAGCUUGUUCAAUAUCUUAUCCAAAGUUUAUAAAGUAACCUUGUAACGAUCUUGAGAUUGCCUGCCUUCCUCGACGACCUGCACGAUGCGUUUGUACAAAUCAUCAUACCUGUGCACCGGAUUUUUAAUAUCAACGCCACUGCAGCUGUGAUCAAGAACAUAAGAGCGUUUAACAUCUUUUCUCCAUCGAGAAAGAAUGUAGUGAGAUGGGAUCUCCUGCAUGCCACUCUGGUUUAGAACACAAAGAAUGUGUCUGGAUAAAUAUCCUCUGAAAUUGAACAACCCACAAACACAAAGCACCUCCAAGUCGGAGGCAUUGUACAAAACAUCGAAAGCCCUUGAAUCUUUCUCGUUGCUACCAACCUCAAAUUCUUCCUUCACUAUGUAUGUUAUAGGUCCAUCAGCACUGACAUGUUUUGUGCUAUAGCAAGAGUACAUAGCCUCCACCUCCGUCUGAAACUUCCUUCACAUUUCAUUUGUGUACAGUUUUGAGAGUUGAAAUUCAUAGUCACAUCUUGGUUUCUGGAUACAACUUGAAUUUCUUGAAUCCAUAUCUGCCAAGGCUUCCGGUUGAUAAUUCGCCUGCAGUGCUUGAUCAUACUUGUGUAAGAAUUCUUUCAAAGGAGUACGCUUAUCAAGAUAUCCUUCAAAGUAUGAAGUAGAAACCUCAUUCUGCAGGAAUGAAAACACUCCUGAUAAAAAUGCUUCCUUCAAAUAAACAGGAGCCCACCUUUUACGAUCUUCAUAUAAAGUUUGAAUCCAUCCGUGAUCCUUUAUUCCAUGACGUUGAAUCAUGUCUUCCCAAGCUGCUUCAAAUUCCUCAGGCCUGAGAGAGUGAUAAAUUGCUCUAUGUAAUGCACCUCUAAUAGCUUCAUAUUCAAACAAUCCUUGGAGUUUCUCUGGAAUUUUUUGCAAGAUGCAUGACAAUGAAAAGCAAUGAUAAGCUCUUGGGAAAACAUCGCCAACAGCAAUUUGCAAGAUUCUACAUUGGUCAGUGAUGAUUGUUUGUGGAGAGCGUCCUAACAUACAUGUAAGCCACACCCUAAACAACCAUGUAUAUGAUUCUAUGGUCUCCCUGGCAAGUAAACCACAACCCAACAACACUGAUUGUCCAUGAUGAUUCACCCCAAUGAAUGAAACCAGUGGUACAUCAUAUCUUUCAGUCAAGCACGUAGUAUCAAUUAAGACUACAUCACCAAAGUACCUAUAUGCAACUCUUGACCUGGUAUCAGUCCAGAACAGGUUUCUCAAGCAUCCCUUUUCAUUUAGAUCCACUACAUUAAAAAAGUUUGGAUCUGUCAACUGCAAACGACAAAAGAAACUCUGGACAGCUUGUGCAUCUCCUGGUUUAAGCUUCAAUUGAUUUGAGCUAUUAACAUUAUUUCCAAAUACUCCAUUAACAUCUACAUUACCAUUUCCCUCGGUAUCGAUGAUAAGAGUUCGAAACAGUCUAAUUUUUUGAACGUCUUCAGCACUAUCUAAUUGCAAUGUUCUUUUGGUUCCAAUACCUAUGUGCUUAUGUGACUUGUAAAACUUUCCGCUUCUUGGGCUUAACAAGUGGUUAUGCUCAAGCUCGACUUCAAUGAUUCUCCACCUUUUGGUUUCCAUCAACCUAAACUUUAUCAUUGCUGGACAGCCAGUUCUUGUUUCUGGUCUUGGGCGGUUUGCCUCGCUUUUCUUCUUGAAGCCUGCACUACUACAGCUCAGCUUUCCUCUAUACUUUUCUCUACUCUUUCGGUACCAUGUAUUGCUAACUCUAACACCAAAACCCUGUUCCUUGGCAUAGCAAUUGUAAAAGUAAUAAACAUCAUCAUACGUCUCAAACUCCAUUCCAACAGCAGGAGCCAAUGGAUUUUGGAUUAUCCCAGUUUGUCCAACAUAUUCAGUCAUUGCACAAUCUCCUACGACCUCAAAAUCAUCAGCAUCAUCAUCACCUACUGGUUCAGUAUUCAGAGAAACUUCAUCCAUCUACAAUAGAUGUUUAAUGAAGUGAACUUUAAGGAGAAAAAGCAAAAUCAGUUCAAGGAAUGAUAAUAUAACCAUACAGUUACUUUCACAAAGCUGCGUAUUUCAUCAAUACCUUAACAACAUACAACUGCCUGAGAACGUAUAGACAUGUCAUAGACGCUUGAAUUAAGUAUUGGUACAAAUUCAUGUGGGACACAAUUUCAGUCACUAAACCCAAUGCCUUUUUUUUUCACAUCAUACCAAGGAACGGAUUAAACCCAAUACCUUCUUUUACGCCAUACCAAAGAACAGAUUAAAUCAUCAAUGAAAAAUUAAUCACAUAAUAAUUUAACUAGACAAAUAAAGAGCUCGAAACAGCACAAAACUUGAAUAUGAUUAUGAUAAUUGUUGAGUCAUUGUAUCUACAGCUUUCCUUCAACAAGAAGAUUAUGAACAUAAACUACACACAAAAAAUUUAUUUUAAACUGACAUAAAUUUAUUCAGUUACAUUGAAACCCAAAAAAGGAAGCAGGAGCUGGAGAAAAACAACAGCAGAGAAACUUAUUUCCAGAAGGUUUACGAAAUAAGGAAUUUAUUAAGACACAAAAUUUGAGGUCAACAAUAAGAAUUUGGUUCUCAUUCUCUUUUUCUUCAUUUUUCACUUAUUGAUGGAGUUACCAUACAAUCCUAAAUGAUAAAACCCCAUCUCCAUCUUUUUGAAAUAGAGUUAAAGCAAAGCUUUUUAAGAUGUUUUUCCCUAAAAGACUCAAUAGUACAAUGUUUUUCAAUAUUAAAUACACAACUCAAUCUUCCCCUAAUUUACUCUAAUAAUCUCUUAACUAAGGAAGAUUAAGCUCCACUUGUAAGCUAAAACAAGUUUCUUAAAUCAAGCCCCAAUGCUCUAUGCUAUUCAACAAGGCCUCAUAAAUGAUAAAACUACCUCUACAAAGAUACCCAUUUUAAUUUCGCAAACUAAAAUCGAACUCCUGAAACGUAACGAGCAUUAAAACAAACAAGUCCGAACAAGAACUGAAAAAUGAUACGUAAACCCGUUUCGACAAACAGUUUCCAAUCAAUGAGCAAAAAAGUUAAUGGAAAACAUGAAAUUCAAACGAAACAUACCUUAGGUUGAUAAAUUAGUAGCGCAAAAGAAAUUUUAGCGAGAUAUGGGAUCAGGGAUUUUGCCACGGUGAUGUUAAUUGCGACAUUCGGGUGACUCAGCAGCCUUCGAGGCUGAAACUUUGAUUGACCAAAAGCUUCCCGUUCGUUGAUUCUCUAAUUGCAGAAACGAAACUGGCAGUGUACAGAAGACGUACGCUGAUUUGAUAAUUCUGUGAAAAUCAUUGUUUUUUUUCAGAUUUUUAAUGUGUUCGAUAAAAUAUCAAAAUCUCAAAAACUUUUGUCUUUCAUUUUGGGGGGGAAAAACCCAUUGAGAUCCUUAUGUUUUUUCUUAUAUAAUCUGGCUUAAUAAUUUGCAAAGUCUAUUACUUAGCACCCAUGCAUGCUGCGUUCCAAUUUACAAAAUUGUACGUGAGUGCAUCCAGCUAAAAUUUGUAAAAAGAAAAUAGCAAUAACAUGUUAAAAAUGUGAUUAUUAUGAAGAAAUUUUAAUUUAGUUAAAUAGGUGACGAUGGAUAGGUAUAAAAUCUGAGAUCUUUUAUAAGGUUAAUAAAUAUGUUGAGUUUGGAUUAGUUCAAUUUUGAAAUAAUAAUAUUCAAAAUAUCUCUUAAAUCAUUAUAAACCUCAAAUCUAUUUUAAUUUUAUUUAAAAGAUAAAAGAAAAAUAGGUUAUGUUGGUGAUUUUUUAUUAUCUUUUUAAUAAAAAUGAAAUAAAUUGAUGUUUAUAAUUAUUUAAAGUAUUUUAAAGACUGCCAUUUUAUGAGAGAAAAAUAUUUCACUUUUUUUUAGUGUGAAAGGCCGAAAAAGGACAAAGCAAGUUUCCCUAGUUUUUAUUUAUUUGAAAUUGGUCAUCUCAUAUACUUCACCCUUCAACACUAUAAUUUUUUUGGUUAUAAUUUUAUUAUUUUUUCUCUUUUACACAUGCAUGUGAAUUACUUUUCUUUAAGCUCCUGAAUAUUUAAGAUAAAUCAUGGAAGAGAUGAGAGUAUAACAAGAUGACCAAAAUAUGUAACAAAAAAAUUUUAUAAGUGAAAAAUAUGUUAGAGACUUACAGUGGAAGUAAAACUCUGAGGUGAUGUUUGAUUUGAAGAAAAUGGAGGAAAUGAAAAGACUGGAAUGUAGAGGAAAAGAGAGAAAAGGAGAGGAGAGGAGAGUGAAAUUUUUUUCUAAUGUUUGGUUUGUCACAUAAUUAUACAAAGAAAGGAAAUCUCUAAUUUUUUAUUUAGACAAUUUUAACCUUAAUAAGUAUUAAGUUUUCAAUAUUUAUCAUGUGUAUAAUUAAAAAAAAAAGAAGUAAAUGGUAGAAAGCGGUUUCUGAUUCCGGCCACAUCGCCCGCAAUGGAAGGUACUUAUCAGAACAUCAAGAGCCAGCCAUCAUUCCCUAGCCAUCACUGCUGUCGGAACACUGCCGGAAAGCUGCCGAUUGAACCGCGAAAAGUCGUGGAAAUCGCUGCCUCAAAUCGGUGAGUUUCGCCCUUUUCUGGUCACGCCGUCGCCAUGGCUUUGUCCAUCAAGCCUGCCACUUCCAUUUUCAACCAUCCAUAGCCACUAUUAAUUGCCAAAUCACCGCCGAUCAGCGGGAUCUGUGGAAGUUAAAAAGUUUCUAAAUUUUUUUAACUGGAUUUGAACAACAUACGACCAUUUUUUUAUCUCGAUAACGACGUAGUAAUGUUGAUCGUUGGUCGGCAAGUCGUAUGGUAGUGGCAGUGAGUAACACGCGCCAAUCACAUCGGCGGCGGCGGCGGCACUAUCCGGCGACUGUUAAAAUAAUAUUUUAUAUUUUCAGAUUAAAUAAAUUUAUUUUAUUAAAAUUUUUAAAUCAUUAUUUAAAUUUAAUUAAUUUAAAAUUAUCUAUAAUGUUGAAUUGAUAAAAUAAAUUUAUAAAUAAUAAUUAUGUGAUUACAUUAAAUAAGUUAAAAAGUUGAAGGGUUAGUUUUGGAAGAUUUAGUUUCCAACACAAAGGGAAUUUGAAUUCUUCACUUCUUAGUGUGGAAUUCAAAUUCUAUAUUGUAAUAGAUAUUAAAUUUCAAUAAAAAUUAAAUUCUUAUAAGUUAUGUCAAACCAAACAACGAAAAUAAAAAAGAAAUUUAAAUUAUUUUUCUUUCCUCCACCCUCUCCUUCCAACUAAAUACAUCCUGAAAAUAGAGAUAUUGAUUAAUUUAGAAGAGAUUCAAGCAAAAAAUAUUCCAAAAAAAAAAGCAAUAUGUCCCUUUGGAGGGCAAACUUGUCAGUUUCAAAAAAGUACAUGCUUUGUAUUGAUAGUUGUAGGAUAUUUGUUUUGUCACUAUGUAUUAGUUGGAGAAGUCCAGCCUUGUGGAGAAUGUUAUGAAAGAGCAAAGGAUAUUCCUGAUAGCUGAUAGAGCUCUAUCUGAUUAUGUAUCCAGUGAAUGGAUGUGUUGUUGGAAGAUAUCUGAGUGCAUUAGUUCAUAUGUGUCUGUCAAUGUGCUUUUAAUGAUUUUUCCACCUGUUUGUUGUAAAAGAUUAUUGUAAAUUGAAAUGAACUUGAUGUUUUAAUAUUUUCUUCCGUAAAUUGAAAUGAACUUGAAUUAAAUCUCGUUGAAUUUAAUAUUAUCUCCUUAGUGGAAUUUCACCUAGUAUGUAUUCAGUUGUGUUGUCUAUAAUUUUGCAUUCGAGUAAGUUUCACCUAAAACAUUAGCAUGAGUAGUGGCCCUUGAACCUUUGGUCAAAAUUAUUGUUAUUAUUUCUGACUAGAUGUAAAUUUUGUAUUAAAUCUCGUUAACACAAUUCUUAAUUAAAAGUAUAGGUUAGUGUUGGUGCAAGAUUUGCCACACCAAAUUCUGCCUAGCUGUCAAAAGUGCAAAAUAAAUGAAGAGAAAGCACAAAUACACGACUUGAAUAAGGAUACAACGAAACUUAAAUUCAAGAGAAAAUGAUAGCUAUAUCCCAAGAUUUGAAAAAGUAGUCAUGUAGGUUUUUAAGAUUUCAAUAAGCGACUGAGAUUCAAAUAAUAUCCUUUAAUUCUAUUAAUAAAAAACAAAGACUCAAAUAUUUUAUGAUAAAUAAAAAUAUAAUAUUAAAAUAUAUGUGAUAAUAUACACAUUUUAAAUACUUUCAAUCCAAAAAAAUAGUUAUGUUUUACAAUCUAUUAGACAUAUUUUAUUAAAUUAAUAUAAAUUUUCUAUAAAAUAAGAAUAUAAUAUUAAAACAAAUUCACAGAAAUUUAAAGAAUUUUGAAUGUAAAAUAAUUUUAAUAUAUUAAUACGUGAGUUUUUUUAUUAAUAUAAAAAUUAUUUAACUUUAAGAUUUUUUAAAAUCUUUACAAUAAGUAUAACUAUAUUAUUUACAUUUAAAAAUAUUUAAAUAUUAUUAACCUACAAUUAUAUUUGCAUUUGUUAGAAAUUUUUAAAGUCAAAUAUUUUGCACUUCUAUAUUAUUAGAAUUAUUGCACACAAAGAAAGAAACAUAUACGUUUAGAAAUUGUUUUCUUUUAAAAUAGAGAUGAUGAUUAGUAUAAGGAUCAAAAAAAGGAUAAAGAAUAUUAAUGAUUAACGAAAACUCUAUACAAAUUGAUUUUAGUAGGAAAAGAGUGAGAUGAAUGAUUUCUUUUACAGUUAGAAAAAUAGAUGAUGAUUAUUAUAACGAAGAAGAAAAGAUAAAGAAUAUUAAUUAUUAAUGGAAUCUCUAUGCAAAUUGAUUUCAGUAGGAAAAAAAAUGAGUUAAAUGAUUUAGAGUGCGUUUGGAAUUGAGAUUGGACAGCCAUAGAUUUUAAGUUACAACACUGAAGUGUUUGGUAAAUACUAGCUGCUGCAGAUUGAAAGUUAUGUUGAUAUGAUUUUUCACAUGUAUCAUAGAAAAUAUAUUACAUCUUUAAUAAUUUUUUUAAAAUUUGUAUUUGCUAUAUAUUGUUUUUUUUAUAUAGUUAUAACUUUUUUUUUUUCCACAGCAGCUGUAGCUUAAAAGCUACAGCACCUCAAUCUCAAACAAGUCCUUAGACAUUCAUAGUGUGUUUAUUUUUUGGAUUGGUGAAUCAAAAUUAUUGACAACGCUAACUUCAUCUUCACCGUUCGCAAUCCAACAGCAGCAAUUGUCGCCAAUAAUGAUAUCGCCGAUGAUGAUGACAAUAAUAAUAAUAAUAAUAAUAAUAAUAAUAAUAAUAAUAAUAAUAAUAAUUAUUAUUAUUAUUAUUAAUAAUUAAUAUAUUAAUAUAUUAAUGUUAAUAUUAUUAUUAUUAAGAUUAACAAUAAUUAUUAGUAAUACAAUUUUUUGAAUAAAAAUAAUCACAAUAAUUAAAAUACAAAUUAACAAUUAUGACAAUAGUUAAUUAAUGUCUUUUUAGUAAUUUGUAAUAAUCUAACUCAUUUUAAUUCUGAUUAUUACAGUUUAAGUAAAUAAAUUAUUAUGAUUCCUAUUCUCCUUUUCUAUUUUAACUCACUUCGAUUCCAGUCUAUUCUGAUUUUUGUUUAAUAAACGCACCAUUAGUGCUAAAGUAAUAUUUCAUACAUAGAAAAGUAAAAACUACACCUAAGGUUAAGGGAAAGGACUUCAAAACUCUCUUUUGAUCAUAAUACAUUUUGUACUAAUUAACUUAAAGAUUUUGAAUCUAAUAUUUUAUAAUAAAUAAAAAUAUAUUCCUAAAAUAAAUAUAAUAUCAAUAUUUAAAAUAUGUUUUAAUAUUUUACACAUUUUAUUAUAUUAAAGUAGAUUUUAUAAUAAAUACAAACGUCCUAUUAAAAUGAAUAUAUAAAAAAUUUAGAAAAUUUAGAAUAUUAUAUAAAAUAAUUUUAAUAUAAUGCGUGAGAUAUAUUUUAUUAAUUUAAAAUGUUAUUUUACCUAAAAAAUAUGAUAAAUUAAUAAUUACAUAUUUGAAGUUAUUUCAAAUAUUAAAAAAAUUUAAUAUUAUUAGUCUUUUAGAUAGAUUAAAUUAUUUUUUUUAUAAGAGAUAGAUUAAAUUAUUUUAAAAUGCCUUAAUUAUUUUUACUUUUAACGUUACCGGCCUUUCUUUUAUUUUAUUGCAAAUUAAUGCUAACAAGAAAAAGCUAGAUCAUAUUCCACAAAAGCAAAAGUGACAAACACAACCAGCUGGAAUCUUUUAUAAAACUACAAAUUAAAAUGGAUUUUUUUUUUGAUAAAUUACACAUGAAAGUGGAUUCUUUUGAAUAUAAGUGGAGUAGGCUCUUUUAUUUUAUUUUUGAAUAUUGUAUAACGGGACUGUAGACUCUUUUAUUAAACUACAAAUUGUAUAGUCUUUUUAAAAUUGUUAUAAAUUAAUGGCCCCCACAAUCCUCAACAAUUGUACCGAUAUUCACAAGUUGGUGGCCCCUACAAUUCUGUUCCGAUAAUUUAACUGUGCAAGUGCUCAUUCACAAUCUUCCAGGUCAUGCUCUCAAUAAUUGUUUUUUUUUCCUGCAUUCCCUUUGGGAAAUUUACGAAAAUAAUCAUUAAUAUUUUAUUAUUUUUACAAUUAACCGUCUUAAUUUUUUUCUAUCAACAUUAGCCAAAUACAAGUCUUUCUUCCCAAAUUACCCUUCUUUACAGAACAAAACCAACAUUGUUUCUCCCAUAUCGCCAAACCAAAAGCAGCUUUUUAUUCUUAAAUCAUCAGCCAACGGCGACCGCAAAAGACAACGGUAAAAGUGAUAUCCGAUCAUAAUCUAUCCGGAUCCAACACAAAUCUACAUCACUCAGUGGUAUGAAUUAUUUUUUGAACUUACUGAACUCAGUCGGGUGAAUCUGAGUCUGGCGACAGGCUGCCUGUCGCAGUAAAACUUGGUGCGACAGGCAACCUGUCGUACCAAACCUUGGUGCGACGGGCACCCUUGGAGAUUUAUUAAAAAUGUAUUAUUUUAAUAGGACUCAAAUAAUUUUUUUUUAUAAUUUCAGGCUUAAUGGAUUCAGUUGUACUUGAAUUGUGUUACGAUGGUUGGUGGGAGACAUUAGAGAAUGGCUGUAUGGAGUACGUGAAUGGUAAAAAUCGAGCUUUUUUGGUUGGAAAAAAUUACUUGUUUGAUCAGUUAUUGGCAAGAGUAUACGAGGUAUUAAAAAUAAACCCUAAUGACUAUAGUAUCACAAUGAAGACAACUUUGAGGUCUAGUAACACAUUAUAUCGUAUAUGUGCAAUGCCCAUGGAUAUAUGUGAUGAUGAAAUGGUGAGGGUUGUGUUGCAUAUGGCAUCUGACGUAGCUAAUUUUGGAUGCAUUCCUAUAUUCGUGACCACAUCACCUCGACUUCCGAGCGAAGGUAUUGAGCCACAUGUCGAUAUAGAAACUUCGUUUAGAGCAAAUAUGUCUGGCCCCGAUAAUGAUGAAGAGGUGUUGCCAAGGACAAUAUCGCUGCAGCAAUAUUACUCUCCAAUCCACGACAAUUAUGAUAACAUUGAUGAUAAUAGCGUUACGUUACAGGAUGUUGGAGCAACGGUAUUUCCAAUAACAACGUCGUUGGAGCAACGAUAUUCUCCGUAUCACAACAAUGAUUUUCGGGACAAUGAUGAUUUUCAUAAUGAGACAGAGGAGGAUAAUGUUUGUGCAGAACCUUCUAAUAAUACGAGGCGGGGCACUCGUUUCAAUAAUGAUGGUGAUGAUGGAGGAGUCGGUCAUUCGAAUGUUCCGUCGUUUCAGCAUGAGGAUGAGUGUGAAGACAAUACUCCUGUGAAUAACAGAGGCAAUAGACCUAUUCCUUCUAUGGUUCGAUCGAGAAGGAGAAUUGACCCCCUUACAAGUCUUGCUCCAACUUUACCUUCGAACAUGGUUGCUCCAAGCUUUGUUAGCAGUUGUGACUCAGAUGAUAUCAGCGUGGGUAAGCUAUUUGUUGAGAAGAAUGAGCUUAUAUUACAACUACGCAAGGUGGCCUUUAGAGAUAAGUUUGAUUUCAAGAUUGCACGGUCUACUACGACACGUUUCGAGGCUCACUGUUGUUCAGAAUCAUGUAAAUGGCAUAUUCGAGCAACUAGAAGUUCGAACGAGCAAAAUGUUCCUUGGGUGGUGAAGAGAAUUGAUAAUGUACACACUUGUCAUAAUGAGGUAUUGAUUGAUGGACGUCAUCAAGUAAGGAGCCGGGUUGUCGGUCAUAUUAUCGCAGAAAAAUAUAUUCAAGAUAAGAGGAUUUAUACUCCCAAUGACAUAAGAGCAGAUAUGCAACAGGAAUACGGUGUUCAGUUAACAUACCAGCAGGCAUAUAGGGCGAGAGAAGUUGGUCUUGAAAUAGUUCACGGCAACCCUGCAGAGUCAUACAACUUGCUCCCUAAAUACUCUCACGUACUAACUACAACGAAUGAGGGUACAGUCACUCACCUCGAGCAGGAUGGAGAUGGUAAUUUCUUGUACUAUUUUGUAGCACUCGGAUAUUCCAUCAAGGGGUUUAUGCAGUACAUUCGGCCUGUCAUUGCUGUAGAUGGUACUCAUCUAAAGAGAUUAUAUCGUGGAAGCAUGUUCGUGGCAACAUGUCUUGAUGGUAACAAUCAAUUGUAUCCGUUAGCCAUUGGGAUCAUGGAUUCAGAAAAUAAUGAUGCUUGGGAAUGGUUUAUGAUGAAGUUACACGGAGUGAUUGGUGAUAGACCUGAGUUGGUAAUUAUCUCUGAUCGAUGCACUGCCAUAAGGAGAGCCGUUCUUAAAGUAUUUCACAAUGCAACUCAUGGCGUUUGUUUUUACCACGUCAAAGGUAACAUUAAGUCACAAUUUAGAAUGUCCAAAGCUCUUUGGGAUGAAUUUGAGCAUGCCUUUAUUAAUGCAGCAAAAGCAUAUGGCCACGAGGAAUUUAAGAGACAACUUGAAGGGUUGUGGAUGAUCCACUCGGGUGCGGCUGAUUACUUAGAAAAUAAUGUCGGCACGUGUAAUUGGGCAAGGUCUCAGUUUCAAGGUAGGAGGUACAACAUUCUUACCACCAACAUCGCGGAGAGUGUUAAUGCUUUCAUGAGGGAACCUCGAAAAUUUCCUGUUACUCAUCUUGUUGAUCACUUCAGGAAAACAUUGCAGCAAUUGUUUUAUGAUAGAAAAAUUGUGGCUGAAUCAAUGACUACUCGGCUAACAACAUGGGCGGAUGAAAUAGUCACUGAGAGGAGAACUAUAGCUGAAAGAAUGAUAGUUCGGCCGGUGUCUCCGCAUCGCUUUCAAGUUAUAGGCGGUGGGCUUAAGGAAGGGUUGGUUGACUUGCAAAAGAGAACUUGCUCCUGCAGAGUGUUUCAGCUUGAUCAGCAUGUGUGUGCUCAUGCAAUUGCGGCGUGUCUAACACACCGGGUGGAUUUUAUUAACCUUUGCUCGGACUUUUACACUACAGAAUCGUUGGCGAUGGCUUAUGCACAACCAGUGGAGCCAGUUGGUGAUGUGGCUGAUUGGGAAGUUCCAGAUGAAAUUCAGGAGAUGCAGGUAUACCCACCAGUUGAGGCACCACUACCUGGCCGUCGUAAAGAGCUCAGAAUACCCUCGACUGGCGAGGACGUUGACCGGCGGACUGUAAGAUGCGGCCGGUGUCAUGAACUAGGCCAUAAUCGUAAGCGAUGUAAGAAUCCUAUUGCGUCGACUCGAAGUUAGUUGUAUUUUGUGUGUUAUUCGUUGGUUAAAACUAUUAUUGUUUUUGUGUUACAUUGGUUAAAACUGUUAUUGUUUUUUGUAUUUCGUUGGUUAAAACUGUUAUUGUUUUUUGUGUAUUGUACACUUAUAUUCAUAAAACUUUAUUUUAUUUUAAAGUUCAAAAUGUGAGGCAUUAAAAUUAUAUAAACUUAAGUGCGGAAAUUAAAAAAAAUGCAAAUUUCAACAUUGAAAUUACUACAUAGGUCUACAAUAUAAUAUCGUCAUUAAAUAUAUCAACCGCAAUCUUCUUUCUAAAGUACUCGACAUGACUAGCGUUAAACUCCAAUCUAAGCCCGAACAUUAAAUACAUCGUAACCAUCAAUACAAAAACACUGCAAUCGCUAGUUCCGGGCUCUUGUUGUGGUGCGCUCUUAACUGCGAUAACUUUCCACGGGUCUUCACUCCGCAACUCAGGUCGGAUAUUGUAGAAGCCAACAUAUUCCAACCAUCGAGGGAAUAUAACUUCAAGUGGCUUGAAUUUCAACUUGUACUUUUUGUCGUCGCGAAAUGUGAGUAAUGAGUCAUAAAUCCAGACUUUAUUUUUCCGAAAGUCAACUCGUGCUAGUACCCAAUGCGCGCCGUCCAAGUUAACAGGGAUGAGUAACUGCAUAUAAAAAUUAAAAAAACAUGUUCGUUAUAUAUGAAAUUGAAAUACAACAAAGAAAAAGCAACAACUCGAAUAUUUUCAUUAUAGAGCAUGUGAAAUGUAAUAAAAUACACACCAUAUCGACAUCCGUCAUUAAUUUUGACAUUGUGUGCUGUCGCCCACAAAGAUAACUAUUCAAGCGGUCGUCGAAUACCAUUGAAUCAACUGCACAAUUCCUGUUAUUCCAUAACUGAUUCAAGAACACCUAGUACAUAGAUAACCAAGAAAUGCAUAAAUUAAUAAAACUUAAAGGCAAUAAUUAAACAAAUUAAAUAGUAUUUAUAAGUUUUGUCGGCACGUUACCCAAAAAAAUGUGUCAGUAUGUGUGACACGUUGGAGUAAGGCAUUUGGAUACUGCCGUUGUUUCUCGCUAAUCAAGCGGAGAUACUCGUGAAUAUGCUGUAGAGAAACAAAAAUAUUACGAUUUAAAAAAAAAUUAUACACAAAUCCACAACAGUAUACACCACGAGGAAAAUAUAAAUACCUCAUCGCCUAGCCAUCCCAUCGAAGCUGUCCCCAAAAUUAUUUGAAAGAAUGACCGCAGGUGCUGGACUCUCCGGCGGACUCUGCUAUCACCAGUGAACCAUCGAUCAAACUCAGCAAACAAACUAGAGUCCUCCAAUCCUCUCAGUGGAUUUACAUCCACACUCGUACUCAUGUCAAUCGCAUGCUCCAUCAUUUGGGGUCGAGGUAACCUCCGGACGUUCUGUCCACGCCUGACCGGAGGAAUCAUGUAAGGACUGUUAUAAACAUACGACGGUAUGUACGCGCGGCCGAACUUACUAACGCCCGGAGGCACCUCUGUGAACACCUGCAUGCUCUCCCCACUAACAUCCCCGUAUAAACUAUAAAAUGACGUGGGCGUAGACAAAUUUUCAUUGCCCACGUCAGUAUACACUCCAUAGUCAUCCGGGGCCUGUACAUUCGCCAAAAAGAACAUAUUAAAUAAUUAUCAAAUUAAAAGUUAAACGAACAUAAUUAUUUAAUUUAAAUUAGCUUACCGCAUACGAGCGUGCAGUGGGAGAAUCCUUAUUUGGAUGUUUAGAAAAUGUGUCGAUGAAGCCAACAACGGUUUCUUUAAAAUCUUUUAAUUCUGACUUUAUUUCAUACACAUUACGAUCAAUCUUAUCCAGCCGUCGUCGUACGUAAUCAUUAAACUGCUUUGUCCUCGACUAUUACAAAAGAAAAAAAUAAAACUUUAGAAUAACAAUAAAAAAAUAAUAAUUUAUAAAGGAAAAAUAUCGUAUAUUAUUUAUAACCUCAGAAUCCCGUGCGUCAUCAGAGUUGUCUGUUUGCUGCUGGUGGUCAUCAACAGCCACCUCAUCCUCAAAAGUGUCAAGACGCUGCUCUGGUAUUGGGUUUAGUAUGUCGUCAUGAUCAUCAUGCUCGUCCGAUUGUCUUGUAACCGACGGCAUCGCGUUGAUUGAGGGUUGGUGCUGUAUAAAGUAUCAUUUAAAAUUACUAAAUGAAAAGUCAAAAAUUUCGAUAAAAAAAUUUUUAGUACUUACAGUAUACCGACCUUAUGAAUCCAAUCUGGAAUGCUUGGCAAGUAAUCCUUCACAGAGAGUCAAUAUUUUCUGCUACUCUCUUUUGAAUUUGGCUCAAGAGUUUGUAAAAUGUCCGUCUGCCAUAAAUUCAAUUGAAAAAUUUAAGUAAGUAUACCCAACUUAAAUUUAGUAAAGUUAAAAAAUAAGUAAUACAUAUUACUUACAAGACGAGAUUCGUCGUUGAAGAACGAAUAAACCUCCGCAAAGUUGAUUCUCGAAGACGUCAUGGGCUUCCAUUGCAGAAUGCGGGGAAUCUUACUCUUCGUUUUGACGACCCAUGUUGAUGGCAACCCUCCGAUUGCUUCGUAAAUCCAAGCCUACAACAAACCAAAGUGAAAAAUCAAAUAAAACAACUAUCAAAUAUUUAAUACUAUAAAACUUAUUAAUAAACAAAAAAAAGCACCUGCACCCCAGACGUAAAGCCGUAAAGAUUAUAUUUUUCAAUAUUAUGAUCUGAAUUUUUCAACCGAGUCUUCUUAAAUUUCUCGUCUUUCUCGAACAGUGCAUUGUCAAGACUCUCGUAAAUCAUUUCCCACGACAAUAGACCCCAUGGCGCUUUCGGAAGUACUGUAUAUCAUCAACUUGGUCAAGCCAAUCGAAAUUAAUUUGACAGUGAUUUUUUCUUGCAUUUAGUACUCUGUCCGCAAAAUAAAACAGCGCAAUCUUUAAUGCGUCCAUAUCGUCCAUUUCCUCGAAAUUCAACUCCUUAAAUACUGCAUCAAAUUGCUUCACAUUAAUCUUACGAUGCACACCACCAAAAUACGUAUUCCGUAGCCUCUGCUCCAUUUCAUCAUUUUUUUCAUUGGUAUCAACACCAAAUGAAAGUCCAGUAACCAAGCACCAUUCGAUAAUUGACAAGCGAAUCAAAUGCUUACCAAUUUGAAACCAUAACUGAUCCUCACAGCUAUCUUCUUCAUGGGCCACUUGCCGCAGUAAACGAUUGUGCAAAAUUACCCCACUAAAUGGAAAACUUCGGCACUCCAAGAAAUGCCCAAAUAUAUCCUUUUUGAACAUACUCAACUGCCGCUUUGUUAAUUUUUCCUCGAUGGCUUUUACGACCGAAGAUAACAUACACAUGCUCGAAAUUCGACCAGGAAAGUGAUCAGCAUAACGAAAAUACAUCUUGCCUACUUCAAUAUCCGGUGAUUCUGAUUUCGCCAUGUAUCUGUAAUAUUUAUAAAAUUAUUACAUUACAUUUACAAAAUUAUUACCAAACUCUAAUUUUUUGGUGCGACAGGCGCCUGUCGCUCCAAAAAACUGCCUGUCGCACCACAGCUGGUGCUCCAAAAUCGAAAACAAUACUCCCAAACACUACCAACUACCACAAACAUCAUCACCACCACUAUUAAUCUCAAGCUAUAACUAUUAUUAUUCUAAAAUCUCAUUUUAAAUUAAUGAAAAUAAGAAAAAUGACUAACCUAGGUUUUGUUGAAGGUUGUAGAUCGUAGAUCGGAUGCCGGUGAGAGAUGGAGCCGCCGCCGACGAGGGUUGAUGUCGCCGCCGAUGAUGGGAGUUGGAUCGGUUUGGGAGAGAUGAGUGAAAAAGGGAGUGUUGGGGAAGAGAUGAGGGAUGGGUAUUUUGGUCUCAAAUGUUGUUUUAUGGCUAAUGUUGAUAGAAAUAUUUUUGGGGGGUUAAGAUGAAAAAAAACAAAUUUGUUUUGGUUAUUACUGUAAAUUUCCCAUUCCCUUUCAUGCUCUUAAUAAUUGAAGAGCAUACUUUUCAUUUUCAAAUGUGGAGCCGCAUCUAAUGUCGCUAAUUUAAUUUGGGAUUAAAUUAGGGGACCAUUAUAUUGCAGUGUGUACUAAUUUUUGUGUUUAUCUAAACUCCUUAAGUUUAAGACAUAUUAUGGCAUAAAUAAGAAUAUAACAAUAACAAAAGAGAUGCCGGAGCAGAUCAGCAGGGUUUGAAUAUGACCUUUGGCGGUUGCUUUUUUUUUGUGAUUUUUUUCAUUUUUUCCUUCCUGUCAUUUUAUCAUUUAUUUGGCUCUGUUUCUAUUGCGGGUGUUACUGCAUGCUUACUGUUGCUUGACAAAGUUUGCUAGCUUUUUGUUUGCAGUGCUGCUAUUCACCCCGAGUCAAGCUCCGAAAAUUUAUUAAACAACGCCGUUUCGAUAGUAACAAUUUUUUUCUUUUCCCUUUGUCUGUCUCUUUCAUCUGCUGUUUCUCUAUCACUUUUCAUUUUUUAUUUCCUUACUUCCCAGCUGCCCCUAAAUUGUUAUUCUAGCAAUAUACUUUCUCAUCUUUGAAUUUUCAUCCUUGAGUACUCCCACAGCCGUAAUUUCAUCAUUAUAGACUUCACUUGGAAUGCUGUAUUUUUUCGAUUCUUAAGCUACUUCAAUUACAUCUCCCAGUAUAGGAUCCUCAUCUUCCUUUAUUUCUUCAUCUUAUGAGGUAACAAAUGGAUUUCACAACUCAUCUACUUUUAAGCAAUUACAUAUUAUACCUUGAAUGAUUCAACUGUUCCGACAGUUAAAGAUUUUAUGCUCAACCUGCAGUGCUACGAACAUUGUCCAUGAAAGAUGAGUUUCAGCAUAUAAAAUGAAAUAUAGAUGUUUAAUCUAAAAUAACCCUUCACUGCCAAGAAACCUAGGUCACAAAAUUCACAGAUAAUGAUAAAGAGCUAAAAAAUUUGAAAAACUCUACAGAUCACACAUCAAGCAAGAUAUCAUGUUUUUUUCCCUCAUUCGGUGGUGAUUGAUUCGCUUUUUGAUGAUGGAUAUGGUAUAAAAGUUUUGACCCAAUUUCAAGCAAACACAAAUAGAAACACAAAUAGAAACACAAACACAAUCAGGACUAGAGUUGUGGGCGAUUAUCUUAGGUGUACAAGUGAAACGGUGGUGGCUGUCGAUGGUGGUAGUGGGGUGGUUGGGUAUGCGUGAUGGCUAGAUUUUAGGACAAUAAUGGUUGGAGUUGACCUCGAUCAACGAAGGAAAGUGACAACAAUUUUGACAUCAAACGGUGCAUUUUUUAGCUUAGUAAAAUGGAGCCGUUUCGAAUUUGGGGUUUAAUCCGGGGUUUGACUCGGCGCAAGUAUCAUUUUCCUUUUGUUUAUUAAAUUUUUUAUGGUCACAAAGUAUUACUCGUUCUAUUUGAGAGUGAUGUGAAUCAAUUUUUCAAUUUUAUAUUUUGUGGUCAAUGUGAAUUUAAUUUCAUUUGUCUCCUGCAAUUAUGAAAAAAUUGCAGUCAUAAUAUGGAAAAGUACACCGGCAAAAACUUUGUAAAAGCUUCGGAGUGAUACGGGGAAUUUACUUACUACUGAGGACAAUUGGUGGCAAAGCUAUUCCAUUCAUUUUAUGUCCAUCCAUCUAUUUAGCUAUUGAAGAUUAGUGGUCCAUUUGUAAAUUUCAGAUUGUCUCUCUCUCUCUCUCCCACUUGAAAUAACAAUAUUUAAUAUAUCUCUUAAAUUAUUAUAAAUUUUAAUUUACUCUCGAUUUAAAAUGGAGCAUGUCGAUAAAAAAUUUUUCUUCUUAAUAAAAUUGACGUAAGUUGUGUGUUACAGUAGUUUGAAGUUUGAAAUAUUUUAAAGAUUAUUAUUCUAUAAGGGAGUAAUAUGAAAUGAUAUUUACUUUUCAUGUGUGAAAUGAAAAAGGACGAAGCAAGUGUCCCUGCUUUUAUUUUAUUUCAAGGAGGAGUCAUCUCACAUACUUUAGCUCUUAACAUUACAUUUUUUCUGGUUACAUUUUUUAUUUAUUUAUUUUUUUUUUUUUACACAUGCGUGUGGGUUGCUUUUCUGUAAGCUCCUUAAUAUAUAUUUAAGACAAAUCAUGGAAGAGAUGGGAUUAUAUCAAGAUGAUCAAAGCAUGUAAAAAAAGAAAAAAGAAAAAAAAAAAUUAAGAAGUAAGACACUGAAAAUGGAGAAGAGAUGGAAGCAAAAGAUAUUCCAAAACAAAGCAAUCUAUCCCCUUUCGAGGGCAGACUUAUCAGGUUUAAAAAAGUACAUGCUUUGGAUUGGUAGUUGCAAUCAAGGGAAAAUAAAUAGGAUCCAAUGAAAUUUAAAUCUCGGAGAAAAUAAAUAAUCAUGCAGAUUUUCAAGAUUUUAAUAAGGGAUACUAAUAUCUUAUUUUGAUUAAUAACAUUCUUUUAUUGUGUUAACUCAAAAAAAAUAUUAUAAUGCUUUACAAUAAAUACAAAUGUCCUAUUAAAUGAAUAUAUAAAAAAUUUAGAAAAUUUAGAAUAUUAUAUAAAAUAAUUUUAAUAUAAUGCGUGAGAUAUAUUUUAUUAAUUUAAAAUGUCAUUUUACCUAAAAAAUAUGAUAAAUUAAUAAUUACAUAUUUGAAGUUAUUUCAAAUAUUACUUAAUUGUUUUUACUUUAAACAUUACCGGCCUUUCUUUUAUUUUAUUGCAAAUUAAUGCUAACAAGAAAAAGCUAGAUCAUAUUCCACAAAAGCAAAAGUGACAAACACAACCAGCUGGAAUCUUUUAUAAAACUACAAAUUAAAAUGGAGUUUUUUUAAAAAAAUUGUUAUAAAUUGGUGGCCCCUACAAUCCUCAAUAAUUGCACCGAUAUUCACAAGUUGGUGGCCCCUACAAUUCUGUUCCGAUAAUAAUUGUUUUUAUUUUUCUGCAUUCCCUUUCAUGCUCUUAAUAAUUGAAGAGCAUACUUUUCAAAUGUGGAGCCACAGCUAAUGUCGCUAAUUUAAUUUGGGAUUAAAUUAGGGGACCAUUAUAUUACAGUGUGCACUAAUUUUUGUGUUUAUCUAAACUCCUUAAAUUUAAGAUAUAUUAUGGCAUAAAUAAGAAUAUAACAAUAACAAAAGAGUAAAAAAGUGUAGAGAAGAUCUUGCAGAAAUAUAAAUAAUAUCUAUUUUAAAAUAAUUUUUAAUAUUUUAUGAUCCAUUAGAUAUAUUUAUUAUAUUAAAGUAAAUUUUAUAAUAAAUAAAAACAUACUAUUAAAAUGAAUAUAUAGAAAAUUUAGAGUAUUUUAAAUAUUAUAUAAAAAAUUUUUAAUAAAAUAUGUGAGAUAUUCAUAUUUUAUUAAUUUAAAAUACCAUUUAACCUAAAGAUUUAUUUAUGAUAAAUUAAUAAUUAUAUUUUUGAAAUUACUUCAAAUAUUAAAAAAUUAAUAUUACUAAUCUGUUAGAUAGAUUAAAUUAUAUAUAUUAUUUUCUAUUUAUUAAAAAAUUAAAAUUAUUUUUAAUUACUAUUCAAAAAAUAUAAUGAAAAAACAUAAUGAUAAAAAAAUCUUAACAUCUUUAUUAAAAAAUUAAAAACUUAUAUGAUAAAUUCUCUAAAUAUUUACGGUAUAUGUGAACCACGGUGGAUAAGCUUUAUUUAAUAUUAUUGAUUUAAAUAAUAUGUCAAUUAAAAAUGUACAGAGAAGAAAUUUCGGUGGGUAUUUUAGUCUUUUAAGCAAUUAUCAUGAUCAGAUCAGCCUUUAGCCUUCAAACGUCGGUCAGAAAAGUUUUAAAAUUAAUGCUAAAUUGUUUUUCACUUUUAACGUUGGUGGCCUUGAAAUUGCUUGUAUUUUAUUAAAAAUUAAUGCUAACAAGAAAAAGCUAGGUCAUAUUCCACAAAAUCAAAAGUGACAAAACAACCAGCUGGUUUCUUUUACUAAACUACAAAUUAAAAUAAAUUUUUUCGAUAAAUUACAAAUUAAAGUGGAUUCUUUUGAAUACAAAUGGGACAGACGAUUAGGCUCUUUUUAUUAGAGGCAAGUAAAAACUAGUCAAGAAUCGAACAGUCUUUUUCCAAUUCUUGUUUUAUUAUUUUUCAAAACUAGUUUUUGGUAAUUACAACCGGGUCAUUAAUCAUUAUUCAGAGUUACUGUUAUCUUCGGGGGCAGUGGGUAAAAGAUAAUUACUAACUGUUUUUCCUUCAAAAGUUAGCGGCUCAUGUUUGCAAGUGUGAAUGUGCGAUGCUCUUUUCUUAAAGGCCAUUACAGUGGGGCCCGAAUCAGACGUGCCUAAAUCUUUUUAAAAUUUUUGCCGUAUAACGAACAGAGGUCAUUACUAAAAUUUCUCUUCCACAGCCUACAGCAGCUUCAGUUUAUCAAACUCCAUCAAUUUUCUUUCUUAACAAAAUUCCAAAGAUGUGUAGCAUUUUUCAGAUCACAUGCGAUGGUGCUCUUUUCAAUCGUUGCUUGGAUUGCUUUCUUGGAAAAGCAGCAUACAUACGUAACCUCCAAGAUAAUCUUGUAGCCUUGGAGACUGAACUGGGAAGACUAAUCGCAGCAAAGAACGAUGUGAUGAUGAGGGUUGUCAAUGCUGAACGGCAACAAAUGAGAAGGCUGGACGGAGUGCAAGUGUGGGUUUCGAGGGUGGAUUCUGUUAAAACUGGAGCCGACGAACUUAUCACAGACGGCUCUGAAGAAAUUGGCAAAUUAUGUGUUGGAGGCUACUGUUCCAAGAACUGCAGGUCAAGCUACAAAUCGAAAACAAGUGGCUAGAAAGCUACGACAUGUGAAGACUUUAAUCGCCGAGGGAGUUUUUGAGGCGGUGGCCACUGAGGUGGUGCCCGAGAGAGCUCCGGAACCUGUAGCAGAUAAAAGACCCACUGAGCCAACAAUAGUAGGCUUGCAAUCACAGCUUGAACAAGUUUGGAGAUGUCUUGUAGAAGAAUCAGUGGGAAUCAUUGGCCUAUAUGGUAUGGGCGGUGUUGGUAAAACCACACUAUUGACCCAUAUCAACAAUAAAUUUCUUGAGAGUCCCACAAACUUUGAUUGUGUGAUUUGGGUCGUAGUUUCAAAAGACCUGCGACUUGAAAAAAUUCAAGAAGAUAUUGGGAAGAAGAUAGGUCUGUCUGAUGAUUCAUGGAAGAAUAAAAGUUUUGAAGAGAAAGCUGUGGACAUCCUGCCGAGAUUAGGAGAGAAGAGAUUUGUAUUGUUGUUAGAUGAUUUAUGGGAGCGGGUUGAUUUAACAGAAGUGGGCGUUCCACUUCCCAGCGCACAAAAUACUACCUCAAAAGUCGUAUUCACAACCCGUUCCAUUGGUGUUUGUGGCAGCAUGAGAGCUAGGCCGGUUAAAGUGGCAUGCCUAUCAGAAAAGCAAGCUUGGGAACUGUUCCGCGAAAAUGUUGGGGAAGAAACUCUUGAGAGUGAUCAUGAGAUCGUUGAGCUAGCCCAAACUGUGGCCAAAGAGUGUGAUGGUUUGCCACUCGCACUUAUUACUAUUGGUCGAGCUAUGGCCUACAGAAAGACAGCCGAGGAGUGGAGUCAUGCAAUUGAUGUGCUAAGAACAUCAGCUUCUGAGUUUGCAGGUUUGGGAGAGAAGGUGUAUCGUCUUUUAAAGUUUAGCUAUGAUAGUUUGCAGAAUGAUACGGUUAGAUCUUGUUUCUUGUACUGUUGUUUAUAUCCUGAAGAUUAUGGCAUUCUUAAAUGGGACUUGAUUGAUUGUUGGUUUGGCGAGGGAUUUUUUGGGGAAUCUGACAGGUCUGGUGCAGAAAACCAAGGAUAUGACAUUUUGGACACUCUUGUUCGUGCAUGUUUAUUAGAAGCGGUGGAAGAUGGUGAAGUAAAAAUGCAUGACGUUAUUCGUGAUAUGGCUAUAUGGAUAACUUGUGAAAUUGAGAAGGAGAAGAGAAACUUUUUGGUUCGUGCAGGUGCUGGAUUAAAAGAGGCACCGGAUGUUAAAGGAUGGGAAAAUGUGAGAAGAUUGUCAUUGAUGCAAAACCAAAUUGAAACUGUGUCAGAGGUUCCCACAUGCCCUCAUCUCCUCACUUUAUUUCUUGACUUUAAUCAGGAGUUGGAGAUGAUCGCGGAUGGCUUCUUCCAACUUAUGCCUUCUCUCAAAGUUUUGAAGAUGUCAAACUGUGGACAGAGGAGGUUGAAAUUACCUGUUGGGAUGUCAGUGUUGGGUUCAUCACUAGAACUUCUCGAUAUUUCAUGUACUGGCAUAACAGAGUUACCAGAGGAGUUAAAGAAGUUGGUAAAUCUGAAAUGUUUGAAUUUGAGGUGGACAGGUGCGUUAAUUAGAAUUCCACGGCAACUAAUAUCAAAAUUUUCAAGGUUACGUGUGUUGAGAAUGUUCGCUAUUGGCUAUGAUCGUUUUCAUGAAGCACCAGAAGACAGCGUUUUAUUUGGUGGGGGUGAAGUUUUGAUACAGGAAUUGCUCGGUUUGAAAUAUUUAGAGGUAUUGGAGUUGAGCUUGGGAAGUUAUCAUGCUCUCCAAAUUCUUUUGAGCUCAAAUAAGUUAAAAAGUUGUAUUCGAUCUCUUUGCCUCGAGUUCGCCGGAGAUACAGCGUCAAUUAUUGAUGCUACGGCUUUCGCAGAUCUAAACUACCUCAAUGAAUUAAAUAUUUAUAGUGGUUUUGAGUUGGAAGAGUUGAAGAUUGAUUAUACAGAGAUAGUACGAAAAAGGCGGGAACCUUUUGUUUUCCGCAACCUUCACCGUGUUACUAUACAUAGCUGCCAGAAGUUGAAAGAUUUGACAUUCCUCGUUUUUGCUCCAAACCUCAAGUCUGUUCAGCUACUCGAUUGCUAUGCUAUGGAAGAAAUAAUCAGCGUCGGAAAAUUUGCUGAGACUCCUGAGAUGAUGGGACAUAUAAGCCCUUUUGAAAAUCUCCAAAUGCUUGAUUUAGAAGAUUUGCCACAUUUGAAGAGCAUCUUCUGGAAGCCAUUGCCUUUCACUCAUCUGAAAGAAAUGGCGGUAAGUGGGUGUGAUCAGCUUGAAAAGCUUCCACUCGAUUCCAACAGUGCAAAGGAGCGUAAAUUUGUAAUUCGUGGAGAAGAAGACUGGUGGAACCGACUUCAAUGGGAGGAUGAAGCCACUCAAAUUGCUUUUCGUUCCUGUUUCCAACCUUAUUCCUGAGCGGUGGUCGCAAAUUUUGAUUCUCUGUUUUUAUUUCUGGUUAGUUUCUCUCUCUCUCUUUCUCUCUCGCUCUCUCUCUUUUUGUCUUCUGCAAAUCACAAUUAAAUGUUGAAUUAAUGGAAUUAAUGCUUCAUAAAUUUGCCGGCACAGCCACUACUUUUUUUUGGGGGGGGGGGGGGGGGGGGUCGAAUUGGUGCUCUGGUUUUUGACUUUUUGUUAGCGAUUUAAUUUCCUGUCAAAAGACGAGCGAGAAGAACAUAUAUAUGACGUAAACCAAUUGAUACUUUAUUUAUGUGCAUUGUAUGUAAUAAAUAUUAAGUAUACUUUAUUUUUGCCCUGUUCUCUGUUUUUAUUUCAGUCUCUCUCUCUCUCUCUCUGCUGUCUCCUGUCUCCUGCAAAUCACAAUUAAAUGUUGAAUUAUAUGGAAUUAAUCCUUCAUAAAUCUGCCUGCGCUGGCUUUUUUUUUUUUUUUGUGGGGGUCGAAUUGAUGCUCUGGUUUUCGACUACUUUUUGUUGUCAAAAUUUUCUCUGUUUUUUCAAAUUGAUGCUUUAUUGAUAUCUUCUUCGUGAAAAGUGAUUUAAUUUCCUGCCAAAAGACGAACGAGAAGAACAUUAGAGUCAAACUAAUGCUCACAUAAAUUUCCCGUAAGAAUAUAUAAUUAUUAAGAUAGAUCUGCUCUUUCAUUAAAUAUAUAUUCCUUUUUCACAUAUUAAUUGACCUUUAUUUAAUUUGUUUAAAAAGUUUAAUUAAUUGUUGUUUGCAGAGAAUCAUCUACGCCGCUCGCCGAUAAAAGUUGAGGUGUUCGAGCAGGUGCUUGCCUUUUUUUUUUUCUUUUUCUUUUUUCCCUGUUUUAAUAUUUCUUUAAAUUUUGAAAUUGUUUAAUUAUUCUUCUGGUUUGGAAUGUUGAUAAUAGUGUUGUGAAAUUAAUUUUUACAGGAUAAAAGGUUGUGGGACAUUUAUUAUCCAUGUCCUAUGUAUCUCAAGCUUAAAGGUCUCAGUGGUCCUCUAUUGGAAAAAGCAAGUUUAAUAUAUAUUAAUUGGAUAUCGUCGCCUGUAUAUAUAUGUAUAUACAUACAUACACAGCCACUCAUCGAUUAUAGACUUAAUUAUUUAAUUGAUUAUGUAAUCUCUCGUAGUUUCUUUGUGCAUUUUUAGUUAAUUUAAUGAAUAAACUCAAAUACAUUGUAAAUAAAACCAAAUUAAAUGUUCCCUAAAAUAUACGUAUAUGCCUCUCGAUGGCACACAAGGUUAAAUGUCAGCCCAUCGCGGGUAAUAUUAUUUCUAGCCGCCUUCAUUACGAGUUAAGAGUCAAUUAUUACUAAACUAAACUAGUCAAAACUCGUAAGUGCUAGAAAGUAGAAACGUUUGAUUCUAUAUAAAUGACUUCAAUUCAAUAUGUACCAAAGAGUAUCGAUAAUUGAACCCCAAAAAACUUUAAAAAAGAUUGACAAAAUUAAUUAUAUUAUUGUGUGUUUUUAGAAGAAAAAAUAAAAUAAUUAAUUAAUGUUAUAACACUAUGUUAGGUGAAAAGUCAGCUGUCUGGAAGAGAACAAACUUACUAAGAUAAGAGCCUUCUUCAGUAAUCAACCGAACGAAAAAGUCAUCUCUUUUCUUAUUUAUUUAGUAAAAAUAAGUAAAGGCCGAAAAUUUCCUAAAAUAUCUAAAUCCCUCUCUUUAAAAGAACACCAUAUGCUGCAUAACAUGCAAAUUAAUUUCCCAUAUGUGAUGCAAUUUUCUCCUCAACAUAUGCGCAAUUCUUUCCAUUCCGGCAUUUACACUCAAAUUUUCCUUCCUUUCUCUUUGUGGUUGAAUCUUACACCACAACUCAUGUGAUGCAAUCUCCUCUCGCUGCCUAAAUUGCACUCUCAGCAAAGCAGCAUAUGUAAGCAAGCUUGAAGAUAAUCUUGCUGCUCUGCGGAAGAACGGCAAAAGUUAAUCGAAGCAAGGACUGAUGUAUCAGAAAAAUUUUGGUGGAGAAUUCAGCACAAACAUAUUUCGGAUGAUCAGAAUCAAUAAAACAUGGUGGUUGCGCCAUAUAAACAUCUUCGGAAAGCUGGCCUUGAAGAAAGGCGUUUAUUGAUAUCCAAUUGACGAAGAGGCCAGCCAUGACUAACAUCAAUACUAAGAACAAGCCGUACUGUGGUGGGCUUAACAACUGGACUGAAAGUGUCAUAAUAGUCCACACCAGGCCGUUGAUUGAACCCUUUGGCAAUAAGACGAGCUUUGAACCUGUCAACAGAACCGUUGGAAUGUCUUUUAAUACAAAAAUCCAUUUGCAGCCAACAAUAUUGGAAAGGAUGGGAGGUGGAACAAGCUUCCAUGUCCCGUUAAGAACAAGAGCAUCAUACUCUUCUGACAUAGAUUGACGCCAGUGAGGAUUUUUGAUAGCUUGCGUCACAGUUGUAGGUUCACAAUCAGAAGGAGGGCUAAAAUGAGCACAGAGGUUAAGUUUUUGUAACGGCUUGUGAAUGUUAUUUUUAGCUCCGGUAGUCAUAUCAUGAUGAUUUGUGGGGCAACGAUCUAGUGGAGUUUGGGAAGAUGAUUGAACAGGAAGUGAAGAAGUGCUUUGUGUAGAGGUAGAAAUAGGUUGGGAGGAUUGCUGCGGAGAUGUUACCGGUAGAGAAGAAGGAGCAGUACACGGUGGCAACUCCAAAGGGCCCACAAUAGAUGGAGUAGGUGCCGACGAUGGAGUACUAGGAAAUGAAACAGUAAGAAUUGGUGGAACACUUGCGUAAUUAGGAGUUGUAGAUGAGCUUGUAAUGAUUUGUAUGGAAAAACAAACUCUACAAAUUUAACGUGACGUGAAAUAAAAAUUUGAAAGGUGGAUGGGUCAAAACAUAAAUAAGCACUUUGAGAUAAAGGAAUAUCCUAGAAAAACACAAGGCUUAGAGGGUGGUUCGAGUUUAUGUGAUGAAACACAAACAUUCAAAAUUUUUUAAGUUUAUAUUAAUUAGGAGUGGUACCAAAAAUUAAUUGGCUAUCGGGUUGUUGGAUGUGUUUUGGAUAUUUACAGCUAAGUUUGAGUAUCUCAACUUAAAAUUUGUAGCUUUCACUUGAAAAAAUUCAGUUAAAAUUUGCAAUGCAGACUGAUUGAUUUAUCAGUUUAACGUGUGCCAGGAAUGAAGAACUGGAAUAUCACCGUCAAGCAAGCACCCUGUGGAGCAAUACCAAACAAUGUACAAUCCGGCUUUGCUAGGUGACACUGGAGGCUUUUUGAAAAGUGCUUCACGCUCACUUGCACAGAUUGAGCAUCCCCUCUGGAUAUUGCCCUCUCUGAUCGAGUCUGAGCACUCAAAUUUUGGUCCUCAGAGGGAGCUACAGUUUUCUCUCCACUAACCAACAAUUUUCUAAACUCAGCACCUAGUGUGAUCUUGAGCCAUAUCUAAAGCAGUUUGAAGUUCAAGUACUUGAGCCCUUGACAAUGGUUUUAAAAUUGGAACAUCUUGGAUUACUGCAGACUUGUACCCCUUGGUUUCAAAGUAAGGAAAGGUAUUGCUUGAGUACAAUUUGGAGGCAGCUUCUUCACCAAUUUUAUUUGGAGGCGAUUGGCAGCGGAUCCAGCUGCACGAAGACUAAACAAGUCAGAUGCAGUUUAUUUGUCCAAGCACAAAUUGCAUUUUGUCCUCAACUUUAAUAUUUAUUGAUGAGAAUCAAUACAGGUCCCUCAUUUGUUAUAGAAAGCUUUAUUGUAGUCUCACCAGUUAAUUCACAGGUCUAUAAUCAUCUUGCAAAGUUAAGGGCAUUUCUUUCGAUCUAAAGUCUUUGCAUCACCACCUCAUCACACGCCAAGCCAAUAUUCCAUUUACCUCUGCAACAAAAAGUUUUAAGUAAACAAUCCUAAUGCACGCAGCCAAAUAAAAUGCAGUAAGAAUAUUCAACUUAAAAAUCUGAAAGCCAACUUGGUGAAUUGCCUCCUUAGGUGAAGUUCCAUGCUUUACUAUAGUUGACAGAACUCAGCAAAAGCUUCCAUACAACAGAUUUUGAAAAUGAUGAUGCCAAUAGAUACUCAUUCAAUCCAUUGAAAAUCCAAAGGUUCAUUGUUAAUAGAAGUUUACAGAGUUUUGGUCAUCAAAUAGCUCAGACCUAAUCCCAAACAAAAAACGAGUGAAAAUUAGAUCACGAGCAGCUAAUUGUAAAUUCUAACUUAACUCUUCAUCUCCUUUGUAAACAAGAAACAAAAUGGAGACACGCAAAAUGAAUAUGGAGAAAAUUUGAACUCAAAUGAAAUGAGGGCACGAAAGCAAACAAAUGGCAUGCACAAAAAAACCAAGCCUCAAUCAAAAACUAAUUAACCAUUAAGAAAAAAAUUGGUCAGAGAAUGAACUCCAAAUUCAGGAGUCAAGCAAGAAGCUUUCAUCAUUUCAGAAGCUCCUGUACAAAAAAACCAAGCCUCAAUCAAAAGCUUUCAUUAAUAAGUUAUGCUCUUUGGAAGCAAACCUAAAUUCCAAGAGAAACAGAAGCCAAAAAAUUUGCAAUUAUACGCAAAGGAAGUGAAGCACAGGAUUCUAUCACACAUAGGAAUUGUAUAACAAGAGAUCGAUAUAUCGAAUUAGAAAACUCAAUUCGAAUUUGUGUGAAAAAUCAAAAUUAGAAGAUUUCACAUUUCGAGAGGAACAAGCAACAGAUGACGUUCAAAAUUUCAGCCAUAACAUGCUAAAAAUGCUACACUUAACGGUUCAUUUUCAUGGAUUUUCUCGGGAAACAAACAGAAAAUUACGGUUCAGAGAGUUGACUGACCUUUUGGCUUUUGAAAUUGAGAAGAUCGCGCGCCAAAUUGGAAGAGGGAAAGUGAAAGUGCGAGUUUUAAUAUGGGUAGAUAAGGAAAUUUUAUUAGGUUGCGAGGGUAAAAAAGGAAAGAGAUAUCAUUAUUUUAUCAUCGAUAAUUAUUAAAUUUUUUUCCAAAAAAAAGAACAAGCAAGGAUAUUUUAUUGUCAUUACUAAGUUAAAAAAAAUUGUUUCAAAAUUACUUGAGUCAUAUCCAAUGGACCAACAAAGUAAUCGUUUUUAUUUUUAUUGAUUUUUGCAGGAAAUUAAUAACUUAAAAAUACUGAAAGCUAUUGUAAAAAUUUUUAUUAUCAACCUCAUAGUUUUUUUUUUUUGGGGGAAGAGAAUUCAAACAUUUUUUUUUUAAAUUUCCAAGAAUUCUUGACACCCGUCUUAAUUAAAAGCUAUAUUUUUAUUCAAGAGUCAUGCUAUUCAUUCACUCACAGACCAAAGGCUUUCCGCAGCAAUAUUAUUAUUUAAAUUACAACAAAGGGGAAAUCAAAUACGUCAUACAGAAGCUUAAAGCUGAAUCAACAAAAUCUAGAGCUCUCAACUACAAAAAUUACACUUGAUGAUCCUCUACAAGAUGAAGCUUGUUCAAUAUCUUAUCCAAAGCUUGUAAAGUAACCUUGUAACGAUCUUGAGAUUGCCUGCCUUCCUCGACGACCUGCACGAUGCGUUUGUACAAAUCAUCAUACCUGUGCACCGGAUUUUUAAUAUCAACGCCACUGCAGCUGUGAUUAAGAAAAUAAGAGCGUUUAACAUCUUUUCUCCAUCGAGAAAGAAUGUACUGAGAUGGGAUCUCCUGCACGCCACUCUGGUUUAGAACACAAAGAAUGUGUCUGCAUAAAUAUCCUCUGAAAUUGAACAACCCACAAACGCAAAGCACCUCCAAGUUGGAGGCAUUGUACAAAACAUCGAAAGCCCUUGAGUCUUUCUCAUUGCUACCAACCUCGAAUUCUUCCUUCACUAUGUAUGUUAUAGGUCCAUCAGCACUAACAUGUUUUGUGCUAUAGCAAGAGUACAUAGCCUCCACCUCCGUCUGAAACUUCCUUAACAUUUCAUUUGUGUACAGUUUUGAGAGUUGAAAUUCAUAGUAACAUCUUGGUUUCUGGAUACAACUUGAAUUUCUUGAAUCCAUAUCUGCCAAGGCUUCCAGUUGAUAAUUCGCCCGCAGUGCUUGAUCAUACUUGUCUAAGAAUUCUUUCAAAGGAGUAUUCUUAUCAAGAUAUCCUUCAAAGUAUGAAGUAGAAACCUCAUUCUGCGGGAACGAAAACACUCCUGAUAAAAAAGCUUCCUUCAAAUAAAUAGGAGCCCACCUUUUACGAUCUUCAUAUAAAGUUUGAAUCCAUCCGUGAUCCUUUAUUCCAUGACGUUGAAUCAUGUCUUUCCAAGCUGCUUCAAAUUUCUCAGGCCUGAGAGAGUGAUAAAUUGCUCUAUGUAAUGCAGCUUUAAUAGCUUCAUAUUCAAACAAUCCUUGGAGUUUCACUGGAAUUUUUUGCAUGAUGCAUGACAAUGAAAAGCAACGAUAAGCUCUUGGGAAAACAUCGCCAACAGCAAUUUGCAAGAUUCUACAUUGGUCAGUGAUGAUUGUUUGUGGAGAGCGCCCUAACAUACAUGUAAGCCACGCCCUAAACAACCAUGUAUAUGAUUCUAUGGUCUCACUGGCAAGUAAACCACAACCCAACAACACUGAUUGUCCAUAAUGAUUCACCCCAAUGAAUGAAACCAGUGGUACAUCAUAUCUUUCAAUCAAGCACGUAGUAUCAAUUAAGACUACAUCACCAAAGUACCUAUAUGCAACUCUUGACCUGGUAUCAGUCCAGAACAGGUUUCUCAAGCAUCCCUUUUCAUUUAGAUCCACUACAUUAAAAAAGUUUGGAUCUGUCAACUGCAAACGACAAAAGAAACUCUGGACAGCUUGUGCAUCACCUGGUUUAAGCUUCAAUUGAUUUGAGCUAUUAACAUUAUUUCCAAAUACUCCAUUAACAUCUACAUUACCAUUUCCCUAGGCAUCAAUGAUAAGAGUUCGAAACAGUUUAAUUUUUUGAACUUCUUCAGCACUAUCUAAAUGCAAUGUUCUUUUGGUUCCAAUACCUAUGUGCUUAUGUGACUUGCAAAACUUUCCACUUCUUGGGCUUAACAAGUGGUUAUGCUCAAGCUCGACUUCAAUGAUUCUCCACCUUUUGGUUUCCAUCAACCUAAACUUUAUCAUUGCUGGACAGCCAGCUCUUGUUUCUGGUCUUGGACGGUUUGCCUCACUUUUCUUCUUGAAGCUUGCACUACUACAGCUCAGCUUUCCUCUAUACUUUUCUCUACUCUUUCAGUACCAGGUAUUGCUAACUCUAACACCAAAACCCUGUUCCUUGGCAUAGCAAUUGUAAAAGUAAUAUACAUCAUCGUACAUCUCAAACUCCAUUCCAACAGCAGGAGGCAAGGGAUUUUGGAUUAUCCCAGUUUGUCCAACAUAUUCAGUCAUCGCACAAUCUCCUACGACCUCAAAAUCAUCAGUGUCAUCAUCACCUAUUGGUUCGGUGUUGAGAGAAACUUCAUCCAUCUACAAUGGAUGUUCAAUGAAGUGAGCUUUAAGGAGAAAAAGCAAAAUCAGUUCAAGGAAUCAUAGUAUAAUCAUACAGUUACUUUCACAAAGCUUCAUAUUUCAUCACUGCUUUACCAACAUGCAACUGCCAGAGAACAAACAGACAUGUCAUAGACGCUUGAAUUAAGUAUUGGUACAAAUGAGCACACAUCAUGUGGGACAAAAUUUCAGUCACUAAACCCAAUACCACUUUUUACAUCAUACCAAGGAACAGAUUAAACCCGACACCUUCUUUUAAACCAUACCAAGGAACAGAUUAAAUCAUCAAUGAAAAAUUAAUCACAUAAUAACUUAACCAGACAAAUGAAGAGCCUGAAACAGCACAAAACUUGAAUCUGAUUAUGAUAAUUGUUGAGUCCUUGUAUCUACAGCUUUCCUUCAAUGAUAAGACAAUGAACAUAAACGAGACACAAAAAAUUUAUUUUAAACUGACAGCCCAUGAUAUAAAUCAAACAAAAUCAACUCCUUUUUUUACACAUCACAUCUCAUAUUCAUUUACAUUGAAACACAAAAAGGAAGCGGGAGUGGGAAAAAAACAACAGCAGAGGAACUUAUUUCCAUAAGGUUUACGAAAUAAGGAAUCUAUUAAAACCCAAAACUUGAGGUCACCACAAAGAAUUUGGUUCUCAUUAUUUUUUUCUUCAUUUUUCACCAAUUGAUGAACUUAAAAUACAAUCAUAAAUGAUAAAACCCCAUCUCAAUCUUUUUGAACUAGAGCUAAAGCAAAGCAUUUUAAGAUGUUUCAUCAUUUUUUUUUUAAAAAAAACCUCAAUAGUACAAUGUUUUUACUCUAAUAAUCUCUUAAUUAAGGAAGAUUAAGCUUCAGUUGUAAGCUAAAACAAAUUUCUUAAAUCAAGCCCCAAUGCUUUAUGCUAUUCAACAAGGGCUCAUAAAUGAUAAAACUACUUCUACAAAGAUACCCAUUUUCUAAAUUAAUUUCAAAAACUGAAAUCAAACUCCUGAAACGUAACGAGCAUUAAUAUAAUCAAACCCGAACAAGAAUUGAAAAAUGACACAUAAACUCGUUUACACAUUUCGACAGACACUUUGCAAUCAAUGAGCAAAAAAUUAAUGGAGAAGAUAAAAUUCAAACGAAACAUGCCUUACAUUGAUCAAUUAGAAGGGCAAAAGAAAUUUUAGUACGAUAUGGGAUCAGGGUCUUGCCACGGUGAUGUUAUUUGUGAUGUUCGAGCGACUCAGCGGCCUUCGAGGUUGAAAAUUUGAUUGACCAAAAGCUUCCCGUUUGUUGAUUCUCUAAUAGCAGAAACGAGACUGGCAGUAAACACAACAACUUCGCUGAUUUUAAAUUCCGUUGUUUGAGAUGGAAAACUUUUUGAAAAAAUUAAUGUGUUCGAUGAAUAUCAAAAUCUAAAAAACUUUUUGUUUUUCAUUUUUUUGGAAAAAACCAUUGAGAUCCUUACUAUUUUUUCUUAUAUCAUCUUGCUUAAUAAUUUGCAAAGUCUAUCGCAUAGCACCCAUGCAUGAUGUAUGCUGCGUAACUGCGUUGUAAUUUACAAAAUUGUAAAUUUGUUAAAAGAAAAUAAUAAUAACAAGUUAAAACUUUAAAAUUUUUAUCAUUCGAAGAAAUUUUAAUUUAGUUAAGUAGGUGACAUGAUAAUAAAUAGAUACGUAUAAUGUCCGAGAUUUUUUAUAAGAUUAAUAAAUAUGAUAAAUUUGGAUUAGUUCAAUUUUGACGUAAUUCAGAAUAAACACAUCUUCCUAAUCUAAAAAUAAUUACAAACAAUUUAAUUUGUGUUGUUUCUCUAAAAGUUUGAGACACAAAUGUUAUUGCAAAUUGAAACGCCAUGCACUAGUAGAAGGUAAGAGAAACCAAGGUUGAAGUUACUGUUCAUUUAUUUUUAUUUAUGAUUUUUUGUAAAAUGUAAGAAAUAUGUAGAAAUGUUGCCAGCAAUGAUUUUGGAACUUUGCAUAAAAUUUUUAUCAUUAUUGUUUUUGGUAUUAAGAAAUCCGAGGCGGUGAUUAGUCGUAUGUUGCAACAAUUAAGAAAUUUCUUAUUGGAGAUAAUUUGGUAGGUUGCAACAAUUAGAGAAUAAUUUUCCUGUCAGUUAAUCAAUCAAUAAUAAAUUUCAAAUUGCAGAAAAUAAAAUAAUACUGUCGCACUUAGAAUCAUCUUUUCUAUUUCUUUCAAUUGUGACAAUCAUUUGUAACAAAUAAAUCAAUUUGAUGCACAUCAUUUCCCCAAUUCAAAGUUCAAGUCACUGCUCAAUUGCAGGGUAGUUAGUAGACAUGCAUGCAUGUUUAAUUAAGUACUGCAUUGUAAUAUAGAAAAUCAUAACAUCUCACCAAGCCCGGAAGCAUAGCUCUUUAUCUUGUAAAUGUUGAAAUCUUAUGCAAACUAUGGGAAACAUGAUCUCACUCUCAGUGCCACUUGAUUCCAUUUUCUUUGUUGGGAAUGCUACGAAGUCUAAGCUUGAAGAUAAUCUCGAUGCCUUGCGGACUGCAAUGGAAAAAUAAGCGGAAACGAGAAAUGAUGUGAUAAAUUGUGAGCCAACAAUAGUGGGCAUGGUGUCGACUUUUGAGAAAGCCUGGAGAUGCCUUGAAGAAGAAUCAGUUGGAAUUAUUGGCCUGUAUGUUAAUGGGGGAGUUGGAAAAUAUUUACUCAAAUCAACAACAAGUUCCUUGAUGGUCCAAAUAAUUUUGAUGUUGCGAUCUGGGUAGUGGUCUGCCAAGAUUUACAACCCCAGAAGUUUCGGGAAAAGAUUGGGAAAAAGAAAGGCUUGUUCGAUGAGUCAUGGAAGAACUGAAGUUUUGAAGAGAAAGCACUCGACAUAUUCAAGAAUUUAAGCAAGACGAAGUUUGUAUUACUGCUGGAUGAUAUAUGGGAGCAGGUUGAUUUAAUUAAAAUUGGUGUCCCUCUUCCAAGCACAAAAAUUACAUUCAAGAUAGUCUUCACAACUCGUUUUAUUGACAUUUGUGGCCUCAUGGAAGCUCACAACAAGAUUAAAGUGGAGUGUUUAAAUGACGAAGAAGCAUGGGAAUUAUUCUGCAAGAAGGUUGGAGAAGAUGUGGCGACUCUGUCCAAGUGCUAAGGAGAUCAGCCUCAGAAUUUCUAGGUAUGUAAAAAUGAGUAUAUAUAUCCACUUUUGAAAUUCAGUUAUGAUAAUUUACCUAGCGAUAAAAUUAGAUCGAGUCUGUUAUACUGUAGUUUGUUUCUGGAAGACUUUCCAAUUAGCAAAACGGAAUUGAUACAUUGUUGGAUAAGCGAGGGCCUUUUGGAUGAAACUAAUAGUUCUGAGAUAUGAAAUCAAGGAUACUACAUUAUUGGUGUUCUUGUUCCUUUAUGUUUAUUGGAAGAAGAGGCUCCACUAUAUGUAAAAGUGCAUGAUGUGAUACGCGAUAUGCUUCUGUGGAUCGCAUGUGAAGUUUUUUUUUUCUUUUUGAUAGGGAUAGCAUGUGAAGUUGAGAAGGAGAAAGAGAAUUUUUUGGUUCGUGCAGGUGCAAGGAUUAACUGAAGUGCCAGACAUUUGGAAAUGGGAAGGGUUGAGAAGGGUGUCUUUCAUGAGCAACAAAACUGAGAAGUUAUCAGAAAUUCCUUCAGAUCCCCAUCUACCGACUUUGUUGCUUCAACGUAAUUAUUUAGAGAUGAUCAAUAAUGACUUCUUCCAAUCUAUGAAUUCCCUUAGAGUUUUGAACUUAUCAUGUAAUCAUUCUCUAAUUGAUAAUUUCAAAGUUAGUUUCCCUACAACAUCUUAAUUUAUCAAUGACUAACAUACGAGAGUUGCCGAAUGAGUUAAAGUUUGUAGUGAAUCUAAAGUUUUUGAAUGUGGAGUAUGCACGGUUUCUUCAUUCAAUUCCAGGGCAAGUGAUAUCCAGUUUUACGAUGUUACACGGUUUGAAGAUGUUUGGUUGUGGGAGGUCAUCUUCUGAUCAUGAGCCACACUAGAAGAUAGAGUUUUAUUUGAAGGCUGUAAACUUUUGAUUGUGGAGUUGUUUGGUUUGAGAGACAUCUAGAUGUGUUGACCAUCAUCCUAACAAGUUCCCUUGCUCUGAAAAGAUUUUUGAGCUACAACAAACUUCAAAGUCGUACUCAAUCUCUCUAUCUUAAAUGCUUUGAUUCAAAUCUUCUUGUUUUUUCCAUAAAACAUUGCCAUGAUAUGGAGGAAAUACUCAGUGUCGGAAAAUUAGGUGAAGAGAUGAUGUCAAAUCUGGAACCUCUUACAAAACUCCAAGUUCGUUGCUUGAAGAAGCUACCAAAUUUGAAGAGCGUCUACUGGAAGGCCUUGCCCUUGCCCAAUGUAUGCAUAAUUUUUGUAUCUAAAUGCCCAGAACUUAAGAAGCUGCCGCUGGAUUUUGAAAGGGCGGGCGAAGGUAAAAUUCUUAUCAAGUGAAAGGAAAAUCGAUGGAAACGACUUCAAUGGGAGGAUCAAGCAACUCAGAAUGCAUUGCUUCUGUUUUUCAAAUCUAGUGAUUGAAGGGGGCAACAUCAACAUCAUCAGCCUGGAUGGGGAGAUUCUGGAGCAGAUCAGUAGGGUUUGAAUCUACAUCAUUAACAUCAUCAGGGUCUGUAUUUCUAUUGCUGGUCUUAAUGCUUGCUUACUGUUGCUUGACAAAGUGAGCCAGUUUUUUGUUUAUUAAAUUUUGUCUUGUAGAGACAGUCACAAAGUAUGGGUUGUUCUAUGUGAGAGUGAUGUGAAUCAAUUUUUCAAUUAUAUAUUCUGUGGUCAUUGUGAAUUUUGUUUAGAGAUGCAAACUUAGAAUAUGGAAAAGUUCAUCGGCAAACAUUUUGUAAAAGCUUCCAACUGAAGUUUUCAUAAUUAAAUAAUAAAAAAAUAGGAAGUGACGAAAAAAUUAUCCUAGGUGUUACGAAAAAACAUGAGCUCCGAAAAUAUUGGAAGUGACGAAAACUUAGGGCUAGGGUUUGAGAACUCUAACCCGCCACCACUGCAAGAGGACAGGACGACUAAGAAGGCCCGGUUUCGGGCUGAGGGAAUUGAUGCUGAUAAUCCUCAUAAACCCUCUUGGAGAGAUAAGGCUAUGGAGGCAGUCACGGUGAUGGCAGGUCAGACAGGAAGGAUUGGAGAGUUGGGUUACGGCAGUGUAUGCUAGCCCUAUUCCAACAGUCCUGCGUGAAUUAUGGUAUCACCUUGCAAGUAUUGCUUCUCAAAUGUUGGAUCCGUGGUUGGUGGGCGGAGAUUUCAAUGCUAUCUUAUACGCACAUGAGAAGAAAGGGGGCUCGAACCGAAUAAGUGGCACUUGCAAUUUAUUUAAUCAUUGGUUUCAUUCUUGCAGGAUGCUUGAUCUAAAGUUCUCCGGCCCUCGCUUCACUUGGUCUAGGGGAAACCUUUCUAAACGAUUGGAUAGAGCGGUUUGCAAUAAUGGAUGGCUAAUAAAACAUGCAAAUAGUAGUGUCAUGCAUCUUCCAAAAAUUGAUUCCGAUCAUCGGCCUAUUCUAGUCAAGUUCCAGAACAUGGAUUCCAAGCAUGGGGGCCCGAGGCCAUUUCGAUUUUUGGCUGCAUGGCUCACAGAUGAGAGAUUUGGGAGUUUUAUGAAUGAUAGCUGGAAUAAGGGAGAGAAUUUUCUUGAGGCAGUGGCUGAUUUUACUCAACAAACUAGGUGGUGGAAUAAGGAAAUUUUUGAAAAUAUUAUUUAUCGGAAGCGGAAAUUGUUGGCUAGAAUAGGUGGGAUCCAAUGAAUUUUGGAAGCCAAGCCUAACCAUAGCCUUACUAGACUUGAAGUUAAGCUUCAGAAGGAGCUCGAAGAGGUUCUCACUCAGGAAGAAUUAUUGUGGCUUCAGAAAUCCAGGAGAGAUUGGACUUUGUAUGGUGACCGCAACACUGCUUAUUUCCAUAAAAAAAUGCUAACCAGGCAUCGCCAGAAUCGGAUUACUGCAAUUCAAAAUGAUACUGGGCAGUGGAUACACGACGUCGAGAUCAUUAAGCAACGUGCAGUCAAUUUCUUUUUGGAAUUAUACACGCCUGAACAAGGGGUGCAUAGAACAUAUAAUGUCAGGGGGUGUUUCCCUGAGACGUCAGAUGAUAUUUGUUUAAGUUUGAUGUCUGCGGUAACAGAUGAGGAAAUCAGACAUACUAUUUUCAGUAUGAGUCCUUUUAAAGCUCCUGGAGUUGAUGGCUUUCAUGCUAGUUUUUACCAAGCGCAAUGGAAUACAGUUGGUAUGUCUUUGAGCUCUUUAAUCAAAAAUAUUUUUAAUUCUAAUCAUAUCCCUGCAGAGAUCAACAGAACCUUGCUGGUGCUCAUUCCUAAAGUGUAUCAUCCAACAAGCCUCAAGAUGUUUCGGCCGAUCAGCCUUUGCACAAUUCCGUAUAAAACGGUGACGAAAAUUAUUGCAAAUAGGUUACAGGUUUUUCUUCCAGAUCUCAUUGGACCCCAACAAACCAGUUUUGUACCGGGUCGGCAUAUUACAGAGAAUAUUGUUAUUGCUCAAGAGGUAAUCCAUACAAUGAAGAAAAAUGUGGGGGGUAAAAGAAUGAUGGCGGUUAAAGUGGACUUGGAAAAGGCUUAUAACCGGUUGAGUUGGCGAUUUGUUCAGGAAACUUUACAGGAAGUUGGGCUACCGGAGCGAUUUAUUCACCUCAUAAUGGAGUGUUUGUCCACAGCCCAAAUGAAUGUUUUGUGGAAUGGAGAAAUGACUGAAGAUUUUCGGCCAGGGAGAGAAAUUCGACAAGGAGACCCUCUUUCGCCUUAUAUUUUUGUGCUUUGUAUUGAAAGAUUAAGUCAUGGGAUUAUCCAGGCGGUUAAUCAAGGUAGAUGGAAACACAUUUGACUGACUCGAACUGGCACUCCUCUAAGUCAUUUAUUUUUUGCGGAUGAUCUGCUUCUCUUUUUGGAAGCAAGUUACGGCCAAGUUGAUGUAUUGAAUGAUGUGGUGGAGAAUUUCUGUAGGAGCUCGGGCGCUAGAGUUAGUAAUCAAAAGACCCAAGUCUUCUUCUCCAAAAAUGUCCCGGUCACUUUAGCCAAUGGAAUUGGCAAGGCUUUAGGCUUCUCGGUUACAAAUAAUUUGGGAAGAUAUCUUGGCAUGCCUCUUCUUCACGAUCGGGUUUCUAAGAAAACGUAUCAGAGUAUCAUUGACAAAAUUGAUCAGCGGCUAUCAGGAUGGGCAGCAAAGCAAUUGUCUCUGGCAGGGAGAGUUACUCUCACUCAAUCGGUGCUUCAGGCAAUCCCGAUUUACGCUAUGCAAACCACGUACCUCCCAUCUAGUGUCAGAGUUAAAAUUGAUCAAUUAUGUAGAAGAUUCAUUUGGAGUGGGGCUGGUUCUCAACGCAAGUUAAGUUUGGUUAGCUGGGACAACAUUUGUAGGCCUAAGAGCAAUGGAGGGCUCGGUUUCAAGGACAUGGAACUUAUGAACAAAGCCUUACUAAUGAAAGUGGCUUGGGAUUUAUUCAUAAAUCCUAGCAAGCUGUGCUCCCAGGUUUUAAUUUCUAAUUAUGUUGCGCCUUGUGAUAUGAUUACUACUGAUGCUUCAUUUAAAAAUGGUUCCUAUUUAUGGCGCUCUAUGGGUAAGAUUUGGAAAGACUUCCAGAAGGGUUUGCGUUGGAGUAUUGGAAAUGGCCAACGGGUGAAGUUUUGGGAUGAUAUUUGGGCUACAAAUGGUGAUCCCUUAAUCAACUAUACGGUGGCUUCAAUUCCGGAUAGCAUGCGAAAUAUGUUGGUGGCGGAUUGUGUGGAUCAAAAUGGGAAUUGGUUGUGGAACAUAUUCAACUCUUUUUUGAAUAACCAUGCUGUUUUAAGGAUUGCUUCCAUGGCUCCUCCGUCGUCAAUGAGAGGCGAGGAUAGGAUGUAUUGAGGUGCAUCAAAUACUGGCAAUUUUACAGUCCAAUCAGCUUACCAAGUGCUUACGAAUUUUUGCCCCGCUGAAGACUGUCAAGACUGGCAACAUUUGUGGAAAUGGAAGAGGCCUCAAAGCGUAAGAAUUUUUCUAUGGUUAUUAUGCCAUGAUCAAUUGAAGACGGGAUGUGAGCUUGCUAGAAGGCAUCUGGACGUCGAGGCUUUAUGUGGGAGGUGCCAUGCAGACGUUUAGAAUUCUUUGCAUGCAAUUCGAGAUUGUGAUUAUUCGAGAGGUGUUUGGCGGAAGCUUGUUCCCGCGCUUAGACAACAUGACUUUUUUAGUUAUCCUCUUUGGCAAUGGAUCAUGACAAAUCUUAGGAGAAGAGUCUGUGAUAUGGGGAGCUUAUUUUGGCCGAUUAUGUUUGGUAUUGCGGCUUGGAGAAUUUGGUAUUGGAGGAACCAGGUGAUGUUCAACAACAAGAGCUGGAAUGGUGAUUUGAUCGUUCGAGAUAUUAAGGCAAGGACUGAGAGUAUUUGUUCUACUCUUUCAAGCAUAGGCUAUCGAAGAAAUGAAAGGAUUCAGAAAUGGAUUCGUUGGGCUCCUCCACCAUGGCCUUUCUUGUGCUUAAAUACGGAUGGUGCAAGGAAAGGAAAUGGAGAGGCGAGUGCAGGUGGGCUGCUGCGGGACUGUCAUGGUAAUUUUAUUCAUGGUUUCAGCGCACAUCUCGGAGUUUGUUCAGUUCUAAAGGCUGAACUUUGGGGUGUCUUGCAUGGGUUAAGAAUGGCAUGGGAUCUUGGCUAUAGACGUAUCCAAGUUGGAGUAGACAACUGUAGUGUGGUGCAAAUUAUAAGGGAAAAUAAUGCUCAUGUCAACGAAAUUUCGAAUAUAAUCGAGAUGAUUAGAGAACUCAUGAGGAGGGAUUGGAGGAUUCAAAUUGAUCACAUCUACCGCGAAGCAAACUCGGCAGCUGAUUUCCUUUCUACGCAUGCUUUGAGUUUACUUGUUGGAGUACAUUUUCUUCAUUCUGCACCUUUAGGUUUGAGAUCUAUUUUAUAUUUGGAUAUGUAUGGGGUGGCACACUCCCGGUUUGUGCCCCUUUAGCUCUUCUCUUUUAGAGCCUUUUGUUUAUCAAAAAAAAAAAAAAAGCUUCCAACUGAAAUAGGGAAUGCACUUACUACUAAGGACAGUUGGUGGCCACCUAAUGCAUUCAUUUUAUAUCAAUUCAUCAUUUUAAUUAUUGAAAACAAGUGGCUCAUCGCUUUUACUUUAGGUAAAAUUCGGAUAAUCUCUAUUAUGAAAUGAUAAUAUUCUCUUAAAUUAUUAUAAACCUCAGCCAAUCUUAAUUUUAUUUAAAAGAUAAAAGAAAAAUAGGUUAUGUUGGUGACUUUUUUCUUAUCUUUUUAAUAAAAAUAAAAUAAAUUGAUGUUUAUAAUUGUUUAAAAUACUUUAAAGAUUGUUAUUUUAUGAGAGAGUAAUAUUUUACUUUUUUAUUGUGAAAUGCUAAAAAGGACAAAGCAAGUGUCCCUGGUUUUUAUUUUAUUUGAAAUUGGUCAUCUCAUAUACUUUACGUUUCAACACUACAAUUUUUUUGGUUAUAUUUUUAUUAUUUUUUUCUUUCUUACACAUGCACGUAAAUUUUCUUUCUUUAAGCUCCUGAAUAUUUAAGACAAAUCAUGGAAGAGAUGAAAGUAUAACAAGAUGAUCAAAAUACGUAACAAAAAAUUUACAAGUGAAACAUACGUUAGAGUCGAAGUAAAACUCUGAAAAUAGAGAUAUUGAUUAAUUUAGAAGAGAUGCAAGCAAAAGAUUUUCUUAAAAAAAAGAAAAGCAAUUUGUCCCUUUCCAGGGCAAACUUGUUAGUCUCAAAAAGGUACAUUCUUUGAAUUGAUAGUUGCAGGAUUUUUGUCUUGUUUUUGUUGUUGUGCAUUAGUUGGAGAAGUCAAGCCUAGUGAAAAAUGUUAUGAAAGAGCAAAGGAUAUUUCUGACAGCUUUAUUUAAUUAUGUAUUCAUUUAAUGGAUGUAUUGUUAGAAGAUAUUUAAGUGCAUUAGUUCAUCCGUGUCUGUUGAUGUGCUUUUAGUGAUUUUUCCAGCUGUUUGUUGUAAAAGAUGAUUGUAAAUUGAAAUGAACUUGAUGUUGUAAUAUUUUCUCUUUUGUGGAAUCUCAGUUGUGUUGUCUAUAAUUUUAGUCAAAAUUAUUGUUAUUAUUUCUUACUAGAGGUAAAUUUUUUAUUAAACCUCAUUAACACAAUUCUUAAUUAAAAGUAUAGGUUAGUGUCGGUGCAGGAUUUGCAGCACCAGAUCCUGCCUAGCUACGUGUCAAAAAUACAAAAUAAAUGAAGAGAAAGCACAAAUACAUGACUUGGAUUAGGAUAGAAGGAAACUUAAAUCUUAAAGAAAAUGAUAGCUAUAUCCCACUAUUUGAAAAAAUGGUCAUGUAGAUUUUUAAGAUUUAAAUAAGGGACGGAGAUCUUCUUUUGACAAAUAAUAUCUUUUAGCUCUCUCAAGUAAAAAAAAAAUUAAAUAUUUUAUAAUAAAUAAAAAUAUAAUAUUAAAAUAUACGUGAUAAUAUAUACAUUUUAAAUAAUUUCAAUCCAAAAAAAUAGUUAUGUUUUAUCGAAUCUACCUAUGUUACAAUAGUAGUAUGGUACCACAAUAUUUGUUCUUAUCCAAUGUAAUCAUUGGAUGAUUUAGAGCUUAAUCUAACGGCUUAAAUUAUUUUUCUGAAUAUUUGAAGCAACAACUUGCAACCGUUGGAGCCGGUUGCAUAUUAAUUUAAUAUCAUUUGGGGAAGCGUACGGUCAGGAAGUUUCUUAGUAUGCCACCAAUGGAAUUUGAUUUCAUCUCAAAUCGAUCUGCAGGCAGCAAUUGGGAAAUUACACUCACGGUCUUCCUCUUCUUCACUUCCUCUCUACUCUUCACUUUUCUCACUCUCGCGAUGUUUACAGCAUGAUAAGUACAAUUACAAACCAGGAAAUGCCAUUAACAAUUUUCAUUUGUCUUAGUCGUUUUUUUUUUUUUUAGUAGAAAGCCAAAAAAGAAAACGGGUGGGAGGUUGGGGCGUCGUGAUGAAAUGGUUUUGAGUUUUUGACGGAAUGUUUGUUUUUGUGAUUCAUUUAGGGUUUGAAUUCAGGCUUGUACGAACUCGGAUCUAUUCGAGAUCCGUAUUGGCGCUGAAAUCAGAUCCUUUGAAGCCUUGGUUUGAAUUCAACCUUGAGAACUCCAAGCUUGUUAGAAUCUUCAUUGAUCUCUCCAGAAAUUACACGGAUCUUAUUACUAAACCCUACAUAUAGGGCUGCAAUGGAGUCCGAUUCUCUCACAAUUGAUGAAUCAAUAUUGAGACAGUUCGAAAAGGAAGUAAAAAAGAGAAUCAACUUGACUGGCUAAAUAAUUGCGGAGGCCAAAGAGUCUUUUGAUAAUCAAUUGAAGAUUUAGAAGUUAAAAGACACUAUUUUUACUAUGAACGAACAAUUGACUAAGGCGAAAAAGCAAGGAGCUUUUUUGAGUUUGAUUGCUGCGAAAUCGAUGCCUUAGAGUUUGCAUUGUUUGGCCAUGAGGUUGAUGAAAGAGCGAGUUGUUCAUCCGGAGAACUAUAAUGAAGAAGGGAAGCCCACACAUGCAGAAUUCGAGGAUCCCAAACUUUAUCAUAAUGCUAUUUUUUCUGGGUAAUAUGCUUGCAGCUUCGGUGGUGGUGAUUGGUGAAUUUAGCUGUUAAGAACUCGAAGGAGCCUUGGAAACAUGUGUUUCAUGUUGUGAUGGAUCAAAUGUUUAAAUUGAAGGAUUAUAAUGGAGCACAUUUAGGCACGAAGGCUGUUGAGGAUUAUAAGUUUUUGAAUUCUCACAUGUCCCUGUGUUAAGGCAGCCGGGGUUUGCUAAUUUGCAAAGGUUUUACUUCGGGAAGUAGCUUGAGAAUGCUACGAAAGAUGCUACUAACAUGAAGUUUAGGAAUCCCAAUUACUUGUUGAUACUGUAUCAUUUGAGGUUCUGGAUAAGAUUUCAAUGAUGGCCGCUUAAAACAAAUAAUAAAAAAAAAGAACUUGUACUGUAUUUGGAUCUUUACUUAUUUGAUAUAGUUUUCUGCAAUCUCUCCAUGCAACCGGUUACUUUAAUUAUCCACUAACUCAUCUCAACCGUUUGAUGGACUCACUUUAUAUCCAACGGCAGUUUUAAAUGAAGACAAAAAGUGUGGUAUGUUGCAAUUGUUGCAACAUAUGUGAGUCUUGUUUUACAAUCUAUUUAACAUAUUUUAUUAAAUUAAUAUAUUUCUAUGAUAUAGGAACAUAAUAUUAAAAUAAAUUUACAAAAAUUUAAAGAAUUUUGAAUGUAAAACAAUUUCAAUAUAUUAAUAAUGAGAUUUUUUUAUUAUUAUAAAAAUUAUUUAACCCAUAGAUUUUUUUAAAUCUUUACAAUAAGUAUAAAUAUAUUAUCUUCACUUAAAAAUAUUUAAAUAUUAUUAACCUAUAAUUAGGUUUGCAUUUAUUAGAAAAUUUUAAAGUCAAAUAUAUUGCACUUUUGCAUUAUUAGAAUCAUCACAGAGAAAGGAGCAUAUAUACUUUAUAACUUUAAAAAUUGGUUUCUUCUGGAAACAGAGAUGAUGAUUAUUAUAAGGAUGAAAAAAAAAAGAUAAAGAAUAUUAAUGAUUAACGAAAUCUCUAUGCAAAUUGAUUUUAGUAGGGAAAGAGUGAGAUGAAUAACUUCUUUUACAGCUAAAAACAGAGAUGAUGAUUAUUAUAAGGUUGAAAAAAAAAGAUAAAGAAUAUUAAUUAUUAAUGGAAUCUCUAUGCAAAUUGAUUUUAUAGGAAAAAAGCGAGCUAAAUGAUUUAGACAUUCAUAGUGUAUUUAUUUUUGAAUUGGUGAAUAAGAAUUAUUGACAACGCUAACUUCAUCUUCACCGUUGGCUAUCCAAUAGCGGCAAUUGUCGCCGAUUAUGAUAUCUCCAAUGAUGAUGACGGUUUUUUUAUUAUUAUUAUUGGUGACCCCUUGGAAAGUUAACUGCAACUGCCAAUCAGAGAAAAGUCGUCAUGCACAAUCCUCAAUCGAACCAAUCAUCUACGUUACAGAAUCUGAAACGUACACACUGUUAACAUAUAUGUUUCCAUAAUGUUGAUUUUGAUGAUAACAAACAAGAUUAAGAAUGAUUAAUCUUUUAAGCUCAAAUUAUUUUUAUGCAUUUUAAAUAAAUCAUUAUUUUUACAUUAUAAAGGUUCUAUAUUUAAUGGAAAAAUGAUUUUAUGAAAUUGAUUGUUUUUUAUUCUUUUUAAAUAAAUCAUUAUUUUCACAUUAUAAAUGUUUCAUAUUCAAUGGAAAAAUGAUUUUAUGAAAUUGGUUGUUUUUCAAAGUUUAUGGUUUAAUUGAAAGAAUUUUGAAAACUUUGAAAUAAACAAGUAUUGCUUGAAAUUUCAGAUUUGGACUUAUUUGAAACUAUUUAAAUGUUUUUAGGCUAUUCUAUAAUUUCACAAAGUUUGGGCGAAAUUAUAAUUUCAGAACGUUGUGGGAUUGACAAAGUAUUAUUCUAAAAUUCUGAAAUUGGACUUAUUUGUAAAUUUUCAUAACGUUUUGGGUUAUAGUAUAGUUUUAUAAAGUUUUGGGGUCAAAUUAUAAUUUCAGAAAAUAGUGCACUGUGCAGGUUACUGUGGCAUCCGGCUUACCGGAUAUAAAAAUCGGAAAACCGGAUACGGGGCAGAAUGUAUCCAGAAUGUAAACGGCUUACCGGAUUUCGUAACCAGCAAGCCGGAUAGGCAAAAUUCAAAUUUUUGCCUUAACGGUAACAUAAAUCCAGCUUAUCGGAUUCCAUAAAUGGCAAACCGGAUACGCCCAGAAUGUGAGUAACGGCUAGUUUUUGAGUUCAAACUAUAUAAACUCAAAACCAAUUCAUUUUUGGUAAUCCAAGCAAGAAAGAACAAGUGCACAUAACAUAUAUUGAGCUUCAAUUUCGUAACUCAUCAUUUAUUAAAUCAUCUUUGUUUUUCAAUUUGUAUAUCCACUCUUAAAGAGAGAUUCAUUGUUGUAUUUUUCAUUUCUCAUCAAAUUGUGAGUGUACAAGUGUGAGAAACACUUGGGGUGAAGAGAUUGGAGAGAUAAUCUCUUGUUGUAAAGGUUCAUUAACACAUUGAAGUCAAUUGUAAACGUUUGAAGCCUUGGAAAUGCUUGGAUAGUGAAAUCCUCAAGCCCGGUGUGCUUGGAAGCGUGGACGUAGGCGGAGAUUACCGAACCACGUAAAAAUCCUUGAGUUUGCUUUCUCUUCCCUUACUCUUUAAUUAUUGUGCUUUGAUUGAACUUAUUGCUUUCAAUUUUUAUUAAGACAUUAGAUUAAAUUGUUGUGUGGUUUGCCUAGGAUAAUUUUUAAAAUCUCAAUUCACCCCCCUCUUGAGUUGCCUAGUUAGUAUUUCACACACCCAAUGGGAAGCAGCACACGUGUUCUGAGGAGAGAGAGAAAAAACCGUGCAAAUGCAAGCAAUAGGUAUUGGCUACAGUUGGAUCUGUAAGUUACAGAAUCUGUAACUUAGCCAACUCCCUCAAUGAUCAAUAUUGUUUCCGAUAUUUAUAAAUUGGUGGCCCCUUGGAAAUUUAACUGGAAGUUUGCAAGUGUCAAUCAGAAAAAAAUCGUCAUCCAUUGUUUUUUUUUUUCUGCAUUCCCUUUCAUGUUCUUAAUAAUUGAGGACAGGUUGUUCAUAACAUUUAUACUUUUCAAAUGUGGAGCUGCAUUUAAUGUCGCUAUUUUAAUUUGGGAUUAAAUUAGGGGAACACUAACUUUUAUAUUUAUCUAAACUCCUUAAAUUUAAGACAGAUUAUGGCGUAAAUAAGAAUAUAAUAAUAACAAAGGAAUUAAAAAGUAUAAUGACGAUCUUGCAGAAAUAUAAAUAUUAGCGUUGAAUUAAAUAACAUAGAACACAUGAAUUGAAUAGUGAUUAUCAAGACGGUGUUACUUGCACUCCUAUUUAUAAAAAAUCUUGGUUCUGUUCCAUUAGAUUUUUUAUCUUCAAAAUCUUGCAAAGUUUUGACAACCCAAAGGCUCAGUUUGGUUGUUCUAUAUUUGUAUGAUAUGAAUUCAAAUUUUUGUGUUCUGUUUUUCUUAAUUCUGAACACGGAUUCUUCUCUUCUCGUGCAAACCAGAAAGAAAUGUUGUCUUACAAAAAAAAAAGGGGAAUAACUUCAUGAGAACAAAAAUUCAGAAAAAUAAUAUAAAGUUUAUAUUUAGACUUUUGUGGUAUAUUUUAAUUUUCAACAAUGAGUUAAAGAAAAUAAUAAAUAAAGUAAAUAAAAGUUUAGAGAUUCAAAUUUUUAGUAUUGGAUUCUUUAAUUCAAAUACCUCUCAUUAAUUAACACUUAAAAGAGAGUUCACUAUUAUAAUUUUAAGUUUUUUGAUUUAUUAUUGAUAUAUAAAUUAGGAGUUUAAGCUUACUUUUUUAUUUUUCCAUUUUUUUUCAAAUUUGAAAUUAUUAUUUAAAUUUAUAAUUUUUUUUAAAAAAAUAGAGGGCUUGAGCCUGGCUUGGGUAUUGUUUCCUAAACCCUUAUCCGGCCCUGGCUUUUUUGCCAGCCCCAAUGAUGAUGAUGAUGAUUAUUUUAUUAUUAUUAUUAAUGAUGAAAAGUAUUAUAAUUAAUUAAUAUAUUAUUGUAUUGUUAUUAAGAUUAACAAUAAUUAUUAAUGAUAACAAUUUUUUGAAUAAAAAUAAUCACAAUAAUUAAAAUAUAAAUUAAUAAUUAUAACAAUAGUUAAUUAAUGUAUUUUUAACAAUUUGUAAUAAUUUAACUCAUUCUAAUUUCGAUUAUUAUAGUUAAGUAAACAACUUAUUAUAAUUUUCAUUCUCCAUUUUAAUUUCAGCUCAUUUCGAUUUCAGUCUAUUCCAAUUUUCAUUUAAUAAACGUUCCAUUAAUGCUAUAGUAAUAUUUCAUAUAGAAAAAAAUAAAAGCUACAACUAAGGUUAAGGGAAAGGACUUCAAAACUCUCUUUUUGUCAUAAUACAUUUUUUCCUAAUUAACUUAAAGAGUUUGAAUCUAAUAUUUUAUAAUAAAUAAAAAUAUAUUCCAAAAGUAAAUAUAAUAUAUCUAUUUUAAACUAAUCUCAAUAUUUAAAAUAUAUUUAAUAUUUUACAAUCUAUUAGACAUAUUUUAUUAUAUUAAAAUAAAUUUUAUAAUAAAUAUGAACAUACUGUUAAAAUGAAUAUAUAAAAAACUUAGAGUAUUUUGAAUAUUAUAUAAAAUAAUUUUAGUAGAAUACGUGAGAUAUAUUUUAUUAAUGUAAAAUGCUAUUUAAUCUAAAGAUUCAUUUAUGAUAAAUUAAUAAUUAUAUUUUUAAAAUUAUUUUAAAAAUUAAAUUUUUUUAAUAUUAUUAAUCUAUUAGACAGAUAAAAUUAUUUAUAUUAUUUUGUAUUUAUUAAAAAAAUUUAAAGUCAAUUUUUUUAAUUACUAUUCAAAGGAUAUAAUAAUUAAAAAAAUCUUAGCGUUUUCAUUAAAAAUUUAAAAAUUUACAUGACUAUUUCUGUAAAUAUUUAAGGUAUAUAUGAACUACGGUAGAGAAGCUUCAUUUAAUAUUAUUGAUUUAAAUAAUAUCUCAAUUAAAAAUGUACAGAGAAUAUAUUUCGGUGGGUAUUUUAAUCUUUUUAGCAAUUAUCAUGGUUAGCCCUUGGCCUUGAAACGUCUGUCAGAAAGGUUUUCAAAUGCUUUAAUUGUUCUUAUUAAAAAAAAAAUCUUUAAUUGUUUUUUCACUUUUAACGUCAGCGGCCUUGAAAGUGCUUUUACUUUAUAACAAAUUAAUUAAUGCUGACGAGAAAAUAUCUCUUCCACAGCCCACAGCAGCUUCUGUUAAUCAAACUCAACCAAUUUUCUCUCUUAACAAAAUUCCAAAGAUGGGUAGCAUUUUUCAGAUCACAUGCGACGGCGCUUUUUUCAAUCGUUGCUUUGGAUUGCUUUCUUGGAAAAGCAGCAUACAUAAGCAACAUCCAAGAUAAUCUUGUAGCCUUGGAGACUGAACUGGGAAGACUAAUCGCAGCAAAGAACGAUGUGAUGAUGAGGGUUGUCAAUGCUGAACGACAACAAAUGAAAAGGCUGGGCCAAGUGGAAUGGUGCGUUUCGAGGGUGGAUGCUGUUAAAAUUGAAGCUGAUGAACUUAUCAGAGACGGCUCUCAAGAAAUUGACAAAUUAUGUGUUGGAGGCUACUGUUCUAAGAACUGCACGUCAAGCUACAAGUUCGGGAAACAAGUGGCUAAAAAGCUACGAGAUGUGGAGACUUUAAUCGCCGAAGGAGUUUUUGAGGCGGUGGCUACCGAGGUGGUGCCUGAGAGAGCUCCAGAGCCUGUAGCAGAUGAAAGACCUACCGAGCGAACAGUAGUAGGCUUGCAAUCACAACUUGAACAAGUCUGGAGAUGUCUUGCAGAAGAAUCAGUGGGAAUCAUUGGCCUAUAUGGUAUGGGCGGUGUUGGUAAAACUACAUUACUGACCCAUAUCAACAAUAAAUUUCUCGAGAGUCCAACCAACUUUGAUUGUGUGAUUUGGGUAGUAGUUUCAAAAGACCUGCGACUUGAAAAAAUUCAAGAAGAUAUUGGAAAAAAGAUAGGUUUGGUUGGUGAUUCGUGGAAGAGUAAAAGUGUAGAGGAGAAAGCUGUCGACAUCUUCCGGAGUUUAAGAGAGAAGAGAUUUGUAUUGUUGUUAGAUGAUAUAUGGGAGCGGGUUGAUUUAACAAAGGUGGGCGUUCCACUUCCCGGACCAAAAAAUACUACCUCAAAAGUUGUAUUCACAACCCGUUUCAUCGAUGUUUGUGGUAGCAUGGAAGCUGACAGGAAGUUCCAAGUGGCGUGCUUAUCAGAAAAGGAUGCUUGGGAACUGUUUCGAGAAAAAGUUGGGGAAGAAACUCUUCAGAGUCAUCAUGAUAUCGUUGAGCUAGCCCAAAUUGUGGCCAAAGAGUGUGGUGGUUUGCCACUCGCACUUAUUACUAUUGGUCGAGCUAUGGCCUGCAAAAGGACAGCCGAGGAGUGGAGACAAGCAGUUGAAGUGCUAAGAAGAUCAGCUUCUGAGUUUGCAGGUUUGGGAAAAGAGGUGUAUCCUCUUUUAAAGUUUAGCUAUGAUAGUUUGCAGAAUGAGACGAUUAGAUCUUGUUUCUUAUAUUGUUGUUUAUAUCCCGAAGAUUAUGGAAUUCUUAAAUGGGACUUGAUUGAUUGUUGGAUUGGUGAGGGAUUCUUAGAGGAAUCUGACAGGUUUAGUGCAGAAAACCAAGGAUACUACAUUGUGGGCACUCUUGUUCAAGCAUGUUUAUUAGAAGAGUUAGAAGAUGAUAAAGUAAAAAUGCAUGACGUUAUUCGUGAUAUGGCUCUAUGGAUAACCAUUGAAAUUGAGAAGCAGAAGAGAAACUUUUUGGUUCGUGCAGGUGCUGGAUUAAAAGAGGCACCGGCUGUUAAAGAAUGGGAAAAUGUGAGAAGAUUGUCAUUGAUGCAAAACCAAAUUAAAACUCUGUCAGAGGUUCCUUCAUGCCCUCAUCUCCAUACUCUAUUUCUUGCCUCUAAUGAUAAUUUGAGGAUGAUCACGGAUGGCUUCUUUCAAUUUAUGCCUUCUCUCAAAGUUUUGAAGAUGUCAAACUGUGUGGAUUGGCCAGUUUCGAAAUUACCUUUGGCGAUGUCAAAGUUGGGUUCACUACAACUUCUUGAUAUUUCACAUACCGGCAUAGAANNNNNNNNNNNNNNNNNNNNNNNNNNNNNNNNNNNNNNNNNNNNNNNNNNNNNNNNNNNNNNNNNNNNNNNNNNNNNNNNNNNNNNNNNNNNNNNNNNNNGAAGAGUUGAAGUUGUUGGUAAAUCUGAAAUGUUUGAAUUUGAGGUGGACAUUUGAGUUAAAUAAAAUUCCAUGGCAACUAAUAUCAAAAUUUUCAAGGUUACGUGUGUUGAGAAUGUUCGCUACUGGCUUUGCACGUUUUGAUGAAGCAUCAGAAGACAGCGUUUUAUUUGGUGGGGGUGAAGUUUUAGUACAGGAAUUGGUCGGUCUGAAAUAUUUAGAGGUAUUGGAGUUGACCUUGGGAUGUCAUCAUGCUCUCCAAAUUUUUUUGAGCUCAAAUAAGUUAAAAAGUUGUAUUCGAUCUCUUCUCCUCCAGUUGGCCGGAGAUACAACGUCGAUUAUUGAUGCUACGGCUUUCGCAGAUCUAAACCACCUCAAUGAAUUAUGCAUUGAUAGGGCUAAGGAGUUGGAAGAAUUGAAGAUUGAUUGUAAAGAAAUAGUACAAAAAAGGCGGGAACCUUUUGUUUUCCGCAGCCCUCACCGUGUUACUAUACAUAGCUGCCAGAAGUUGAAAGAUUUGACAUUCCUCGUUUUUGCUCCAAACCUCAAGUCUCUCGAUCUAGACCGUUGCGAUGCUAUGGAAGAAAUAAUCAGCGUCGGAAAAUUUGCUGAGACUCCUGAGAUGAUGGGACAUAUAAGCCCUUUUGAAAAUCUCCAAAUGCUUGAUUUAGAAGAUUUGCCUCAUUUGAAGAGCAUCUUCUGGAAGCCAUUGCCUUUCACUCAUCUGAAAGAAAUAUCUGUGGGUUAUUGCCGUAAUCUUAAAAUGCUUCCACUCGAUUCCAACAGUGCAAAGGAGCGUAAAUUUAUUAUUCGUGGAGAAGAAGACUGGUGGAACCGACUUCAAUGGGAGGAUGAAGCCACUCAAAUUGCUUUUCGUUCCUGUUUCCAAUCUCUUUUUGAUUAACUCUUAUACAUUUUCUCGUCGUUUGCUUCAUGCAAAAGACUACGUCUUUUGUUCUCUGUUUUUAUUUCAGUUUCGUUUUGUCUCCUGCAAAUCACAAUUAAAUGUUGAAUUAUAUGGAAGUAAUGCUUUAUAAAUUUGCCGGCACUGCCAUUUAUUUUUCCUCUUUUUUUUUUUGGGUCGAAUUGAUGCUCUGGCUUUUUUAUUUUUUGUCAUCGAAUUUUGCUCUGUUUUUCAAAUUGAUGCUUGAAUAUGUGAAUUCAAUUAAUGCUCACAUAAUUUUGUUUAGUUGCCGUAAAAGAAUAUAAUUAGACUGAAAUUCGCACUCCCAGAAUGAAUAGAAUCACAACAGAGAAAAUAUUAAGUAUGCUAGCCCUCUUUACAGAAAAUCAAAUGAAAAUAAAAUUUUUUGGAUAUUUGAUUUUCUAUGGUCUACUAUAUACACUUUAUAAAUUCUUCUGUUCUAAGGAUAACCAAGUAGGGGAUUGAUGAAGGCUCCUUUUUGGGAUUCUUCUUUUUCUAGGCUGCAAUUAGGAUAUGUACAUGAUAGACAAUCUUUUGUUGGUUUAGCAUAUCUUCGCUGAUUUUGUCUUUUAUUCCCCAAUUUUAUAAUUACACACCAUGAAUGUUGGGUGAUUGUAUAGAAAAUUUGUGUUAUAACAAAAACAUUGUGAAGGAGUUUCCGUGCUAAUAGUUAGUGGCUUCUGUUUUAUUGGUAUUGAUUGGGUAGAUUUCGUGUUACAGUGAUUCAAUUUGUGUUCCAAACUUUGCUUUAAUUUUCUGUUUUCCCCAACUAUUUAUGUCAAAUUUAAAUCCAGAAGCAUGUACUGAUUUUUUCUUUUUGUAUUAAUCUGUGAAGUUUACUUGGAAUGGAAGUAACUGGGUCGGGUCUAAUGGAUUAAAUUAUGACAUUGAGGGGAAGGCACUAAAAGGGUUUGCUUGACACAUUUGGUUCUGUAUUUACUCUGCAAGAAAUAGCUUUUGCUUAUUGCAAUGCAGGGGGAAAUCCCGAUUUGGCUGGUGAAUUUCUCUGCAACAAACAGGCAAACGCCUCAACCUCUUCUGUCCAUACUUCUGCUGGGGAGGCAAGGGGUAAAGAGUCUUCAAAAUCAUCAAAUAGUAACAUCUCUGAGAAUUCAUUUUAUGGAAAUGGAAAAUCUAGAGCUUCUAAUACAAAAUGGCAUCUGGUAUCAGGACGUACCGUUUCAAGUUUUCUUGGUAAAGAUUAUGUUAAACCUGCACAGCCAGCUAAUGGCACUGUUCUGGCAUCAAAGCCAUUGAAGUUGGAUCCAAGGGAGUUUCGCAUUUCUGCACUUUCAGAGUAGAAACUAAACCAAAACAAUCAAAGGAUGACCAUUUGCAGAAGGAUAUGGAAGAUUUUCUGUUUAAAUUGCUAGGAGAAGGGUUCCAGCUGUACAGGGAUGUGAUUCAGGAGGUUCAUGGAAACGUCUUAAAUAUAUUGAUGCCAAUUUAAUACAUAUUGUCCUUUUCAAUGUUCUUUCUUUCUUUCUCCUCUUUUUAUUCUUCUUCUUCUUCUUUUUUCUUUUCGUGUGCAUGUGAUCACUAAUUUGGUAUUAUUCUUAACUUGCAGAUAGUUGUGGAUAUGAUAUGCAAAAUAUCUUCUUGAUGCUGGCAGAUUCACUUGAUUCUUAUUAGUUUGUUUAGUGGCAAGGCAUAUAACCUGUAUUUCAAAGCCAAGUUGUGCUAUUGAUUAUGUUAACUUUAUUGUUAACAUAAAGUGAUAUGGAGGACAUAAUCAAUGUAGGAAAAUUAGGUGAAGAGAUGAUGUCAAAUCUUGAACCUCUUACAAAGCUCCAAGUUCUUUACUUGAAGAAGCUGCCAAAUUUGAAGAGCGUCUACUGGAAGGCAUUUCCAUUCCCAGAUGUAUGCAGAAUUUUUGUAUUAAUGCCCAGUUCUUAAGAAGCUGCCACUGGAUUUUCAAAGGGCGGGCCAAGGUGAAAUUCUUAUCAAGGGAAAGGAAGAUUGGUGGAAAGAACUUCAAUGGGAGGAUCAAGCAACUCAGAAUGCAUUGCUUCCAUUUUUCAAAUCAACUGACAAGUGAUUGAAGGGGGCAUCAUCAACAGAGAUGGAGAGAUUCUGGAGCAGAUCAACAGGGUUUGUAUAUGAUCUUUGGUGGUUGCUUUCUUUUGUGAUUUUUUUUUCUCAUUUUUUUUCCUUCCUGUCAUUUUAUCAUUUCUUUGUCUCUUUUUCUAUUGCUGAUGUUAGUGUAUGCUUACUGUUGCUUGACAAAGUUUGCUUGCUUCUUGUUUAUUAAAUUUUUUAUGGUCACAAAAUAUUACUUGUUCUAUUUGAGAGUGAUGUGAAUCAAUUUUCAAUUAUAUAUUUUGUGGUCAAUGUGAAUUCAAUUUCAUUUGUCUCCUGCAAUUAUGAAAAAAAUGCAGAGUCAUAAUAUGGAAAAGUCGACCGGCAAAAACUUUGUGAAAGCUUCGGAGUGAAACAGGGAAUUCACUUACUACUAAGGACAAUUGGUGGCGAGCUAUUCCAUUCAUUUUAUGUCCAUACAUCUAUUUAAUUAUUGAAGAUAAGUGGUCCAUUUGUAAAUUUCAGAUUGUCCCUCUCUCUUGAAAUAACGAUAUUUAAAAUAUUUCUUAAAUUAUUAUAAAUUUUAAUUUACUCUGGAUUUAAAAUGGAACAUGAUGAAAAUUUUUUUUUCUUCUUAAUAAAAUUGAAAUAAAUUGUGUUUGCAGUAGUUUGAAAUAUUUUAAAGAUUAUUAUUUUAUAAGGGAGUAAUAUGAAAUGAAAUUUACUUUUCAUGCGUGAAAUGUUGAAAAAGGACAAAGCAAGUGUCCCUGUUUUUAUUUUAUUUCAAAGUGGAGUCAUCUCACGUACUUUAGCUCUUAACAUUAUAAUUUUUCUGGUUACAUUUUUAUUAUUAUUUUUUUUUUUUACACAUGCAUGUGGGUUACUUUUCCGUAAGCUCCUUAAUAUAUAUUUAACACAAAUCAUGGAAGAGAUGGGAGUAUAUCAAGAUGAUCAAAGCAUGAAACAAAAAUAUUUAAGAAGUAAAACACUGAAAAUGGAGAAGAGAUGCAAGCAAAAGAUAUUCCAAAGAAAAGCAAUCUAUCCCCCUUUCGAGGGCAAACUUAUCAGGUUUAAGAAAAGUACAUGCUUUGGAUUGGUAGUUGCAGCCUUGCAGGAUAAUUGUUUUUGCCACUAUAUUAGUUGGAGGAGUUGAACCCAGCGAAGAAUGUUAUGGAAGAGCAAAGGAUUAUGUAGCCUGAAUGGAUGUCUUGUUGAAAGAUAUCUCAGUGCAUUAGUUCAUCCUUGUCUGUCAAUGUGUUUUUAAUGGUUUUUCCAAUUGUUUAUUAUUAUAGAUUGAUUGUAAAUUGAUAUGAAUUUAAUGUUGAAAUAUUUUCUCUUUAGUGGAAUGAAUUUAAAAGUGCAAAAGCUUAUUGCACACAGAGAAAUAAACAUAUAUGCUUUAUAGUAUAACUUUAGCAAUCGAUUCUUUUACAGCUGGAAACAGAGAUGGUGAUUAUCAUAGGGGUGAAGAAAAGGACAAAAAAUGUUAAUGAUUAACGAAAUUUCUAUGCAAAUUGAUUUUAGCAGGAAAAAAAGUGAGCUAAAUGAUCUUAAUGUUCCACAAAAGCAAAUCGUAAUAUUCCACAAGAAAAAGCAAGAUCUUAAUGUUCCACAAAAGCGUUAUUUUUUUUUUGGUGAGCCACGUGGAGCUCAAUUAUCAUUGUCUUUACUUUAAAAACGUUAUUUUAUUUUAUUUUAUUACAAAUUAAUGCUAAACAAGAAAAAGCAAGAUAUAAUAUUCCACAAAAGCAAAUCGUAAUAUUCCACAGAGGAAUAAGAUCCACAAAAGCAAACAACUAGCUGGAUUCUUUUACUGAAUUACAAAUUAAAGUGGAAUCUUUUAUUAAACAAUAAAUUAAAGUUCGAAUAUUUAAGUAGUAGUGCGUUAGAUGAUUAGGCUCUCUUAUUAAAGGCAAGUAUAAGGUAGUCCAGAAUCGAACAUCUCUAUUGUCUAGUCAUUUUUUUCAAUUCUUCUUUUAUUAUUUUUCAGAAUAGGUUUUGGUGAUUACUAUUGGGUUAUUAGUCAGAGUUAUUCUUAUCUUCCGGGGCAGUUUCUGUUCAUCGGAAUUGUUAAUUAAAAGAGUAAUGAUAUAGUCACAAACUCUUGUAUAAACUUAUUUUGUACAAACUGAUGUGGCAUGAUAAGAUUAGUUGAAUUAAAUAUCACUUAGGCCACAUGAUUUAUUUUUAUUAUUUUAUAUUUUCAUUCAACCAAUGAAUUAAUGCCACGUCAGUUUGUACAAGAGUUUGUGGCUGUAUCAUUACUCUAAUUAAAAUUUUAGAACUCUUGUGGGAAGAAUGUUUUUCUGUUAUCUUUUUUACAUUCUAAUUUCAACAAUAAGAAGGAGUCAUUUUAGAAUUCGGGUCUUGAAUCGAAUUUCAAUGCAUGAAUUAAUAUUUUAAAAAAAAAUUACUACACGCAGUUUAGGUUACAAACUAUUUUUUGCAAAGUUGACUAUGAAAUUGGAGAAAUUAAGUAAUUUAUAAUGUUUGCAAAGGAAGAGACUAACAUACUUCCAAUUACACUAUAUCUCUAUUAUCAUAAUGUUAAGACUAAACUAACUUAAAAUAAAUUUUAUUUGAAAAGUUAUAUCAAACACAGUCUAAUUUUAUUAACUUGAAGAGAUAAUAGUUAUAGAAAUGAUUGUUCUAACUUAAUUAGUACAAGUGGUAUAAAGGUUAAGUGUGCACUAAAUUUGUUUAAAUUUUUUCCAGAAUAACUAACAGAGGUCAUUAUUAGAAUUAUAAUUACUAGUCUAUUAGAUAGAAAAAAUUAUAUAUAUUGUUUUAUAUUUAUUAAAAAAAUUUAAAGUCAAUCUUUUUAAUUAUUAUUUAAAGGAUAUUAUAAUUUAAAAAAAUUUAAUGUCUUUAUUAAAAAUUUAAAAAUUUACAUGACCGUUCUAUAAAUAUUUAAAGUGUAACUGUCAUUUUCUCAUGUAUAUAUAUAUAAACCACGGUGGUGAAGCUUUAUUUAAUAUUAUUGAUUUAAAUAACAAUAUCGCAAUUAAAAAUGUAGAGAGAAGAAAUUUUGGUGGGUAUAUUAGUCUUUUACAAUUAUCAUGAUUAGCCCUUCCUCUUGUAACGUUGGUCAGAAAAGUUUUAAAAUGCCUUGAUUUCUUUUACUUUUAACGUUAGCGGCCUUCCUUAUAUUUUAUUACAAAUUAGUCCUAACAAGAAAAAGCGAGAUCAUAUUCCAAAAAAGCAAAAGUGACAAAAAAACCAGCUGUAUUCUUUUAUUAAACUACAAUUUAAAAUGAUUUUAAAGUGGAUUCUUUUGAAUACAGGUGGGGUAGUCGAAUAGUCUUUUUCAAAUUCUUGUUUUAUUAUUUUUCAAAACUAGUUUUUGGUAAUUACAAUCGGGUCAUUCAUUAGUCAUUAUUCAGAGUUAUUGUUAUCUUCGGGGGCAGUGGGUAAAAGGCUAAAUGAUAAUUACUAAGUGUUUUUCCUUCAAAAGUUAGUGGCUCGUGUUUUGCAAGUGUGUACGUGCGAUGCUCUUUGUCUAAAGGCAAUUACAGUGGGUCCCGAAUCGGACGUGCCUAAUAAAUCUUUUAAAAUUUUUUCUAAUAAAUAUUCCUAAAAUUUCUCUUCCACAGGCAAUUACAGCAGCUUCAGUUAAUCAAACUCAAUCAAUUUUCUUUCUUAACAAAAUUCCAAAGAUGUUUGGCUGUUUUCAGAUCACAUGCGAUGGUGCUCUUUUCAAUCGUUGCUUGGAUUGCUUUCUGGGAAAAACAGUAUACAUACGUAACCUCCCAGAUAAUCUUGUUGCCUUGGAGACUGAAUUGGGAAAUCUAAUCGCAGCAAAGAACGAUGUGACGAGGAGGGUUGACAAUGCUGAACGGCAACAAAUGAGAAGGCUGGACCGAGUGCAACGAUGGAUUUCGAGAGUGGAAGUUGUUGAAACUGAAGCCGAUGAAUUGAUAAGACAUGGCUCUCGAGAAAUUGAAAAAUUAUGUGUUGGAGGCUACUGUUCCAAGAACUGCAUGUCAAGCUACAAGUUCGGAAAACAAGUGGCUAAAAAGCUACGGGAUGUGCGGACUUUAAUCAGUGAAGGAGUUUUUGAGGUGGUGGCUGACAGAGCUCCAGAGCCUGUAGCAGAUGAAAGACCUACUGAGCCAACAAUAGUAGGCUUGCAAUCACAACUUGAACAAGUUUGGAGAUGUCUUGUAGUAGAAGAAUCAGUGGGAAUCAUUGGCCUAUAUGGUAUGGGCGGUGUUGGUAAAACCACACUAUUGACCCAUAUCAACAAUAAAUUUCUUGAGAAUCCAAUCAACUUUGAUUGUGUGAUUUGGGUUGUAGUUUCAAAAGACCUGCGACUUGAAAAAAUUCAAGAAGAUAUUGGGAAAAAGAUAGGUCUGUUUGAUGAUUCAUGGAAGAGUAAAAGUGUAGAGGAGAAAGCUGUCGACAUCUUCCGGAGUUUAAGAGAGAAGAGAUUUGUAUUGUUGUUAGAUGAUAUAUGGGAGCGGGUUGAUUUAACAAAGGUGGGCGUUCCACUUCCCGGACCACAAAAUACUACCUCAAAAGUCGUAUUCACAACCCGUUCCAUCGAUGUUUGUGGCAGCAUGGAAAGUCACAGGAAGUUCCCAGUAGCAUGCUUAUCAGAAGAGGAUGCUUGGGAGCUGUUUCGAGAAAAAGUAGGGCAAGAAACUCUUGAGAGUCAUCAUGAUAUCGUUGAGCUAGCCCAAACUGUGGCCAGAGAGUGUGAUGGUUUGCCACUCGCACUUCUUACUAUUGGUCGAGCUAUGGCCUGCAAAAGGACAGCAGAGGAGUGGAGACACGCAGUUGAAGUGCUAAGAAGAUCAGCUUCUGAGUUUGCAGGUUUGGGAGAAAAGGUGUACUCUCUUUUAAAAUUCAGCUAUGAUAGUUUGCAGAAUGAGACGAUUAAAUCUUGUUUCUUAUAUUGUUGUUUAUAUCCCGAAGAUUAUGGAAUUCUUAAAUGGGACUUGAUUGAUUGUUGGAUUGGUGAGGGAUUCUUAGAGCAAUCUGACAGGCUUAGUGCAGAAUACCAAGGAUACUACAUUGUGGGCACUCUUGUUCAAGCAUGUUUAUUAGAAGAGUUAGAAGAUGAUAAAGUAAAAAUGCAUGACGUUAUUCGUGAUAUGGCUCUAUGGAUAACCAGUGAAAUUGAGAAGGAGAAGAGAAACUUUUUGGUUCGUGCAGGUGCUGGAUUAAAAGAGGCACCGGCUGUUAAAGGAUGGGAAAAUGUGAGAAGAUUGUCACUGAUGCAAAACCAAAUUGAAACUCUGUCAGAGGUUCCUACAUGCCCUCAUCUCCUCACUUUAUUUCUUGACUUUAAUCA